rnacentral:lncRNA from 1 species
UUCCCCUUCUCCCGCCUUUGGAGCCGAACAUCACCUCUCCCCACCGUUUUCUCCAACAGCCGCCGCCCAAGCUCCCUGUGUUUUUGUUUUUUCUCCGGCCAGCACAACCCUCUUCGGAGAAACCCCACACGAGCAGCUCCUCGGAAACACCUGGACGCGAGCUCAGACCAAGCGGAAGCGAACUGCGGAAGCGAGCCAGAGCUCGGCGAUUCCUUCAACGCGUGUCUGGGACGACGGCCUCAGCCCACAGCGUAAGCGCGUUUUGACGACGAUUGCGACGUUUUACGCCGUUGCUUCCGGCGUACAACAGUGAGCAGCAGCAUCUUCUUCACUCUAGUCGAGGUUUGGCUCUAAUACUUGCUUAGUCGAUCAUAGAUUAGGAUUUCCCACUCGCCAAUGGCUUCGAUUCUGUAGGUCUAAGCUCGUUUAAACACCAACCAGAGCUGAAUCUCUGUUUAUGUUGAUCUAAUUAACACCUGUAAUUAUUGUGAUUCUAUGGUUUAGUGACAUUACUGGUAUUAAAGAAGGGGAAGGAAGAUUUCGUGUCUGGCGACAGAAGAGUUAGAGAGAGAAAUCCGGCUUUCCUCUUUAGAGUAUGUUAUUAGCAGGCUGCUGCAUUUUUUUAUAAAGAAGAAAUAUAAUGGUUAGAAGCCAUGUUACUGGAAUCUAGGCAAAGGAUUUAGGGUCUGUUAUUGCAAAAAGUUCUGUUAGUUGGCUUGCCUAAAUUACACGAUCUCUUAACUUUAAAAAAAUGGUAGGUGGUGGGUUUGGCCUCUCUUUUUUUUCCUUGAUCGAGGGUUUUGACUUUAGGUUGGGAGAAUGGAGGUUUGUGUUUGGAGUCCUAAUCUGAUGGAGCGCUUCUCUUGUCAGUCGUUCUUUAUAAUUUUAUUGGAUCCUUCUCCUGUUAUGAAGUCGGUCUUUAUUGUGUUAUGGAGGAUUAAAAUUCCAAAGAAAGUCAGGCUCUUUGCCCGACAAGUUUUGCAUGGUCAUGCGAAUAAAAUGGAUAGGAUUUUGAGAAAGACCUGGAUGGGAGUGUCAGUGUGCGGGAUUUGUUUGGAACAAUUUGUUGUAAGAGUUUGAUUUUUUGCUUGCUCGCCAAAUUGACGUCGGUUGAUGAUAUGGGAGUUCCUCCUCCAUCCGCAUUUCAAAUAGAAAGGUCCCUUUCUUUGGAUUGCGAGGGUGUGCAGUUUAUUGUGGGAUUUUGGGUAGAGAGAAACAAUAGACUGUUGAGAGGUGUGGAGAGGGACCAUGGUAAGAUUUGUUAUUUUGUAAGGUUUCAUGUCUCUCUAGGGUUCGGUUUCAAAGGCUUUUUGUAAUUACUCUCUAAGCAAUAUCUUACCCAGUUGGGAACCUUUUCUUUAGUGAGGAUUUUGUGAGCUUGUUCUUUUUUUCUGUAUGCACUCGUAUUUUAUGCUUUUUUUCUCAAUAAAAGUUGUUCUUUCUAUAAAAACAAGGCUUCCAUUUUAAAAUCUCUGUGUUGAUAUUCAGGAUACUCCCAACCUUAUGAUGGUAUCACAAAGGAGUAAGAUAUCAUGAGUUUUAUUAGUUUAUUAUUUAAACUAUUGCAAUUUUGCAGGAAAAAAGUAUGGUGCGUUCCAAAGCUGCAUCAAAGAAGCAAAAAAAGAGUGGAAUUGAUUUUAAGGUAUAUUUCUUCCAACAUUACUUCCCCAAAGAAAAGAAAGAAAAAACUACUUCUGUGCCAGGGUUUCAUUUUAAUUAUUAUUAUAUUUUAUUUUAUAGAAAAUCAAGCGAAAGAUAGGCAGGAAAUUGCCACCGCCAAAGAAUGCUACAAACACUGAAAUUAAAUCAAAAGGUAAGAGUGAAAAUAUUCUGUAAGCUGCAUAGGUUGCAUGUACUGUUGUAACCAGGGUUUAAUAUGCACAAUUUCAGCUAUUAUUUUGCCCGAGCAGAGUGUUGCAUCGGAGAAGGCUGGUUUGGCUGUGAAUAAAAAAGGGUUGACUUUGAAGGAGCUUCUUCAGCAAACAUCCCACUACAAUGCUAAGAUUCGUAAAGGUAUACCUCAAUUUAUGGGUCCCAGUCUACAAGGGUUAUGUUCCUCUUUUCUAACCAUCUAUUAUUUUCUGAGAGUUAAUAGGUGCUUUGGUGGGCAUUAGAGAUUUAUUCAUGAAAUACCCUGCGGAGUUAAGGUUACAUCGCUAUACCGUUAUUGAGAAAUUGCGUGAACGCAUUGAUGAUGGUGAUAAAGUCGUUCGUGAGACACUAUAUCAGCUUUUGAAGUCAGUUAUCUUCCCUGGUUGUAAGGAGGUAGCUCUCUUGUUCUCUAGAGUUAUAUUAAAUAAGCUUGAUGUGUCUUUUCUUUUCAAAGAGAAAUAUAUGUUAUGGGCAUUUUUUUACUGGUACUUGUAAGGUGGGUUGGUGCAUCCCCUGUUGAGGAUAAUUAUUAGAUAAUUAGUAUAUUUUAGUUAAUAGUAGUAUAGCUGUUAAUUUAGAUUGAUUUGUGUUUAAAAUUGUAAUAACAAGGUUUUUGCAACCAUAUUUUGAUUAAAACUAUUGUUCUUGGAGAGAUAUCUCUCAACAUUUAUAGCAUGGACUUGACCUGAUACCUUCAGGUUAUGCAUCAUCACCCAAUUUGAAAGUUUUGGAAAACUUGUUUAUGGAAAGACAUGGGAGGUUUUGAUAGAUCUUUCCCAUAUGGUUUUCCUUUUGCCAUUAGUGCGCAUGCACACACACAUAUUUGACUCUUUUUAAUCUUCUCAUUAGAAAGGAUACGAUACAACCAUAAGAACAGCUUUUCAUUCACUUCAUGCGUGUGUUCCAAUGUAGUUCUUUUGACAUUUGUGUAAUAGUUCUUUUGUCAACUUAAACCAGGAAAAUCAAGGCCUAUUCAUAUCCUUACUGAUGGGCUAUAUUUUCAAUGCAAUGAUUCACUUAUCCAUUGAUGUUCGGAUGAUGGCUUUCAAAUUUUUUGAACUUUUGGUGGAGUACUACCCUUCUUCUUUUUUCUUACACGCUGAUAAGGUACGUCUAGUAAACCUUUGUUUUCUUUGCCUGUUUAUUAACUUUCAUUUUGGAAGGAAACAAAUUUCAUCAAUAAACAAAACGCAUAGUCUUAUUUGACCUAGGUGUAAAAGAAAAAAUCCCAACUUUGCUAGUCAUAGAAACAGGCGUUAAUUACAAAAUGAUUGCUUGAAGGUGCACAAGAGAAGGAUGUGCAAAUAAAUAAUUUGAACUCCAAUUAUCAACCUAAAAAUCUCCUCCUCCUUCUGAGACCAACCAAAAACCUCACAAGAAAUAUAAGAAAGCUCUCAAGAAAUGCACUUAAGACUUUCUACAUCAAAUUUGGUACAAACCAAUUCUUGGAGAAAUUGCAAUAUUAUUUAAUUAGCUAAAAGAACUUGUGAAUAGAAUACAAUUACCAAGGAAUAACAAACCAAGCAGUCAAAUUUCGUGAGAUUAGUAGAGGCAUGCGUAGGCUGAUCUAGACAUUCAUGGAUAUUAAAAAAAAUAACAAAGACCAACCAAGUUUUUGUUUUUGUUCUUUCUUUUUUGGUGACAUAGAAACCAACCAAGAAAUUUAUACAAAGACUCUAGAAACCUCACUCUCAAGAAAUACACUUAAAACUUCCUAAAACAUUCUUCAUAAUCACCUUUGCUAGAAUAUUGUAGCUUUUGUUCAUCUUCAUUCCUUGAGAACUAUUGAGAACGCAGGCGGAGUCCCCCCCCCAAUUUUUAUGCUCUUUAGAUUACAUGUAUAUAAAAAACUGAAAUAAUACCAAUUCCAAGGUUAGCCUAAUGGUAAAAUUGUCUCCUAUGAGAUUAGCAAGGUGCAAGUUGCUCUGGAACUCACAAAUAUCAAAUGAAAGAAAAAGAAUACAUAUUGUAUUCACAUUUGAUGCAGUUGGCAAGAUUUCAACGUCCCAUUCCAUCAAUAAAGUAGCCCUUGAACUCAAUUUUCCAAAGAACAAUCAAUUUUAUUUAUGAUAGGAAUGCUACAGGAAAUAAUUAGAGUAUUAAGGGCAUAUUAGAAAUUAGUUAAAGAGUUUGUUAGGGAAGUAAGCAAUAUUUUUUAGCACGAAUUAGCUUGAGAGUGAUCUCAAAAUUGGUAAUCCAAGUAUCUCUAAUUCUUGGGUUUAUCUUGUAGUUUGGUUACUUUUAUCUCUCAAUACAUCUGGGUUCUAUCAAUUUAUCAACAGUGCUAUAAGCCACCGCUAUUAGUUGAUGGUUUCUUUUUUGUCUUUGAUUGUUUUUUCCAUCUUCAGAUUCUCCAAAACUACGCUGAAAUUCUACAGAAGAAUCAAUUCUAUUUACAAGAUAAAGGCAAGCUCAAGAAUGCUCUUACUGGGUUGGUCCAGUGCUUAUCAUUAUUGCCAUGCAACAAAAGAGGAAUUGGCUCAUCUGACAAUGUAUUAUGUGUAGAAAACAUCUCUCUUUUUUAUGGUUCAUAGUUCUUUGUCUUAAUAGACGUAUUUUUGUAAUCUAAUUUGAUUAUUUUGUAGCCUUCUACAUAUAGCUUUUUUGUCUCACACAAUUUCUUUGAAUUAUAGAAUGUUGUAGACGAUGGGAUGCUACAUGCUUUUGAGCCUCAUGUGCCUACAGAAUCUGCUGGUAAGUGAAAGAAGAGUCCAUUUGCUGAUUGCUUGUGUCUGUUAUGUUGUCUCUCUUUAUUUUUCAUCAGCACCAUUUUUUCUUUUACAUAUAAACCAAAAUUUGUCGAGCAAAUAAACGGGCAAAAAAAAAAAACCAAAAUAAGGCUAUUGCCAAAACAGGGGAAAUGGCCAAUCAAUAACCAUUAAUCACAACGAGAUAUGGAUAAGGAGGUUAUAUCCUCCAUAAAGCCAAGAGACAAUAGAAAUUAGAACCCAUAGCAAUCGACUUGUAAGAUUUGGUUACUUGUAGUGUAGCUGUUUAGUUUAUGGACUCAUUUGGACAUCUGAAGGUAUUGGUAGGGAAAUUAAGACAACCAAAGUUUUUUUGAACAAGGAAGUGCCUUGUUUUCUUUUUGAAUCUCUCCAGUUCGGAGAAGGAAACACCUUAAAAACCUAACCUUUUCUUUAAGGCAAUUAUAAACUUUAACUUAAUGCUUUAAUUGGAUGGCAUUGUUCCUUAUAAAAAACCCCCUGGCAUAGCAAUGCAACCUUGAACAAAUAGAAUUUAAAUAGAGUAGAAUAAAAGCUUCAACUUCAUGCACAAUUACCCUGUCCUGAAAUUCGGGCUACCUGGAGAAUAAAAAAUUACUUAUAGAUUACUUAAGGACCUAUAGACAGAAAAUUGAAAGUUCAUGCACAUCCAUGUUUAAGGUUAAGGGAUUAGCACAAAAUUAAAAGUGACGAAAUAGAUAAAUUUCAAAAUUUAGGGACUAAAGUUGUAAUUUUGACCUAUUAUGUUAUAUGUAGUGUGUCAUCAUGCUUCAUAAGUAAAUAAAAUCUGGAACUAGGUGGUUGUUUUUUUUUGUUUUUUUCCCUCUCUUUUUUGUUCUGUCUUUUGCUAGGGUCCCUCCUGUUUUGCUCUUUAAUUCUUCUUAAUGAUUUUUUUCAUAGAGAAAUUUAGGAUUUCAAGGUGAAAGAAUUUCAAAGCAUUGAUUGUGUCAAAUUGAGAAAAUCAGCUUCAUUGUAGCCUUUUCUAUUUUGUACAAUACUGCAAAUUCUAUUAAUUAUCUUAAUGUUUUUUGUCAUAAACUGUCAAAUCUGACCCUUUUUUAUGUUUCUUUGUUGUUUUGGUCAGGGGCUUGUGUCAUUAUUAAGAAUUUAGAGGAUUUGGUGCUUGUGUUAUUAAAUUGCUUCCAAGAGUUUAUGCCGGCAGUUCAUGAUGUAAAUCUUCUUAAUGCACAAAUUUAUGACUGUAUUCUAUACGUUGUUCGAAGCGUACAUCUUGCCGUUCAGUAUUUCUUUUAUGGGAGUGAAAAUGGUAAAGUGGAAUCACAUUCCCCUUGUAAAGGAUCUGACGCAAGGUUGGAGGGGACUAUUUCUUCAGCAUUGUUAAAGAAAUUGCUCUCUGUGUUUCCCCUUAAUCCAUUGCAUCACACUUCAGAGAAGGUAAGCUAAGAUCAUUGUCUUUGACCCCAUUUGAUAACCUGUGCUUGCUUUUCCUUUUACUUGAAUGAACCUUUGACUUGCUUCCAAAUUUACGACUUUUCCUUCUUAAUGAUUAAACUUUGGGGAGAAAGGAACGUUUGUGGCGAGCAGGGAUGUACUAUUUUGUAUGUGAUUUGUGGCAAGAGAAACCAUAGAAUCUUUAGAGAGAGGCAGCUUAAUACGUUUGAUGUUUGGUACCUCUCUUGAUUUCAUGUUUGUGUGCGUGUGCAUGCAUUUUUUUUUUGGGCUUUGGUUAUGGAAUUUUCUUGCAAUUAUUCUCUUAGCUUUAUCUUGCUUCACUGAUUGCCCUUAUAUUAUUUCAUUGUUUUGUUACUCAAUGCAAGUGUAAUGAUUCAUUAUAAAAAUAUGAAUGUCAGAGCACUAAUGCACCGAGGUUAUGCUGCUAUGACCUUUUAAAAUUUAGUCAUUCAAUUCUUUUGUUUCAUCUGACAGGACAACGAUAGAUUACUGACGCUGAACGUUAUCAUAACAGAGAUAUUUUUGCAUUCAAUCAAGUGUAUCAACCCUCCACUUUCGAUAUUGGAGACAUUUUUAGAAUUUAUAGAAAGUGUUAUGCUUGGAAAGGUAAUAAUUCGCAAGAUCUUAUUUCAAGAUUUAGUGCAAGUUAGUUGAGCUGUAUAGUAGUCGUACCAUGUUGGUUCAUCAUUUACAUUUCGUGGGGUUUUGUUUUUAGAUACUUCGAAAAAUUUCAGUGAUUUGAGAACUGCAUUUACAUGCAUUGAUCACAUCACAUUACGCCUAAUAUCUUCUUCAUCGGGAUGUGGUUCACUUAAUCACAGUUAUUGAUAAUGACAGUACUCACCUUUAAUAAAUUCAUCUGGAUUUGGUUUGGUAGUCAGAUAUUUUUCUUAGUUGAUCAAAUGAUGUUUUCUUGGGUACUUCUUUUUUUAUUGAAGUUUUGUUCCUGUUGGUACUUUUGGAAAAGUGGUUGAUCAAUUUUUGGGUCGCUAAUGUUUUAACUUCCAGAUUGUUAGUGGCACUCAAUCUAGGAAAGUGGUCAGAGAGAAGCAUGUCCUUCCGUUACUUCCUUUUAUUCCUGAACUUAUUGCCCAAGUUGAAAAUACUUGGAAGUUUCGACUGCUUGAGGUUUGACCUUCUUAACAAGCUUACUCCACAUUUUGUUUGGAUUGUUUUCAAUAUUUUUAGAAACAACAUAGAAUCUAGAAAACCGUAUUCACCAGUUAAAGUACUUACAGGCAUUUACUCAUGCUUUCAAAGAUUGCCACCCAGAGUCUUCAUUAAAAUUGGCUUGCUUGCAUGUCGUUGAAGAAUUGCUCAUUCCUGUAAGUUCUCAAUUAUAUUCUUUAAGGAAUUACUGAAAGGAAGAACUAACUCAUCUCUUGAUUUAUUCUUUCAAUCAUAGACUGGUGAGCUGUCAUGCAUAGAUGCAAGUUUUCCUGAAAUAGUAGAGCAUCGGGUGGCAUGGAUUAGAGAACUGCCUUUGUUGCUGAUCCUUCUUGGUGAUAGUUAUCCUUCAUGUUCUGAGGUAUUUAUUGUUCUAGGGCCUGUGCAGAAGCCUUACUUAAAAGUGAAAAUAUGUAUCUUGUUGCUUUGCCCCUUCUUCCAGACCUCUUCUAAUGAAAGUGUGUUUAUUUUGGCUCUGUAAUUCAGGAUGUGUUUAUCUGUAGUAGACAUUUGUAUUGACUUUAAAUUUUCACGUCUGCUACUUAGUUGCUAACUUGCUACCAUAUCGUAGGUUGUAUUGCGUCUUUUACUUCAUGUGGGACAAGCCUCUUUCUUGAACUCUGCUCUAAAAUGGGAAUACGACAACACCCAACAUCAUUUGCAAGAGUUUUACCACACAAGUACUGCUGAAGGUAAGUAUGGUUUGCCUGGAGGACUUUUAUAUUUAGUUGUAUUUUUUUUUUCCCCUAUUAAAUUAUGAAUUUGGUUUCCAAAUUUUUUAUGGUUAUGUAUGUUUAAUACUUGAACUUUCACAAGUUUUUUUUACGUAUAUGAACUUUAAAUUUCAAUUUUUAUAGGGUCUUAUUAUUUAUCAGUAUUAGUUCUUGUGGCACGUUGAUUGAAUAAAUGAACUAGCAUUUAACACGAUGGGACAACAAGUGACACUAGAGAGUUUGCCAGCCAGACCAAUUGGUUGACUGGCCGUAAAAAAGUGUCAUGGGUAGACAAGAUACAUUUUAAAUCAAUUUUUUUAUUCUCCCCAUCUUUGUUUAAUUUAGCUGUUACUCCCUUAUUAUGUCAAAUCAACACGCCACUCCAACUUAAAUAUUGAAGGCAGAAAAUUAUUGAAAUUGAAACUAUAUGCUCAAUGAUGUAAAGGAAAACUACCAUCAAAUUCGAGGACUAAGUUUGUAAUAUUACCGACCUUUUCCCACCAAAGUGCAAAUCAUCAUUCAUCAGUGUACAAAAUCCGGAGGUUCAGUUUGUAAUGUUCCUUCCAUCCUCAAAUAACUCUUUUUUCAUUUAUCUCUUUCCUUUAUCUUGCAGGGAAUAAAUGCUAUGGUCCUUUUACAAAGCUUCCUAAAGAAUGCCAAGAGCUCUCAAUUUGUUGUCUUUAUUACUUCUCUUAUUUGGAUCCUCUUCUAUUGAAGUCAUUAGCUUCUUGCUGCCUAUGUGAGUAGUUAUUUAUUGUGUUAUUAUUACCAUUAUUAUGCUCUGUUCUGUACGAUAUACUUUACCUGCUUUAACAAUUUUUUUUCCUUCUUUUUACACUCAUCUUAUUUCAUGUUCAUAGGUCCCGAGUUGCAACCAGAAACAGUGUUUCGAAUUAUUGAGGUUCUUCAUUCAGCCUAUAAAGUUGGACAUAUACAGAUUGCUGACUAUAUCAGUUUCUGUGCGACACUUCUCUCUUGUUUUAAAGUUUUCGCAGGUAACUCCCUCAAACAUCUUUAGCACUUCCUUAACAAUCUUAUUAAACAUGGAUUAACUUUAAUGAUAACCUCGUUAAAAAAAAUGAAAUAGAAAAGUAAAAGUUUAUGAUUAAUUAUUAUUAUAUAAAUCACUGCUUAGUUUAGAUAUUUGUUGUACAGUAAAGAACAUGAAGGGACGGAGUUUAACCCAUAUUAGCUAUCUAUCUACGAGAUUGGAAAUUGGAAUGACGGAUUAACUCAUGUUUUCAGCUUACCUCUGUUACUUUUUAGAUUCUGUUUCUUGAAAAUACUUUAUAUAUUUCUGUUCCUUUCUUAAUUUCUAUACAUUUUCUUAAAUUCAAACGUAUAUGUGCCAAUGAAGUAGAUAUCUUGUUGAUUUAAACAAGUCUUUCAAUCUUUUGACAGGAAAUGGAUCUGUUGAUGCAGAAAGCAAUAAGCUUCCAAACUACGAAACUUUGAAGUCAAUCAAUAAAGUAAUUUACUCAUGCUUGUCACAAAUUGGUGACAGUUCCCUCAUUAAACAGACGCUAGAGAAAGUAAUGGUUAACUAAAAUGGAUCUGUAGGGGUGUAUUAUUUACUUUUUCCCCCUUUUUAAUUAGUUUAUUACGUAGGUGGGUUUUGAGGGCAGCUAAUGGUUAUAAUUAAAUAGGUUUACGAUUUAGUUUUGUAUACUGAUGUUACAAUUUUCACUAUUGGGCUUAGAUUAUUCUUUCUUAUACCUGUAUGGUUGAAUAUGUAUCAUCUAUUAUUUUUCAAAAAGAUUAGUUAAUGGUUAAUUCAACCGUUUAAAUUUAUUAAAAGUUAAUAAAAGAGCUUAGUUGUAAGGGUCAGCUGCGAAGAUAAUGAAAAACACUUAUGAAACUCCUAAUUUAUAGUUACAAUUGAAAAAUGGCAUGAAACUUCUAAUUUUGAUUCGAGAAGUGAAUCAGUUUUGGACUUUAUAAGAUUUUCACUUAUAAAGUUUUGGUUGAAAAUUUAAAGGUUUAAUUAAUACAAUCAUAAAUUUUAUACUAUCAUUCAAAUAAAAAAGACAAUUAGUGGGAUAAGAUUUACUUUAAAAAAAUCUAAAGUUUAAAUGGAUAUAGUUAUUAGUUCAUAUGACUCUUUAAAGUCUUUAAAGAUAUAAACUUACAUUUAUCUAAAAAUUUAAAGCAAGAAGAUGACGAUCAUGCUCGAAUACUCGAAUUAAUAAGUAGAGAAGAUAUUUAUUUAAUGGUAGUUGCUCCACAUUAUCCAAGUCGUCUCUCUCUAUCACACACACAAUGACAUAAUGGUUGUGAUGGACUCAAUAGUCAAUGCCAUGGAUGAAGGCUUCACAUACGUUUCUUUCGGGGAUUUCUUUUUCAUAAAUGAUAAAACGUAAACCUUUUCCCUAUAUUUUUCUUUCAUAUGUACUAUUCCAUAAUUUAUCUUAUAUAUAUUUAAAAUAUUAUAAUUGAUAUAUUAAAUUGAAAAGGCAAAAGAGACGUGAUUGUCGAUUGUUCAAACAUAUUUCUCUUCUUAAAUAUUAUUUUUUCAUAUGCAUGAUAUACAUAACAUACCCAUACAUGAAAAGAUAUACCAUUUCAACUUGAAUAGUUGUAAACGAGAAAUGAUGUGAUUGUUCAUUCAAAUACGUUUGUCUUAUUCUACUACGAUGUUUUUAUAUUUAUGGUCUAGAUGACAUUUGUACAUUUAAAAGAACAAACCAUUAUCUCGACUUGUAUAUAUAAUUGUGAUGAAAGAAAAAAUAUGAAUGAUAAAAAGUUGUAAGAGCAAAAUGAGGAGGUAAAGAUUCUUCCCUUUAUAAUCCAUCAUAAAUACAUACACAUUCGAUCUCAAACUUGGAAAACUAAAAAUAAAAACGACAUUUUUCCCUUUUAAUAUUCUUAAUAAGUAUAAAAUAUUAUAAUAAUUUUAAAUAGGCAUAAACAAGUUCAAAAAAUGUUUAUAGUAUUCCAAUAGUGUGAUUUUUUUAAUAUCAUCCAUAUUCAUUGUUUGUCAUAAAAGACAAAUUAAAAGUGACGAGCGUUCUUUGAAAUAAAAUAAUAUGUCAUUUAAUAUCUUCUUAGGAUAACAUAUGGCUGCGAAGUAUUAGGAAUUAUUUUUUUUCCAUGUAUGGUUAUGUCAUUUUUAAAAAAGAUAACUUUAUCAUUUAAUGGAUAAAAAACUGCCACAUCAAAUGUUAUAAUUUAAACCUAAAACUUACAUAAACAUUUAAACAAACUUUUGUUUUGCACGAUAUUGACGUCUAUUUGUUUCUAUCUAGCUUGACUUUGAUAUACUUCUAAUAAAGUCUAAUUUAAUACUAAAAAAUAUUGAUGUCGAACAAAAUUUUGAGAUUAUACUUUUACAUAAAUUUUGGAAUAAAAGAAAUGAUUACGUAGAUGGGUAUUUCUAAUAUUAAACAAAAUAAGAAUUUUUAUAACAUAAAUAUAUAUAUAUAUAUAUAUAUAUAUAUAUUUGUACAAAUGAGGUGGAGAUUAAACAUUCAAUAACACAUAUGAAACAAUAUUUAUAUCUCUAUGUCUUGCAUUUAAUUUUGAUUAUUAUACAUUUUUUAUUUAGAUUUUAAAAUUUAAGUUUGAUUUCAAUUUAGUUUCUUGUGACAGUUCUAUUCUUAAUAUUUGAGUUUUAUUUUAACGAUCCUUAUAUAAAUUUUAAGAUUUUCACUGUCUUACUUUUUAACUAAAUAUUUAUUUUCUGUCGCUAAUAUUAAUAUUUAUUAAUUAAUUUAAAUAAAAAAAUUACUUUAAUUUUAUUAAUGAAAUUUAAUUAUAUAUAUAUUAUUUCUCUUAAAUUAAUUGAUAGACCAUAACAUUGAAAAUAGAAAGGGAAUAUUUGAUGAGAAAUAAAGUUGAACGUGCUAAUCUAGAUUUACACAGCUUAGGAAACCAAAGUGAAAUAAAUUAAAAUCUUAAGAUAAAAUUAUAAUAUUUUAAAAUAUGGGACAAUAGUGUGUAUAUAUAUAUAUAUAUUAAAAAGAGUAAACUCAAAAUAUAGGACCAACAAGUUAAUUUUCUCUAAACAAAAAUCCUUUAAAACGUGAUAUAAUUAAUUAUAGCAUGAAAUCUUAAUCAACAACUACUUAAUUAAUUAUAUCCUUCUAGUUCAACAGUUCAAAUCAUUUAAAAUGUUUCAUCUUCAUUUUUUUUAGUUUAUAAUUUUUCCAAUUAUCUUAAUAUUCAACUAUAAAAUUUUCGUUGAUUGGCAAAUUAAGUCCCUAUCAUUUACAGAAAUUGCAAUUAGAAUUUAAUCUUUACUCACUUAAUCAAAUUCUCUAAAAUAUUAUAUAUGCAAAAUUUAUCAAACUAUAAACACUAUUUAUAAAGUUUUGUUAGUAAGAUUUUAUCAAAUCUUUCUCAUUUUCUCUCUUAUUAUUCUUUCAACUUUAUGAAUUUGAUCAAACCAUAUACACUAUUGAAGAUGUUUUAUCAAACAUAAAGCAUAAGGACUCAUUCAUGAUUAGAGAUUAAAUUUUAACUUUUUUUUACAUGUCAUAUUGAUUACGCUAUAUUAUCAUUUUUGUUUAAGGAUAUUUUUAAAAUUAUCAAACACAUGUGGAAUUUAAAUAUUGAGGUCAUCAAAGGGUGCAUCAUAUCAGUUCAAGUUACCCAUCAUACGAACUCUUACUAAUGACAGAGUCUAUCACUAAUAUAGUACUAUUAGUAGCGUAUGAUUUAUUACCGAGUGUAAACAAAUAUAAAUUUUGUUAUAUUUACAAAUUGUUUUUACAUUAUGCUAUAUUUGUAAGUAUUUUGGAUUGGAUUGUUUUUCAUAAUUUUUGAAUUUGAUUAAUAUAUUUCUAGAAAAACAUAAACUUUUGGAUUAUUGUAUAUUAAUAUUUAAGACAUUGUUAUGGGUUAAAUUUAGAAAAAGAUCACUUGGGUUCGUGUUGUUUUGAAGAGUGCAAAUGGGAUAUAAUUAUGGGAGAAUUAAUUGAAAGUUGAAGAUUAAUGUUUUGGUCAAUUAUACAGCCAAAGAUAAUUUAUAAUAAUAUCGGAUUUUUCUUACAUCUCUUUUACUAAUAAUGAAAAUGUUAAAAGUAAAACUACACAUCAAUUAGUUUAAACCCUAAAAAGUACUUUUUAUUUCAUUUGUUUUGAAAAUACUUCGUUUGUUUUCUUUUUCGAAAAAAUAAAAAAUAAAAAACAAAAAAUGUUAUUGUAAUAUUACUCUUUGAUUACCUAUCAUUUACUAUUCAUUCUCGUGGAUCUCUUUUUGAAUUUCAAACAAAAAUAAAAAAAUUGAAAUAGUACAGCAAUCACGAUCUCAAAAGAUAACUAAUUAAUACAACCAUUUUUUUGUACUAAAAGUUCUAAAUAUUUCCCCAUUUCAGAAGAAGUUUUAAAUUAUUGGACAAUAAACAUUAAUUUUCCUUAGACUUUAGGGGUUGUAUUGAUUAAAAUUACAAACUAAUGAUUAUAUAUAUCAAUUUAAACCUCUUAACUUUUGUGAGUAAUUUACAUCCUAUUUAUUGAUUUCAUUUGAUUAGUAUUUUGUGAAAAUUAUGAUUUGAGCCAAUUAAAUUUCAUCUCCUUUAUAAGCUAAUUUCGAUUUAGACCCUUUUUAUAUUUAGUUUUGAAAAUAAUGUAUGCAUGAAUUAUUAAUUACGUAUAUAUUUCUUCAAAUAUUAAUUUUAUAAAAUGAUAAAUUAGAGUAAAUGUAUGGAUGAUUGUAAGAGGAAAUUAGAGUGUAAAGUGAUUUUUGAAUGAAAUAUAAUAGAACGGUGUUAAUAAAUGACACAAUAACAAAAUAUCUUGGUUUAAAUUAGUUAAUUUGAAAUUUAAAUUAAUAAAAAUACUUAAAAUAAGAGCAAAGUUCAAGGGGAUAUGAUUUAGGCAUAGAAAUUAUGAAGUUAGCUAAGAGGUUAAUUAGAUUAAUUAAACCUAAAUUUUAUAAGUUAGAUGGAUUAUGAUAGAGUGAGUAAAUUAAAGAUACACAUUACAAUAUUGUGCAUUUCAUUUAUUUUUGGACAGGCUCUUGAAAUAUAUAGCUAAAUUAUAAUGAAAGCUGAGAGAAUAAAGAUGAAAACCUCAAUCAUUAUACUAAACCAAAGGAUUGAAUAAAGAUGUAGAGAUGGCUCCAAAGUUCUCCAUCACAUCUCUCCUCAAAAUAUCCUCCAAGCUUUCAUAUGAACUCCUUAAGAAAUCAUCAUCACAGCUUGAAUCAAUCAACAGUUCUUGCUCAUCCUCCUCUCCUUCUGCUGCUACUACUUUCUUCUCAACAUCAUCAUCAUUCAUGAUCUCGCACGACGACGCUGGAUAGAACUUAGUCGGGUCAGGAAACUCCGCAUCUCGUCCCGUUAGUUCUUGGACUAAGGCUCUAAAUUCAGAUGCGCUUGUGUGAACCCUCAUCGGGUUCGAUAUGUAUACAACUUUAAGCGGUUGCUUAUUUUCUUCACAUGAUUUCCUUUUUCGUGUUGUUUUCGUGUUCUUCUUCAUCGUCGUCGUUAGCUCACUUACUAGUAAACUUCGAUCCAUUAUUUCGAGUUCGUGUUCGUGAAGAGGCAGUUUUUGAGGGUUUAAUUUAUGGGAGAAAGAAAAGUGUUUGGUGGCUGCAAAAUCAUAAGUAGGAGGCUUCUUGGAAUGACAGGAGGAAAAAAAAAGUUUGAUUUAUGUACGUUGAUACUCUAUUAUUUCAAAAGUUACCGUCUUAUCUUUUUAUUUAUUUUUAGUUACGUUCUAAACUUAGGAAUAAAAAUAAAUUAUUUUUUCUAAAUUAUGGAACAAUAUAAGUGCUGUUUUGUAAUAGAGAUUUUUGAUGAAAUGAAUUUUGGUAACAAAUAUUAAAGUAAAGAUUAUAUAAUUCAAAAAAAAAGAAAAGAAAAGAAAAAGAGAGAGAAAUCACAGGAAAUUGGCAAAAUUUGGUAAGCCAAUGGCGUUGAAGAACCCCAAGGAGAAAACAAAUCUUCUCAAAUUCACGCGCUCAACAACCGCGUGGCGCAUGGGAGGUUAAUUACGCCUCUCCCUUUUACCUUGAGCGUGUGUUCCACGAUGUAUUAGAUAGCGUGGAGGAUGGUACGCUUUUAUACACCAAUAAUGCACUGGACCGCCGCGAGGUAAACGACAAGUCGUCUCUGUCGUGACGUCAUGUCGACUUUUUGUGAUGACGUCAUAGUGAAAAGCAGCCACGGAUGCGGAUUGCGGAUUGCAGAUUGUGAAUCAGAAUCCACUACUAUGCUAUGUAGUAAUAUACCAUGCACCCUUUUAUUAUAAAAAUUUCUUUAGGUUAAAUUAUAAAAAUUGUUUUAAUCAAAUACUGGUACACUUUAUUAGUUUUUAUCAUCCAUCUGUCCAUGUUUAUCUCGAUUGUAUGAAAUCUAAUUUUUUUUUCCUAUAACUUAUGAAUAAUUUGACCCGUUACCCGUUAGUUCUUUUAUUAAUGAUUUAUUGAUACAAAAACUAUUUAAACAUUUUACUUUGUAUUUUUAAUUAUAAAUAAUUUUGUUUUUUUAUGACCAUUUGGUACAAUUAGCCUAAUUCCAGAUAAUUUACUAUUCCCUCCUUCAACACCUACAGUGUAAUAUUUAUUAUAACGUCAGAACGAGUUUAAUUUAAUGAUGAUUGAUAUGGUUUUCUUUCUAGAGGUUUAAAGUCUAAUUUUUCAUCAUAACCCACAUUGUUGUACUAAAAAAACUAUAAUGAAAUUCGUUUGGAGAAUAUGAUAUUGAAAUGUCUUUAAUAAACCACCGACUCAAAACCUAAGUUAAAAUUGUAUUAUUGGUAUACUUACGUUAUUUACGAUUUUGACUCUAGGAUAUAGAUAAGUACGCAAAAUGUAUAAACUCUCUAAUUUCUAUGUCCUCUAGUCCUACUCUAUCUCUAAUAAAACUAUUGAUUUUCUUUUACCAGCAAACACAAUUAAUAUACAGUCAAUGAACCCAUGAAUUUACAUGAGAACAUUUUUUAAAAAAAUUAUUUGUGUAUUUCUUAAUAAGUAAGUUGAAAUUCCACCCAAACACGUCUUGGUCGCCAUCAAAAUUGAAACUCAAACAUUAUCAAUAAUUGCAUCUCUUGUUUAAUUUCGUAGCCCUACACUUCAAUUCCUUCAUAACUCCAAUAUCAUUUAAUCCUUUUAAUUUCCACCUCUUGUUUAAGUUCAUGCACACAUAGGAUACGUGCAAAAAUGGCUUCAUUUAUUAAUUACCCUUUGCAAGAGGGUCGACACAACAUUAAUUUAGCUUAUCAAUUUACUUCUCUAUUAAUUUCAUAUAUUUUUUUAAUAUGCAUACUUAAAUAUUUUAUCUUGAAUUCAAUCCAUUUAAACCUCUCAUUACAUUCGAUUUUUAAAAAAAUUAUAUGAAACUCUAUUAUAACUAUAUUGACUAAGUCCUAAAUCUUUCAUAAAUGAAUUCACUUAAACUCUUAAUAAGAAUUUUCUUCUAAAUAUCAUUCAUGCAUUUACUCUAAGUAUUCAUUUAGUAGAUCAACUAACGUUUGGAAUAUCUACAUUUAUGAACUAAUGAAAAGAGUAUUUUCAAAUAUAAUAAUAAAAGAAAAAAUUUAAUUGAUUGUUGUAAAGAAUUGGAAGAACUAAUUGAUAAACUUUUUUAAAAAAAAUGUAAAGGAAGUUGAUAAGACAAACUUGAAAAUCUAUGGACUAAAAUAAUUACUUUAGCAUGUAUUUAACUAUUUUAAAUUAUCGAUAUUGAGUUCACCCUAAAGAGUAUUAAUUAAGACCUAUUUUUCAUUAAAACGAGUGUAGAAGUUGUCCACUUUAUUUUAAAUUAUUUCUAAAUUAGGGCAAUUUCAACACUUUUCUAUAACUAGUUCUAAAGUAUAACACUUUUAAAAACACUAAUUCCAAAAAAAUAAAUAAAAAUGGAGUUGCUUUUCAAUCAUACAAGAAACUGAGACAUAUAUAAUAAAUUGAAUAAAACUAUUUUAAUGCUAAUAUUAAUAUAACAUAUGUUUAUGCCAUGUAGUUCUAAAGAGAAUGUACGUCCAACCUUACAAUAUAAUAACAGAAAAUUGAUCCAAUAAUCAAAAGUUGUUUACUAGUACCAAACAAAAAAAGAGAGAAAUAAUAUUGAGACCCAAAUGUGCAACUAAGCCCACAUUUUUGGAAUAAAACUUUUCAAAAUUUGAGCACACAUGUAUAUAUAAUAUAAUUAAUAUAAGAUAACACAAACGACAGUAACAUUACUCAAUAAUUACAAUAUUAAUUUGCUAAAGAUAGAAAGCUUAAGUUUUAUAAAAAAGAAAAAUAUAAAAAGCUAUCAAUAUUAUUCUGUUAACAAAAAUAUAAAAGUAAAGUUUCAAAAACUUAAACUAUAAACUUUGACAAAUGAAAUACUAUCAAUAACUAAUAUUAGAGGCAAAGUUAAAUUGAUUUUGCAUACUUUCCACUAUGAGCUAAUCGUGAAAACGAAGAGUAUGUUCCAAGGAUUGCUGCUAUGAUGCCCAACACGAUUACCACCUUGCAUGAAAUUAUCUGUUUUUUCUCAAACAAAUACACAACAUUAGAUUUCUCAAAAGAAAAAAAAAUUUAUCAAUUUGAUUAAUAUUUAUAAACCAUAGAAAUGCAAUAUAGAUAUCUAAUUCUUGGAGUUUGUAUUAAUAAUAAGUGAGUGGAAAAGAAAACAUUAGAAUAUAUAUACAUUACCUGUAUUUUGGAAGCUUCCCUCCCCAUGAUUUUCAAAAAACAGGAGGCUGGUAUUAUUAUUGCCUGUACCAAAUUUCGUAUAUAAAUUUUAGCAUAUAUAUAAAGUAGGAUAGAAGUAUAACACGUUCUUUGUAAUUUUGUUUUUAUAAACUUUUUUUUAAUAACAAUAGACUCGUCCUUGAAAAUAAGAUAUAACACUCACACGACAACCAAUUAAUGAGAGAAUAGUACUUAUACUAUGAUGGGUGUAGAAAAAUUUUAUUUUUCUUAAGUAAAAGUUCUGCCAGUAGGCUUUUAAUAUAAUUAAACAUCUCAUCUUGUUAUUAGUAUAAUUAGAUGUUUUAAUUAUUAAUUUUCCUAUAAUUAGCAAACUAAUUUUAACAAUGGUAAUUACUGUAAGAAUGUUAAACUUUUUUUUUCACAGAUUGAAAUUUUUCAUAAUGAUAAUAAUAAUAUUAGAAAAAUGGAGAAUUAUCCUAAGAUCUGAACUUUUGGCCUAACCUUUUGAAGAACCCUAAUGCUUCUCUUUAAGUAUCAAUCGUCGUUUCCUAUGGCCACUUUCUAUUAUAUAUAUUUAUUCUAUCUAAUUAUUAAGAACUUUUAUAUAUAUGUAUAUAUGGAUACCUCUCUAACUAUAAAUAUUAGAACUCUAUCUAUCACACCAUUAAUUCUUAUCAUAUGCUUUCUCUCACCAUAUAAUUAUUUUCAAAAUACAAAAUAGUACAAAAUAUUGUAAAGUGAAAAAAAUCACAAAUUUUUAGAAUUUGGUUUUGUUUUGAAAAAUAACACAGAUGUAUUGAACAUACACACUUACAAUGAGUAUGCAGAGAAGGGAGCCAAUUAAAGCCAUCACAAGACCUGCAUUAUUAUGUUUUCACACAAUACAUUUAAACACUUUAAUUUUAAUUAGUUGUAAAAGCUAGAAAUAUAUAUAUAUAUAUAUGGACACAAGGCAGUUCAACCAAAGGAGUUCACUGUUAAAAUAGAAAAUUAAUAAAAGGAAAAAACAUCCAUUUGUUCUCCUAAAUUACAGAUCUUUUAACUUGAAUGUAAGUGUAUCAAUUUAUACCAUUUUGUUGAUGUUGUGUUUGAAAAAAUCUUGAGUGAAACUUAAUUAUAUCAAUUAAAUCUUUAAAAACUUAUGCAUAAGAGAAACUAUUUAGAUUCUUAAUCAUAAUCUAAUCAAAAAGAGGGGUGUGAUAAAUUUGAUACACUUCCUAAAGUCUAGGGUUAGAUGGGUUGUGAAAAUUUUAGUUACAAACGUAACAUAAUGAGAAGAAAAAGAAAACAUACCAAAGAACGGGAGAAGUAGAGCAACACAAAGGGAAGAGAUAACAAGUGCAGUUCUUAAAAGAAUGGAACACCAGUAGCUAUUUGAAAGUCUGUUUGGUAGUCUCUCCUCUAUACUUUUUGCCAAUGGAGUCAUCAACAAUGCAUAUUUGAGAAAAAUGUUAAGGAAAUAAUAUAUAUAUAUAUACACUCCAAAAUUCAAUUAUCCCAUAAUUAUUCAAUAUAAAAGAAAUUAUGCUAAUGUGUAUAUAUUUGAAAAGGAUAUUUAGUCAAUGGAACAAUAACCUGUCAACAAAAAGAAAAAAAUAGAAGAAGAAAUAAUUCAUAUUCUUUCAAUAUAUAUUAAAAGUAAAAUUUACCCUAAUUAGAGGAAAUUCACUUUAAGUUCAAAUCCAUGUAAAAGUUAAUUAAAUUGAUCACACUUCAACCCUAACUGCUAAGAAAAUAUGUAUGGUAAAUGUGAAAUUACUUACUGUUGUCCAUUUUGCAACAUUGGAGGCAAGAGCAUGUUGUGGCAUGUUCAAGGUUAUUUGGGACAAUAUACUUUGGCCAAACAUGAGAAAUCCCAUUAUAGCAACUCCCCCAUAUAUUAAUACACAAAAUACAAAGCUGCCAAAUAUGUAAACAGAUUUCUUUUUAAGUAAUUUGUUAUAAAGUCUGGACAGAUAAACUCAUAAAUAGUAGAAAAUUGAUGAAUCGUAACACACACAUACCAUAUUAAAAGAGCCUUAGUGAACUUGGUUUUAUCUGCCAUAGAAUGGUAAAGAUUAGGGAAAAGAGUAUGACCAGAGAAGCAAAAUCCAUAAGCUCCAAUGGCAAAUGGAAUGCCAUUCCAAUUCACUAAUUCAGCAGCUUCAGCUUCAUGAAACCCUAUUCCUCCAACUGUUCCCAAAUAAGCUAUGGUUAGGAUUACCACUGUUGUUGCUAGCACCCCACCAGCUGUCCAAUUACAGUUUUAUCCUCAAUGUUAAUAUAGUACUUUAUGAUUAAAUCUUCAUUGAUCUGAUUAGAUUAUGUUGUCUGUACUAUCGUUAACCAGUUCAGUUCACUAAAUAAUAACAUGAUACUAAAAGUAUUUAACAUAAAUUUAUUUAAUUAGCAUGUCUUGAUGAAGAAAUGAUAGAAACAAAGAUCAAUAAUGAGACAAAAUACUAAUCAUGGUCCAAAAAUGAAUUUGUGAGUAUAUAUUGCAUGCUUCAUUUUAUUUUUUCAACAACUGCCAGUUCAUUCUUCUACUAUAUAUAUAGCUUCAUCCUAAUCAAUAUUUAAUAGUUAAUAUGACUUUGUCAUGUUCAUUUAUCUUAUUAUCUUAAUAACAUAGAGUUGUCUCAAUUACAUUAUAUAAUCUCAUAUAGAUUACCAUAUAUAUAUCACAAACUAACCAAUUUACUAGAUAAUAACGUAACAUAAAAAAUACGUAACGUGAAGAAUACUGUUUCAGUUACCUAAACUUAUUUUAUUAACACGUGUCGUGACAAACAAAUGAUAGAAGCAAUUGAAUAACAAGACAACAUAGUCUACAGGUACAAACAAAAAUAAUAAAUUUGACACAUUGUUUUCAAACAUUUUUUUUCCCAGCAAAUGUCCAUUUUUCAUUAGUCUACUAUAUAUAUAUACACACUUCUAUCAUACUAAAUACUAAUCAAUAAUUUAUUUAAAUAUAGUCAUCAUUGAUCUUAACAAAUAAAACAUUAUUCUAAUUACAUUGGAUUGUUUAUAUAUAUUACUAAAGUGUUCUAUCUACUGGGUAAUAACAUGACAUAAAAGUAGUAUAUAUCAUACAUAGUUACAUAAACUUAACUAAGAAACAAAUGAAUAACAAGACAAAAUAUAGUAUGCAUAGACCAUGAAAUUAAUGAAUCUGAUACAUCGUUUUCAAAAUACAGAAAACGUUGAUAACAUGCUAUGUUGAUUCAACAGACAUGUCGAGUAUUUGUUUACGUAAAGAAAUAAAAUUGUAAAAUAAAGAGAAAAGAUUACCAGAGAGAUAUGAGAUCCAACGGAGAUCCCUAAGCCAGACAGUAGGCAGAACAAGAAGAGCAGUAAUAAUUCCAAAGAGAUAGAUUGAGUCCAAAUGAAUGCCAACAAAAUUCAACCAUGUAUCUGGAAAUAGACUGCUAAGAUUGUCCUCUUCCAAGAUUAUGAACUCAACACAGCAACACUGCAUACAUUUUUUUUUUUGGUAUAUUAGAAAAAUAAGAUAUGUAUUUUAGAAAAAAUAAAAUAAAAAUUAUGUAAUAAUAGUUGUUAAUCUCAUAUUUCAAUUUUGGAUCUAAUUAUACUUAUUAAAUUUUGUAAGAAGUCCCCUAAACUUUUGUGUUUAAUACGUGUUUUUCCUUGGGUGUCUAAUAGAUUUUCGUGUAUUUCAAAUGAAUUGUUUAAAAUUUUAUUUUGUUAAAUAAAAAGUUUUUCAUCUCUUACUUCCUAAAAUGAAUGUUUAAUAUUUUUUAAAGAAGAAAAUCUAAUAUAAACUUCAAAUAACUUUUAUAUUUUAUUUUUGAAAAAAAUGAAAAUCUUACUUUAUAAAAAUUAAUAGAUUUUACUUUAUUAUUAUAUUUUUUUUGGAAAAAUUUAAAGUCAUGUAAGUGUAUUUAUAAUUCAACAUUUAAUUACUUUUUAAACAAAAUGUUUCCUUUUUAGAAAAUAGAAAAUAAUUAAGAAACAAUAAAUCUAAAGAAAAAUAAUGUAAAGUAUACAAAUUGAGACAUAAGAAACCACAUAUAUGAAAGAGAGAAAAGAGAGACUCACAUAUAAUUCCAUAUAUAAAAGAACCUGAAAAGAAAACAACUUUAAUUAGCUUAAAAGUAAACGAAAUAUAAUGAAAAAUAAUUAUGUGGGGUGAGAGAGGCUCGAACUCUCGACCUCAGGAUCACUCUAUAGCUAUGAGACCUACGCGCUAGCCAACUGCGCCACCACCCCACUGUAUGCUCAAACUUUAUGCGUUUAAUUUAGAAACUUUAAAUAUUGAAUUCAAUGUCUAUAAAUACAUACGAAGUUGUAAGUUAGGUUUAAAGUAGGGAAUAUUUGAAAUUAAUUGAAAGAGUAAAUUUACUUACGGAUACGAAGAGGCGUCCAAAGGUUCCAAAAGCAGCUUCACCCAAAUCAGGAAAGGUAAUAAUAUUGAAUUGGGAGGUUGUCUUUUCAAAGCAAUAUUUCAUAAGCAUAGCUGUGAAAAAGCAAACAAUCGCAAAAACAAGAAGCACUCCUAAGCUUCCCCAUCCAGCUUCUUUUACUGUGUAAGGUGUGGACAAUAGCCCUACCCCAGCCAUGAAGUUCAUUCCUGUCACAUCAACAACAAUAAUACACCAUUACUUUUACUUUAUUUCUUGUUUGUUGUUUUAUAUAUAUGGGUGCUUCUCACCUCGGGAUACCAAAUUAAGCUCAUUUUCAAGGUGAUCUAAACUAUUUUAUGUGGAAUUACUCGACGUCAAUUGGUUUUUAUGAGAGGAUUUAACAACAUGAUAUAGAAUUAGGGUUGGUGGCUUGCCAUUAAAAAUGGUCUGUGAGAAGGUGCAACCGUGAGGAGUAGACAAUGGCUGGGAAGAAGAGAUCUUAUAUUCCAAAUUAUGUCCCUCAUGGCCAUAAUAACUGUUUAAUAAUGGAGCCUUUGCAUCAACCUCCACAUCCAUAUCAUCAGACUCCACAAUUCCAUUCUGAAAGCUUGAUUUUAUGAUAUUUGGAAUUCGUAGAAUCCCAAACGUUGGUGACGUUGUUAUAGCAUAUGAAUCACUUGCUUCUCUGCCAAUUUUACAUAACAAAAUAUUAAACAUUAAUUUAAAUUCUGGCAACCAGUAGGUUUAUGAAAUUCCUUGCACUUCCCUUUUAACAUAAACUACCAUAACUUGGUUAUCGUAUUAUACUUACCUAUUUAAGACUUCAAAUCUUUCACUCUAAUUGAACUCAAAGAAAAAGAAAAUAAAGCAUAGUUGAAAAUUUUGUCCACAAAGUCAGAAAGAAGUCAUAUUGUAAAUAACUUGAAGAAUAAAAUAAUAGUAAAACUCGAGAUUCGGUUUCUCCAAAAUUGGAAAGAAGUCAUAAUAUAAAUAAAAAUAAUGAGUAAAACUCGAAAUCCGAUAUCCACACAAUAAAAAAGAAGUUAUAAUGUAAAUAAGUUUUUGUUUUUACUUUAAAAGUAAUGAGUAAAAUUGGAGAUCGUAGUAGGUAGGGUUCAAGAAAUUUUAUAGGAACAGAAAAUAAUCAAAUAGUCUACAGCCCAACUCCAAUCUUUAAAAUUUUAUUUAUUAUUAAUUUACUCUGAUUCAUUUAAAAUAAACACAUGUUUAAUAAGAAUUUUAAUUAAAUAUAUAAUAGGUAAUUAAGAAAAAGAAUUAAAAUUGAUUAAAUUUAAAAGUUGAAAGAUGUCAAAUUUGAAAAACCAUAAUUUAAAUUUGAAAAGAGGUAAAAGAUGAAAUAAAGUGUUUAUUCCAUUCAUCGGUAAUCUAAAUUCGUGAAUGUGUAAUAAUUUAAUUUAAAGAUAUCAAAAAGGUGAGAGUGAAAUAAAGUGCCUCUUUUUAACUAAAAUAAUCACAAAGUACUGCUAAAAGAAAAUUCAUAUAUUAAAAGGUGAAAUAAAUAUAUUAGAAAAUAAUUAUUAAAAAAAAAAUACACUUUUUUCCCUUAUUUUAUUUUAAAAUGCAUUUAGCAAUUAUUAGUUCAGGCCUUUCACUUUCUUUGUUACACACAACAUUAACUUUUUCUAAAUCUAAUAAGAAAGUGAAGAAAAUUUAUAUAUAAAUUAUGAUUUUUUAUUUUUGAGAUUUAAACUCUACAAAUUUUGAGAAAACAAUAAUUUUUUUUUAAAAAAAAAUUAAGCUACAGAAUUAUAUUAAAUACAAGGGAUUUUUUUGGAGGGAAACUAUAUUUUGUUCAUAUAAUAACCAAACAUUCUCAACAUGACUAGUGAGUUGUGUGAAUAAAAUACACAUUAUAUACUCCAUGCUAAAGUUUAGAAUUAAUAAACAAACAACUUUAUAAACAAGAACCAUAUUUAAAUUACUAAAAUUAGCUAAGAUUGAUCCCAAAAAAAGUAAAAAAAAAAAAAAAGUAACUUUUUUAGUUUAUGUUAUCUUUUUCUAUCACACAAAGAAAGCAAGACAUGAAUUGUUGCUAUCACAUGACAAAAAGGAAAAUUAGCACUUUUUUUUAUUUUUCAAAAUCUUUAUCACAUUAAUAAUAAUACACAAACCCUAACAUUUCUUUUAGUAUUCAAUUCAAGAUCAUAACUUAAUUGGGUAAAACGUUUUCUCAAUUCAAGCCAUAACUUUUAUCAAAUUGUGUAUACCUGUAUUUAUUUUUUAUUUUUUAAGUUUGUACUUGUUCUCUAACAUUUAAUUUUGGAAUGUUAUUUUAUUUUUCAGCCCAAUACCAAAACUAUAUUUUCUUUUUCAUUUUUAACACUUGACAUAAAUUGCUUAUAAAGAUCGAGAAAUGAAGAUCGAGAUCUCAUCAGUUUUUAUAAGAUGCAUGAAUUAAUUUUCUACCGUUAAUUAAGUUUUUAUUUUUUUAACAACUUUUAAUUUAAUUAGUAAAAGUUACUAGCUAGAGAUAUAAAUUUUUGUUAUACUUUGUAAAUAUUUUAAUUUAUUAAUUUAUGAGCCACGGACAAAUCGAAAAAUGUUGAACUCAAAGUAAAGUUUUUUUAGGAUGAAGAAUAACCAAAACUCAUCCUUCCAAAAUUAUAGAUUUCGACAUCAGUCUUUGAAGGAAAACAAAAACAACUAAAAAAGUAUUAUUUUAGUUUUUUUGAAGGAAAAGAAAAAAUAGAUAAGAAUCAAGAACGGAAACAUUAACAUUAACGUAACGACUUAAACGAUCACACCUGAAACUUUGUGGCCAUUGUUGUGAAGUAGAGGUGGACUUGCAACCUCGACGGACACACUUAUUAAUAGCAGCAACGGUGGUGGUAGAGUCGUCGUCUCCGUCGCUGAAACUGCCGCAACUACUAACACUUCUACUUUCCAGUAAUCCGUUAUUGUUCAUCUCUAUAUCGUCAUCUUCGUCUUCAUCUUGGCCAUCAUUAUUGUAACGGGGCUGAUCCAAGAAAAGCUCUGAAUCUUGGUUGUUUUUCUUCUCAGCCAUGGAGAUUAUUUGGAGGUUUAUUGAGUAAUUUGGUGGGUUUAGAACUUUAUAGUAAUAAAGGAAGGCCAAAGAUGGUAGCUUGUUAUUUUAUUUUAUAUAUCAAAACACACAGUUGGUCUUUCUUGAAUUCCCAUGUCGAUCUCUUAAGAUUACGUAUGGGGAAUAUCCUUAUUAUUAUUAUUAUUGUUUAUGUUAUUCAUUAAUAUUAUCUUUUGUUUGUGAUGGCCUUUAUAUCUCCUUUUUAAGUCAUUUCAUCCUAAUCGUACCCAUCCGAUGCAUGUUGAAGAUUAAGUAUUUCUCUUUUAAUGAUUUGUUUGACUAGAUUUUUUAUAAUGUUUUUCAAUGAUUAAUUUGAUGUUGAUGGAAUGAAAAUGAAGAAUAAAUUAUUGUUCAUGUCUCCGAGAAGUUGUUCGUUUUAUUCAUUUUAAAAGCAAAUUGAACCUUGUUGAUAAUUAGAUCUUGUUGCCGUUUGUUUUCUCAUGGACUUGAUUUUCGAACUACUCUUUCUAGUUUGGUCUCAAUUUUCAAACUUAACCUAAUUAAAAGAUUCUUACACACCCGUAUUUGUGUCAAGCUAUUUCAGAAGUUUAUAGUUCAAUUAAUCACAUAAAAAUUGAAGUUAAAGUUCUUAUUAAGAGAUUAAUUACUUUCUCUUGAAUGAUGUUUAUAGAUCGUUCUUCUAACCCUACUGACUUUCCAUAGUGUCAUCUUGUAGAGCUUUUACUAUUUUAUUUAUGAAAUGUUUUGAAUACUUAUCUCUUUAUUUUUUUCUCCUCUUUUCUUGUUUAGUCCAUCUCAAAUAUUACUUUUUCAAAUAUCACUCAUACAUUAAGAAAUCGUUUCUUUUUCUUGUUGGUUAGUACAUCUCAUAUAAUCACUUUACUUUUAUCAAUUUCGAUAAUGUAAGAUACUUCUUGUUCUUUUAUCUUUUUAAAAGUUAUGUACGAGAUGUAUUAAGAACAAAGAAGAAAAAACAAGAAAAAAAAAUCAAAAAGAAUGAAUGAUUGAGUAAUAUUAUUGAAAAAAAUUCCAAAUGUAUUUUAGUAAUAUAUAAAAAAUACGAAAUAUAUCAUAUAUAUCAAAUAUAUAUUACAAAAGUAUAUGUAUGUUUUUCGUAUUUCAUAUAUUAAAAAAUUUAAUAUAUAUAAACAUAACAUGGAACGACAAUCAUAUGUUCCAUAAUUAAACAUAUUGAUGCGUAUUAUUAUCUUUUAAGUUCAAUUUCUUUUCUUUGAAUCUCUGUUAUGUAAAAACAUAAACGAACAAAGAGAAACCAUUAGACAAGAAAUACAACAUAUUUCUACAAGAUGAACCACUAGACAAGAAAUACAUAACAAUUGAUUCACUAUAAGCGACAUAUGCUUUUUAGUUUUAUUUUUUAUUGUUUGCUAGGUUUUGUAUUUCAAAAAAUAAAUUAGUCUAAUUUAUUGUAAUUUUUUAUUUAAAAAUUAUUUCAAAUGACAAAAUUAGUGAAAACAAACGUGAUGAAAUUUUAUUAUAUUAUAUAUAUAUCUUGAUUCGUUAAUUCUACCCUUGUUAUAAAUACUUGGUUGUUCAGAAAUAAAUUCAACCAAAAUACAAAAGGGGAAAAGGAAAAAUCAUGCAUGCCCUUCUCAUCUUCUCUCCCAAAACUUCCCAUUAUUUCUUCCUCGUUCAAAAUAGGGUGUGCACCCAUUUACACUAUAAAUAUGAAAUAAUAAUAAAAUAAAGCUUAAGAAAAAUACUAAUAUACUAACAAAUAAAAAUAUUUGAACAUUUUUUUGAAAGCUUAAGGUAUGACUGAUUUUUUUUUUAAAAAAAAAGGGCCAAACAAUUUUCAUACAAACCAACAAUAUAAAUAUUUUUUAACCCUUUAAAAAUUUCAAAAAGGGUAGUAUUUAGAAUUUCAGAAUUUCACAAAUACCAAGCUUAAAAGUAAAUAAUUUUCUGUUAUAACACACCCAAUUCUUAAGAUUUUAUAUCCCAAAACUCUCCUAUUUCAACACUCAGUACUCUACUUCGCCAUUCCUCACUCUUCUAACGUAUGUAGAUUUCCUUUUAUUAGAGUGUUUGUCAAAGGAAAUGUCUAAUCUAAGCCUACAAAUAAUGAGAUCAAUAAUAGCCUGGUACAAUUAUUUAGAAGUUCAAACUGCCUAGUUAUGACUUCGAAGCUACCAAUAGCUUAGUACAUAUGAUCUCGAACGGCUGCAGACAUGAAGUCUACAGCAAAUCUAACCGGACCAUAUUAUAUGUUUCUCAGUAACUCUUUGCAAUCUUUGACAGAGAAGAAUAGGUUCCCAUGAUUGCACUAACGAUACCGAGUCCAACAACAACGAUGCUCGAAGUAAUCUGAUUUCAUACGGAAAAGGUGAACAAACCAUACAAAUGUAAAGGUAAGCACUAAUAUUCAAUCCAACAUAUUUUGACGGUAUGAAUCCUCAUAAUGAAUCAAAAUAUCCACUCUGUUUUGAAAAGAAAAAAAGGUUUAACUUUGUUUUUGUUUCUAUAAUUGAAAAAGAAUUCAAGUGUUUCCGUGAGAAAAGUUAAAACUAGUACAAGAAAAAGAAAAUUGGAAGGAAACAAACACAAAUUUUAAAAGCAAAAGAAUCUAAAAAUCAAAUCGUUAUCAAAUAUCACCGUAAUUUUUUGAAAUUGACUAAGAAUUCAAAUGUAUCUUUGGAAAAUUAGAAAGAAACAUGUAUAUAUUUCAAAGUAGAAAAGUAAAAACAAAACAAUAUUUUAGAUUUUAUUUGAUAACCAUUUUUGUUAUUUUUUUCUUUUAGAAAUUAGACCUAUUUUCUUAUAUUUACUUGAUUUACAUCUCAACAGUUGAAUUCUUAACUAAAUUUGAAAAAUAAAAACAAGAUUGUCCAAACUACUUUUUAGUUUUCAAAAAUUUGCUUGAUUUUGUAAACUAUUGAUUUAGUAGAUAACAAAGCUAGGGAUGAAAUAAGUAUUUGUAGGUUUUACUUAAAAAAAACAAAAAACAAAAAAGGAAAUUAUUAACCAACCAACCUUAAAUGUUGUAGAAUUUAUAAAAAAACAGAAUAAUUACUUCUUUAUUUGAAAGAUUAAUUACCGUUAAAAGUAUGGUUACCUGUAUCUUUGUAGCGUCGCUUCCCAUUAUUUUUAGAUAGCACAUGGUUGGCACUAUUACCGACUAAAUCAAAUACCAUACAUUAAAAACAAAUCCACAAGUGCAUUUUAAAAUAAUAAAAUAAAACAAACUAAUCUGCAAGACGAUGAACAAGUCUCAUACUCCAAAUCUUGUGAUGAUCCAAAAAGACAAAUUAAUAGAAAACGAUUUAAACAGAUCGUAAUUUAUAAUGUUAGUCAACCUUUUCACAUACUGCUAAUAAAUAAGAUUCAAUCUAUAGAAUACAUAACUAACAAAAAUAUAUAUAGUCCUUUGUUCAAGCAAAUCUUUUGGACACAUGCUAAAAGUUGAAGCUCAUAAGCUAAGAAAAAUGUUUAAUUAGGUCAGAUACUAAAAGUCGAAAGUUAUAGACCACGGUUCCAAGUUUCGAUGGAGUGGAUCUUUAUGCUCAAAUGAAAAAUUGAACUUAAGAGUGGAAGUAUUUAGUAAUCAAAGAAAUCGAGGGUGAAUAAAUGGAAGGUUUCUUUUCUUGCUUUCCUCAUCCCAAAAAAUAAAUGAUGCAUUAUUUAAGAGAGGACGGCUGCAACUUUGAAAAGGUGGAUUAGUAUCUACUAAUUUUCAAACUUGGCAUUGACCUUUUAUUGGAAGUUCAGAAUAAUUUAGAUUUUUCAGUUCUUAUCGUCCAUGUAACCUCCAACAUACUUUGUAGACUUGGAUAUUUGCAAAGAAAGAAAAGGUUCAAGAGGUCACCCCAACAUAAACUUCUCUCUCUUGGAAACGGAAUGGUUUUCUUCUUCCUCGAUAUUUUUUUUUUCUUUUUUCAAAAGUUCAAGUUAUUUUCCUCUUUCACGAAUCCCUUAUUUAAUUUUUCUUUUAUUUUUUAUUUUUCUUUUUAUCACUUUUCAAUCUCCUUAUUUCUCCAUCAUUCCUUCUCUAUUUUCAAUCUCUUUCCUUAUCUUUCUCCCUUACGAUUUCUCUUUUUUAGCUAUAUAUUCUCUUUCUUCAUUUUUCCUUCUUUUCUUCCGUUUCAGUUUAGUGUUGGAGAUAGGUCAUCACAAGCUAGACAGGGUAAAAUAAUGAAGAAGAUGAAGCAAAAAGGAGGAGGAAAAAAAGAGACAUCGAGAUUGAUCAAUGGUGGAAUACAGUGGUUCUUCGAUAGUAGUGAAGACAAGGUUGUGGUUGAGGUGAAUGGUGUGAGGACAAAGAACAUAGAAAAAGAAGGUCCUAAAUUACCAAUUGUCCAAAAAAUCUUAAGCUUGUAGAAAAAUAUAAGAAAAGGUAUAGAAAAAGCUUAACAAUAUAGGUAUUUGGACAAAGUUGGCAUCCAGCAGUUAUGAAGACAAGAUUGUGGUCAAGAUGAAGGUGAGAGGAUAAGAGGUCUGAAAGUAUAGAAAAAGAUCUUAAAUCACCGCUUGAUCCAAAAGCUUAAACUUGUGUGGGUGAAUGAAUAUUAAUCAAGAAGGAAACAACGAUUCAAGAAUUUAAACACAAGACCUCUUAAACUCAAUCUACUAUGAUACCAUCUUAAACCAUCAAUUGAUCUAGAAACUUAAGAAGUAAAAAAACAAUGAGGUUGAUCAGUGGUGGUAAAUAAUGGUUGGUGUUUGAUGGUAGUGAAGACAAGUUGUGGUUCAAGUGAAGGUGUGUUGAAGGUAAAAAAUAAAAUAAAAUAAAAUAAAAAAUCUUCAAUAACCAAUUGACCUAAAAACUUAAGCUCAUUAGUGAAAGAAUAUUAAUUGGGGGAAAAACAACAAUACAAGAGUUUGAACACAGGAUCUUCUUAACCAACCUACUCAGACACCAUCUUAAAUCACUUUAUUGACCCAAAAACUUAUGAAGAAGGAAAAAAAUCACUGAGGUUGAUCAAUGGUGGUAGACAACAGUUGGCCUUCAACGGUAAUAAAAACAAGCCUAUGGUUGAGGUGAGGAUGGGAGGGCAAAGGUUAGAGAAAAGGAACAUCUCAAUCACCAAUUGACCCAAAAACUUAAGCUUGUAAGUAAAGAAACAUUAAUUGGGGAAGAAACAACAAUGUUGAGGACACAUAACUUCCUAAACUAACUUUACCAAAACUUUUAUGAGCGAAGAUAAAUUUAAUUAUAUAUCAUCUAGCAGAAAAAAGAAGUUCAACUUAGUAAUUAUUUCAUAAUUUUAAAAUAAGAAAUAUAUAUGAUUUUUUACGGGCAUUUAAUGAAAACCUAACCAACAAUUUAAUAGCUAACAGCUCCACAAGGUGACCAAUUAAAAUCUAACAUUAAGUAACAACCAUUAGGUGCAACUAGCUAUGAGCUAAAACGAAGAGCAUUGUAACAACAGGACUACAAUCUCACCAAGAUAAAGAAUCAUCAAGAAGCACUUACCACAAGUAUGCUGAGAAGAGAUCCAAUCAAAGACAUCACAAGACCUACAAUCAACACAAAUGCCAAUUUACUUCUAGUUAUGCUCAAUUCAUCUGCCAUGCUAAGAUAAACUUCUCAUGGAAAGUUCAAAUUUGGCUUUACAGUUAAUUAGGUGCUUAAUCAAUCAAGUAUUUAACUGCAUCCAACAGCUGUACAGUUAAAUGCUUAAUCAAUGAGCUUCUAGCAUGAAAAUAUAGAUGAGCUAACACUUUGGGGGUACUAGAUAAUGAAAGUUACUUUUUAGAAAGGCUUAUCAUCUACUAUGACAUUAGUGGAAAGGUUAUUAUCAUCCACUAUACAAUCCAUUAUGUUAAGAUGACUUCAAAAAUGAAAGUAGUACACAAUUACAGAAAAUUUGAAGAAGAUAUAAUUACCAAAAAAGGGCAGAAUGAAAGCCACACAAACAGAAGAAGCAACAAGGGCUGUUCUUAGAAGAAUGAAACACCCGUAGCUAGCUGAAAUUCUAGGAGGUAAUAGCUCCUCUAUGCUUCUUGCCAGUGGAUUCAUCAACAGUGCAUAUUUGAGCAAUGUUAAGGAAGCAAAUUCAAUCAUUGGUCCAAAAAUAAAAUAUUUUGUCACUUAGUUUUCCAAAACGAUGUCCCUAUCUAAAAAGGAUAUUUGGUGAAUGGAUUGAUAACCUGUAAAAGAAUUAAGAUUGAUCAGAAAUAUUGCAAUCCUCAUACUCCGUAAGUUUAGGUGGGAAAUAAAAGAACAAAACAACACUUACCGUUGUCCACCCUGCAACUUUAGAGGUAACAGCAUGUUUUGGCAUAUUUAAAGUUAUUUGGCUUAAUGUAUUUUGGCCAAACAUGAGAAAUCCCAUGAUAGCAACCCCUCCAUAAAUCAGAACACACAAAAUGAAGCUGCAUAGAUAAAAAUAUUAGAAGCAUCAAGCUAAGUGGCUAGUAAAGAGGAUUCCAAGUCUUGACAUGUACCAUACUAUUAGCGCCUUGGUGAACUUUGUUUUAUCUGCCAUGGACUGAUAAAUGUUUGGAAACACAGUGUGGCCAGAAUAACAAAAACCAUAUACACCAAUUGCAAAAGGAACACCCUUCCAGUUCACUACUUCACCAGUCUGAUGAAACCCCACGCCUCCAAAUGUACCAAGAAAAAUUAAGCACAGCCCUAUUAAGAUGGUUGCAAUGACUCCACCAGCUGAAAUCAACAUUAAGUAUAUGGUUUCAUCUAAUAUCCAAAUUAUCAUAGCCAGCGUAGAUUGGACAUAAUUAGUCUAAUAUGAUACAUUACCUGACAGGUAUGAGAUCACACGGAGAUCUCUCAGCCAAACAGUGGGCAAAACAAUCAGUGCAGUUAAAAUUCCAAAAAGAUGCAUAGAGUCCAACUGGAUACUCCCCAAACUCAACGAUGCUCCGGGAAAUAGACUGGUUAGAUUGUCUCCUUCCAAGAUAAUAAAUUCAACGCAGUAACACUGUAUGCAUUGAGAACAUCAGAGUUUAGCAAAAUGAAAUAUCUUUCUAUUUGAAAGAAUAAUGUUGAAGAUAGAUUAGAGAUUCACUUACAUAUAAUUCCAGGUAUAAAAUGAUCUGCAUCAAAAUUUCAGAAACAUAACAUUAGCACGUGAAAUAUAUAAUUGCAUAACUAGAACUUAACUACUGUUUAAAAAUCUGAAUCGAAAUGAAAUCUAACUCGAGGAGUUUGUGGUCAGACAAGAAAAAACAACCAUUUCAACGCAGAUGCACAUUACCAACAUGGACCUUUCUAGUGCACCUAACAACAGAGUACAAAUAUGGACACUACUGUACACUUUGAAAGCAAAAAUCAAUAGCAUAUAUGUGAAAAACAUGUAUAACGUGAAAGUAAACUCACAGAGACAAAAAGACGUCCAAAUUUUCCAUACGCUGCUUCUCCUAUAUCUGGGUAUGUUAUAACUCCUUCUCUUUUCUCGAAGCAGUACCUCAUAAGCGUGGCUGUGUAACAGCAUACAAUGGCAAAAAGAACCAGAACUCCCAAACUGGCCCAGCCAGCUUCUUUUACAGUAAAAGGGGUGGAGAGAAGCCCAACUCCAGCCAAUACAUUGAUUCCUGUCUCAGAGUGGACGGCCACAUGAACAAAAAACAAAUAUAUAUGUAUACUGUUAGAAAUUUUGAAACUCAUCAAGCUGCAUUGCUUUUUACAAUUAAUAGCAUUUUCAUCAUAAGGACAGAAGACUUUUUCAAAGAGAACGUAUAACAGAAAACAUAGGCUACCAUUGAAGAUGGUCUGUGUGAAGCUGCACCCACGGCCAAUAGGCAAUUCACCAGUCAUUUGCUUAGAAAUUGUGGUUCUCUCUGACCUUAACGAUUGGAGUCUUGAUAUGUUAUAAAAAUCCUCAUUUUGAUCAUCACCACCAGGAUCUGAUAACAAAGGCGCUUUUGCAUCCAUUUCUAAACUACUUCUACUAAGAUUAUGCAAGCUUGUUUGCAAUAUACUUGGAACGCGAAACAUUGCAAAAUUUGGAGAUGCCAUGAUUGUAUAAGAGUCCGUUGUCUCUCUGCCAAGUGAAAAACAGCAAGAUAAACAUCAGCACCCAAGAACCAACUGCUCAAAUUUUCAAACAUACAUGACCAAUUUUCAACAAAUUUUCACUUUAAAUAUGUUAAGAAUCAAUUCCCCUAAGUUAAUGCGUCCAUAUACUACAUAGAGAAAUAAUUCCAGUUCCAUACAUCACAUCAGUAAAAUAGUAAAACUAUUGCUCAAUAAUUUGACCCUCUUCAAUAAAUAAUGAGUGUGCACUACAUCGUAUUUAACAAAAAGCAAACUCUUCUAGUAAAUAUUACCUUGAUUCUCAACAGACAUUUUAGACUGGCUAACAACUCCACUUUGAUAUGCCAGUGCCUAACAAAAAGCGUGGAAGAAGCCAAACUUCAUGAAUGAAUUAAAAAAUCACGAAUGACAGAACUAAGCCAUUAUUACCAGCCAAACCGACCGGUUCUACAAGUUUUCUCUUCUCAUAAGUCUUUCAUUAUUUUCAAAGAAAAAACAAGAGCAGAAUAUCGAAUACGUGGAGGCAACCACCAAUUCGCUGUCUCUCAAAAUGAGCUCAACAGAAACAAAUCAAUGAUAAACAAUCCACAAUUCAGAAAACUCUACAUGAACAAAAGAAAAUAAACAACUAAAACAACGCAAGCUUCUGACUAGAUAAAUUUCAGAUAGCCAAAAGGAACAGAGUCUCCUCUAUUACUAAUUCAACCACCAAAUUUCCCUCGACUUCAACUCACUAAAUCGUUCUCUCUCUCACAAUUUGAAAAUGCAUCUUGAAGAGAAAAACCAGAGUAUCAGACGGAGAAAGAAAAAGACGAGAAACACGGGCAAAAGAAAGGUAAAGAAGAAGACAAAACACAAACAGGAUUAUCGUAGUUCAGCAUUACGCCUACAUCCGCUCUCGAAGGUUCCUAAGUAUUUCAUUACUCUGACUUCAUAGAUGAAACACAAAAAUUUGCCUCAACUUCCUCUCAAUCACAGCACACACAUACAAUAAUCUGUUCAUAGUAAUGUCUAAUAUGUACAGAGUAACGGCAAUACAUUGUCAUAAACACCUAAGCUUCGAGUGAGAUAAUAAUAACAUGCACACAAGAAAAACCAGAAACGAAAUCCGUUGGCAAACGGCGAAUUAAGUUCACCUGUAACUCUGAGGCCAUUGCUGAGAAGUGAAAGUGGAGGUCCGACCUCCAAGGCCAUUAGGAGCAUCGUCAGCGUCGCUAUAGGUACUGCUGCUGCGAUCUUCCAUGCUUUUAGAGCGUUCAAGGUCGUCGUCGGCAUAGACAUCGCCGUCGAGAAAGAACUCGGAGUCGGGAUCGUUGGUUUUGGCAGCCAUGGGAGAAGAUAGUGUGAAUGAGAAAGAAGAAUGGAAAUGAGAGGAUUGUGAGCGGUGGAAUUUGAUUGUUGUUGUUAGUGUUUGGUUAUGGCGUUUGCAUUUUGGCGUAUAGCACAGAAAGAAAGGAGGAACGAUGAAUGAGGGCGGUAUUAUUGAUCAUGAUCCGAAAGCUGAUUGUCCGACGCCUCGUAUUGUAAUUGUACGGAUGCAUUCUUGUUCUUUUCAUAAACCGACGUGUCGGAAAUCGUGUCGAUGAAAAUGACCUUGCUUUUUCCUUUUUCACAUUUCAGUCUUAACCGACUUUCCUCACUUCCUUUUUUCCUUUUUUUCUUUGAAAUACACACUUUUCGCUCCAUACUUUUCUUUUCACAAAAUUGUCCGAAAUGUCUUUUAAUAUAUUUGUCCACUAAAAUUAGCAUUUUUUUUUUUAAAUCGUUUAACCAUUUUUUCUCGACCCAUUACGAGCUAGAUGAACCAUCGAAAUUAGACCGACCUUAAUUAAUUCUUUAUUGUAAAAUUUGAAAACAUACAUUUAUGCUUCUUUAAUCUUUCUCAAUCUUAACUAAUUUUCUCGGAUCUACUUUUUUUAUACGAUUUCUUAAAAGAAAAUUAUAGUUUUAUAAUUAUGUUGAUAAAAUUACCCUAAAAAUCUUGUUUACAAUGACAAAUUUAUAUAAAAUUUGGCAAGAUUACAUGAAAAUUUGAUUCAGUUCAUUAUCAAUUUUUCAGUAUAAUUUUGGUGAUGAAUUGAGAUUAGACUUCUUUUUUUUUGUCCAAAAUGAAUGGUUUUUGAAAAUAUAAAAAAAAAUGUUAAGAUUUGAAAAGAUAUUGAAAUUUUUGAUAUUUUGGUUUAUUCCGAUUUUCAACGUGGAUGAGAAAAUAUGUUUAAACUACUUUUAGAAAAUGUUGCUAAUUUAUGAGACAAUCUAUUAAAGUAUCUGCUUAUGACAAUUUCUCUUUCUUUUUCUUUAUAUUUAACUUUUAUGGUUUUUAAAGGGUAAAUUAAAAAAUUAUAAUUAGGUUAGAAUCAGUCUUAGACUCCUAAUACUCUAAAUUCAUUUUUAGGAACAAAUUGGUUUGAAAAUUUUAAUUAUUAGAUUUAGGGGUUUUUUCUCAAAAAAAAAAAAAAAAAUCAAACUAUUUAUACUUCAAAAGAAAAUUAGACAAAAAUCUGUCAUUAUAUUUUAUUUUUCUAGAGGUUUAAAUAUUACUAAUUUUUCUCUCUUUUACUUUGGUCAAUUUUUCUUAAAAAUUUAUAUAUUUUAAUUUGGUAACAAUUUAGUUUUGUAAAUAUUAAAUUUUUAGGAUAGAAAAUAGAGUUAAGAUUUAAUAAGAGUUUUUUAGAUAAAUAAACAGAUUAGAAACUAAAUAAACACACUCUACAUGAGAAAAUAAUUAUAAUAUUUAUGAUUUUGUAAUCUUAAAGGUUAAUUAAGUUGCCACAUACUUAAAAUAUAAGAUCUAAGUAAACCUAAGGGCCACAAAUGACACUUAAAUAAAAAAAUAAUAAAAUAAAUAGCACGAGGAAAAAAUGACUAAAAUAUUUACUAUUGGUAAAAAAACUAUCGUCUUUUACUGAUUUUGUUGUAUGAAAUGUAAAUAAUUUGUCAAAACUUUUUCUAUUUUUUAAAAAUACCCUAAAGUAAUUACAUAUACAUCACAAAAAUUAAUAAAAAAACUUAAGAACUCAUAUGCAACCACCAUUUUGGACGUUUCUUCUCGAAUUUCUUAAAUUAAAAGUUAUCUGGCUAUCAAUUUAUUAUCAGUGAUAGUUCUAUCAAUUAUUAUCGUUUAUAACUUUUUCUUUAUCAUCAUUACAAGUGUUUCUUCUCGGUUUUUUUUAAAGUGACAACUAUUUAUGGGAAUUUGUCGUAACUUUAGCACAAUCUGUUGGAAUAAAUGGUUAUGAUUCUUCAUGAAUAGAUGUAUCAUUAGUGGAUGCAUCAUUUCAUGAAAAGUUGGAAUAAAUGGUUAUAAUAUUUCAUGAAUGGAUGCAUCAUUUCAUGAAAAGUUAAAUCAUUUCAUGAAAAGUUAAAUCAUUUCAUGAAAAGUGUCAUUAACUAAAGGACAUGACUUUUUGAAUAGCCACAAAAAGUCUAUAAAUAAGUCAUUUUGGUUGAGAGAAAAGAACAUAGAAAAAAUCAUUUGUCUUCGAUAAACAAAUUUCUCUCCAUAUCCACAAUCUUGAUGUUCGGUAGAUUCAUAAGGUUUCAUUCGUAGAUCUUCUAUACGGGGUGCUACACUUAGAAGAAAGUUGAUAUGUUCUAUAUUGCAAUUAGUCUAAAUUCUCAAGUACUAGGGUGAGUAAAUUUGUCUUAAAUAGACAACGUGAAUUCGUUGAGCUCAGAUCUAUAUUUGUGUAUGAUUUUUCUGUUCACCGUGAUAAUAAUAUACCUAUCAAUUGAUAAUCUGUAUAACACAAUCCACAUGUGUUAUAUAUUGCUCUGAUGAUUAUCACAUUGGUAACAAACAUAUACACAUGAUUUUUUGAAAUUUUCACCACAUAUUUUGCACGUAGCGUUAUGAUUAAGAUCAAAGAAUAAUGUGAAAGUUAAGGAAUGAUGAUGUUCAUAUAUUUGGAGAGUGGAUGGUGACUCAACACAUUUCUUACGAACGAAAACAAGACAUAUUUUACAAAACAAAGGACCCUUUGAUCUCUAACUUCCCAGAAAGCACUUUACGUAGAUUGAUGAAUUCAUGUUAGGUGUUUAAAUGAGAGCAAACACAGGCUACGUGAAUAUUGAAAUCACAACUUGGACAAGUGUAGAAAACCUCUGUACUGUAUAUAAGAUACUCAUAUAUAAGUAAAAAUUUCAAACGAGAUCUCAACACUCUCCAUUCUCUUAUCGCUAGAUUUUUUAUAAUUGUUUUUAAAAAUAACUCUAUAUUGUCGUAAGGUAGGGUGGUUUGUUUGAAGACCUUAAUCAUCUCUUAGUUUUGUGCUCUUAACGUUAUACAAAACUAUUUAAUAUCUAUAAAAUAAAAUUUUAAAGUUAGAAGCUCAACAUAAUUGACAUGACAUUUUAUCUUAGACGUGAAAGAUUCGACAUAUAUACACUAUAAUUGUUAUACUAAACAAAUAUAAAAGAUGGCUCAUAAUUUUACUAGACUUCCGGGUAGGUUGUUUAAUUCAUCUCAACCAAAUUCCAACAAUUCUUAUCAAAAUUCCAAAUUGUACUCCACACCCCCGAAAACCUUGGUAUCCAUAAGAUUAGGGAACAAUUUAAUAAAAUUAUUAUAAGUAGAACCAUAGUACAAAGCAACCAAACAUUUUAAAUCCAUGCAUACAUGACCCAUAAUUAAGCAUCCACUAAACUCAAAUAUUGAUCAUCACUAUAUUUUGGCAAGCUUAAGGGUGCUCUUCCCAUCAAGUGGCUUGUUCAAGAAAUACUUAAUAUAAUCCGAAAACACAACUUCCUUGUACUCUGCUUUCUUCCCCGUCGCAAGCACCUCCGGCAACGGUCCAAUAGUGGGAGAAUUUUGCAGACCCACAAAUAUGGGAAUCGACAUUCUAUCGAUAUUUCCAUUGGACACCACACAAUGCUCCACGCUCUUGUAAAUUCCAUUGCUCAUUAUCUCCAAAAAAUCUCCAAUGUUGAUUACUAAAGACUCUGCUACUGGCUUCACCUGAACCCAUUCAUCUCCUUUGCUGUCGAUCUCUCGUCGCACGUGGAGCCCGCCGACAUCGUCUUGCAGCAGAACCGUCAAAAGAGAAACGUCCGAGUGGCUGCGAACUCCGACACUGAGAUCGGGGGUUGGACUGAUGGGAUAGUAGUUGAAUUGAAUUCUGCGAGUUUGAUUUGUUUCGUCUAGUUCGUUGGCAUUUAGUUUGUUCAUUAGAAUCUUUAAUACACGUUUGAUUAGUGUGUUUGAGCUCUUUAGAUAUUCAAUUGUUGCAUCUCUGCAUUGUCAAACCAUUCAUUUAUUGAGUUAGAUUUUCGGAAAUUGGUAACCAAAAGUUUCAUGAAAAUUUCAGCUAUAUAUCUACUUUUUACCAAUAUUUUCAAAUCAAACCAGAUUUUGAAAACUGAAGAACAAAUAACUUUUAAAUUCUUGUUAAUAUGCAAAAAGGGGGGGGGGGGGGGGGGGGGGGGAAGCAAAAGUGAAAUGUAAUGCUUGGUUCAUUACUUGGAAAUGGCAGGCCAGAAGGCAUAAGCUUCCUCCUCAGAAACAAAAUUCAUACUCAAGUAAUCGCUCCACUCCAAACCUUUCUCUGCCUCGGCGAAAAAGCUUGUCAUAUAAACCACAUUCGAACAACUCGUAUUCUCCUUCAGAAACCUCCUCUUCUCCUCCGCCGCCUGACCCAAGAAUCUCCGAGCUGCAUGCAUUACAUCACUCAUCAGUACCGCCGGAACUCCAUGGUUUAUCACCUGGAAAAAACCCCAUUUCUCUGCCGCCUCGCAGAUUAAUUCUGCUGCCUCUGCUUUCGACAUGUCGAUUAUCGGUAUUGUGUCUCCUGAUGCCUGUGACGACGCUCUGAUCAUCGAGCUCGAUCUCUUUUCUGGAGGCUGAAUGAAUGCUUUAGGGAGUGCUCUGAGACGCAUUUUAGAAAGCCCUGUCGUUCCAUAUCCUUUGUUUAUGGCUUCCUUCCAUGGAUGAUCUCCUUCUUCGUUUACUGGUUUGGAAUCGGAAUCGGAAUCAUACAUUGAAGCCAUUAUUGUUGAUGGAAGAGAGGUGAAGUGAACACACUACCCACCAAACAAUUGAUUGUCAGUUUUUUGUUUUUUCAAUUCUCUCAGACACACACAUAGUAUAUUUAUGGGAACAUUUGUAGUGCUCCCCAAGAUUUUCCUACCCUGCCCUUCCAUUGAAUUACACGUUGCCCAAUGUUUAAAAUGGUGAUGCUGUUAGAGUAUUAUUAGCAAAACUUGAGCAAGAUGUUCAAUAUUACGUCGGUAACGUGCACAUUUUGUGUCGUAGAAAUUGUUUCGAGAGAUUGCUUCCUAAUAUGUUGAUGUGUGCAGUACAUAUUACAUAUUCUCUAGUGUGUCUUCUUAUCUCAUUCUUACAUCAUUGACACUAGAUUUUGCGUAAUAUUUAUUUCUUAUUUGUUCGGAGGUGGUUAGGAAUUAGGAUUCUUCAGAUUUCAUGGCCUACUUUUUCUUCCUACAUAGAUGAUUUAUCAUAGUCUUAUUCGUUGAGAUUCUAAAUUGGUGGUGAUUCAAUUUUGAAUUUUUUGAGAGAAUGAAUGGAAAUAAAUAUAAACAUUCAUUCUAAAUUGGUGAAGAACUGUUUUGUGGAAAAAGAAAAAGAAACAAAUAAAAUAGGAGGAAAAGAAAAGGGAUAAGGAGGGGGGCUGUCAUCGAAAGAGACGAAAAGGCUAUGGUUACUUCAAAAGUGGGGGAGCGUCAGAAAAUAAAAAGGUAAUCUUUCAAUUCUUGUAGACUUUUUUUCUUUUAAAAUAUGUGGUGGAAGAAGUUUUGGAGAUUCUAAUGCAGGUUUUGGUUUCUCUUUUUUGUUGCUAAGUUUGUUCAUGGAGGCUUCACAAUUUAAUAAAAGAAAAAAAAUAUAGACAAAAUUAAUUAAUGUAGUGAAUCUAAACGUUAUUAUUUGAUACAAGUUUGGAGGGGAGAUUUGAAGUUGGAAUCUCUUGGUUCUCAAUACAUACAUUUAUCUGCUAAACUAUGCUUUUGUAGUUAUAACCAAACUAUUAAGGGUCGUUUGGCCAUUAGAUUAUGAAGCCCACUUCAUAUUUGUUCCAAGAUUAUAUCACUAUUUCUUACUCCCCAAAUAUAGAUUAUAAUAACUCAAACUAUAAUAAUAUGCACUUCAAACACAGAUUAUAAUAAUUCGUAAAUUAUUAUAAGUCGGUCAGUGUUCUUUCUUUUUUUAUUGUGUAAUUUUCUAAAAAGAAAAACUUCCAAAUGAUAGUAAAGUGACGUUAAAUUGAUGCAUAUAUUAUCAUAUUUUUUCAACAAUGUCCUCACAAUUAAAGUAUUGUUGGGGGACAAUUUGAAGCUUGGCUUAUUUAUUUAUUUUAUUUUCUUGAGUUUGCUUUUGAAUGUUUAUAAAGUUAUAAUAUAUUUCCAUCUUAUGGAUACAAAUUUUAUGAAUAAUAAAUUCAAUAUAUAACAAUAUUAUUAAAAAAUUGUAAAUGUAGCAAAAUCUACUCGUGAUAACUCUAAUGAUUUAUCAAUCAUAUACUAAUAUUUGUAAUAUGAUUUAUCAAUGAUAAACUUCUAUUAUUGAUAAAUUUAGAGACUUUGACGUAUUUGCUAUAUUUAUAAUUUUUUUAAAAAUGUGACUAUAUAUCUUAAUAUUUUGAAUAUAUUUGUUGUAUUUGCAACUUGGGUGAAAAUGUGAUAAACUUCUACAUAGAAACCCAUGAAAUACGGCCACUUUGAAAAUUGGCCUUAUUAGUUCUAGUUAGUUUGGCCCACCUCAGUUCUUUAGCCCACGGCCCAAAGUCAGACACCUUACUUCUCCGCCUAUUUUGAUUUUGAAUUUUAUUUUAUGGAUAUGAAUAUUAAACAUUUAGAUUUAAACCCAAAUAGAAUAACGAUACUACACAUCUAUCUAUUAAUUGAGUUGUAAGGACUGUUUAGGAGGUUAGAAUAUAAUCAUAAUUCCUUGAAAUUUAAACAGUGUUGAAAUGAGAAGUGAUUGAGUGCAAACAAAAGAAUUAUCAAAUAUAAUAACGUGAGUAAAAUAGAUAAAUAUUUUAAAUUCCAUCUAAAAUAAUCAUGAAAAUUAGACGUAUGUAAAAUAAAACUUACCAGAGUUUAGGACCUAAUUUGUUUAUUUGGGGAAAAUAUUUUGAAACAUAAUGGUAACAUUUUUCAAAAUAAAUUUUUGUUAGUGUCUAAAUUACUUUGAUUUCCGAUAAUUUGAAGGAAUUAAAAAAAAAAAAUAGUUAUGCCAUAUAUUUUAUUAAUUACAAGAAGAAUAUAAGCAUAGUGAGUUGGAGAUACUUUUUGCUAGAAGAAAAGUAAUUAUCAAGUGAAACAUUUUUUUUUUUUGUACAAGUACUUCUAAUUAGCUCCCUCCCCUUAAAAGAACUUUAAUAUUUUUAUAAUAUUAGCAUUUCUUUUCCAUAAUUCGAAACACAUUUCAACCUUCUAAAAUUAUAUAAAAUUCUUCGUUCAGUUUAAUAAGAAAUAACCAAAACACGAGUCUAUGAAACAUAAGCUGAAAUAUAUUUAAUUUUUAGAAGGACAUGGAUUUAGAAAAAUAAAGAUUGGACUAUAAAUUGGAAAGAGUUUGAAAAUGAUCAAAGAGACCUUUCAAGAGUCCAAAAGGCCAAUGAAUCCAUUCAAAAGAUGGUUUUGGCUCUAUAUAAGAUUUGGCACUUAUUAAUUGGUGCCCAAUUUAUAUGGUCUAUGUUGGUUGGUUCUUGGGGCUAAUCUAAAUAUCCUCAUCUAAGACCAACAUCAUAUCCUCCACACACAUAUGAUAUAACAUAUUAUCCUUAAAAAAGCACUUUUUGCCACAUAGGGAAAAUAAAUGUAUGCCUCACUUACUUUAUGUAUAUUUAUUAUUAUCAUUUCAAUCAUAUGCUUGCUUUUAUCUAUCAACCAUUUAAUAAAUUUGUGAAUGUAUUUUGAACCUUGUUGCCUACUAGUAACAUUUAACAUGUCACUAAUUGGUAUACUAGUUUUAAGAAAAUACAGGGAAGAUAGAUUAUUUAAUUUCUAGGUUAUUAGUAAAAAUAUAAUGUUAGUUGAGUUAGGUUCGUUUUAGCAAUCGAUAUAUUAGUUUAUUUUACGUAUCAACACACCACAUUUUCAAAUACUUUGGUAGGACAAACAAUGAACGAAAGUAAUAUGAAAUUUAAUCUAACCCUAUUUCACACCAUAUAAGUAAAUUACAAAUUUGGUUCUUAUGGUUUUGAAAUUUAUAAUUGAAUCUCCGUGAUUUUGAAUGUUAGAUCAUAAUCCAUAUAGUUUGAUAGAACAUCGUAAAUAAUGCAUUUAAGUUUGAUAAAACUCACAUAAUUAAUUAGUAAAUUUUAUCGAGCUAUAGAAUCGUUUUGACUAAAUUCCUUAGCUUGAAAAAACCAGUCUCUUAACAAUAAUCUAUGAGUAUAUUGGAAUAAAUAAUCAAAGUGUAGUAAUUCCGACAUAAGGUCCUAUUAAAUGGGACAUAUCAUGCAAGCUGAACGUUGAACCCCACGAGUCUCACAUCUUGUCUAAAGAAGAUGAAGACAUGAUUGAUGUUUUGGGAAUUUUUUUGAACCAAAUGAGCAAAAUGUGUGUUCCUAUGCCAAACCAUUUAUGAAUCUUCUAUUAGAACUUAAGCGUAGGUAGGACUUUUAUGCUUUUUAUGAUUGUGAGUGAUUGGUUGUUUCUUUUUUUAUUUAAAGAAAUGUUUAAUUUACAGUGACAAACUUUAAAGUUUUCACAAAAUCUAUCCAUUUAAACUUCGCUUAAAAUUUAUUCGGUAAACAUGUAUGAACAUUCCAAUAAAACUUCUGAAUUUUCGUUAGAAAGUUGAAACCUUAAUUAAUUUUGCAAUUAUGUUUAAAAACAACUCAUGCCUCAAUUCAAAUUCUCACGUAAGUGUAGACUUAUUAAAAUGCGUCAAUUUUACCAAAUAAACAAUUACAAUAGAUCAUGGAUGACAACUUUCAAAGAUAAUUCUAAUGGUUAAACUGAUAAAAUUAUGUUUCACAUGAUGUAUUCCAAAUGAGAGGUUAAACCUCGUUGAAUAUGAAUUCCGAUGCUCUCCUUCCAAUUAAUCGUUUGAAGGAGAUUUACCUUGUGUGGUUUUAGUUACUCUAUGAUUUGUUUACUUUCCAUUCAAUUUUAGCUCCUUCACUUACUAUAUUUAGUUACGGCACAUGUUAAAAAAAAAUUAUACAUUUAAUAGUAUCAAGUUUAAAAUUUUAAACUGAAAAAGGUUUAUUAAAGGUGUUUUUCUUUUAUAUUAUACUACAAAUAUAUAAAAGAAUAUAAAAGAAUAUAUAACUUUAUCUAGUUAUUAUUAAAUAUAACAAAAUUUUGGUGCCUAUAGGUAACCAUUAUAUUUAUAAAUAGUUUUGAGAUUUAAAAUAAAUAUAUAUUUUUUUAUGUAUGUUUUUGUUAUUCCCUUCUAAAAAAAGGAAGAAGAAAAAAAAUGAGAAAUCAAAUAACUCUUCUUCUUCAAAUCUAACAAGUGCAUUCUGAUUUUUUUAAAUCUUUUUUGGACGUCUUCUUUCACUCUAUUAACUCUAUCAGACGUAUUCUAACAAUGAUAAAAAAUUCAUCUAUUUUACCUAAAUAGUUUUCAAAUCACCCAUUUUUCUAACUCUUUUUUUAAAUCACACAUGAGAUGGUACACAAACAAUAUAAAGUUCUAACUAUUUGAAUUUGACUACUUUGUAAUGUUGAAAAAAAUUCAAUAAAAUAAUAAUAAUAAAAGUGGAAAUAUAUUAGAGAGCAUCUUAUUUAUUUUUAUUAUUUGAAAUGAAAUAAUAUUUGAAAUGAAAUUUUGGCUGUUGUUUUCAAUAAAUUUCUCAUAAUUGAAGUGAAAUAUACCUUUUGGUAUAAAGGUGUGGAAAUGCAAAUCGUCCCACUGUCAGCUAUUUUUCAAGAUUACCACAACAAUGUUGAUGUACACGAACACAUUCAUUAAAAAAAGAAUUAUACGAAAUAACACGAAGAGAAAGAAUAAGAGAUCUUUAUGUAAAAUCAAAUUUCUAAUCUAUCUUUGUGUAAAUGGAAAAUGUACUUAAAAAUAUAUAAUAAAUAAUUUGACAACAUGAUUCGUCCCAAUUCGAGAUUUGCCAUUGGAUUGAAGAUUCUACUUGAAUAGUAAACCUAAUCCACUUGAAAUUUUGAGUUGGUCCUAUGAACAAAAACAAAAGGAUACACUUUGAUAAGUGAUUCAUCAAAUAAAUAGAACUCUUUUAAUGUCAAAGUGAAUAGUUGAAAAGACAUAUUAUCAGGUGUUGUCAACUUUAAAGCCAAAUACUUUAAAUAACUCUCACUCCACAUUAAACUUAAAAACAUAUUUGAAUAACAAGUCCAAUUAUGCCAAGUUGAGAUACUUACAAAGUAGAUCAUCCACCGACUAUGUUUCUCAAGAAAAGAUAAUACAAUGAUCCAACAGUUACACGAUAAAUUAAUCAAAACGGUUCGAAUAACAAAACUAAACUGGAAAUUUUGGUUUUUUUGUAAUGUUUUUGCUUUGAUUUAAUUUAAAGUUGUAAGGAAGUCGAAUAGUUCGGUUUGACUACGCAACUGUAAACCACCCUUUAUCACAUGGGGUGCAAUUAGUGCUAAUAGAAUACAAUUAACCUCCCAUAUUGUUUAUUUUAAUACUCACAUUGAGUUUUCUUAAAGUUUUAAUUAAACUUACAAUCAGUCUUUAAUUUCUAUUUCAUUUCUUAUUCUCUUUUAACCUUCCGUUUUAAUUCAAAUAUUCAUAUUGUUUUUUCAAAAUAUUUUAUUUGAACUAAGUUCAGUUUUAAAAUAAAUGUAUUUUUAGAUAUAACAAAACAUAGCGUCAUUUACCAUAGUUACCUUUUAUAUAUAAAUUGUUUUAGAAAAUAUAGUUGUUUAAUUUUUUAAAAAAAUAUUUACAACAAUUUCGAAAAUAAAAAAACACUUGCAGGUUCACAGUAAAAAAAAUAAGAAAAAUAUCGAUUAAUUAACUUCAUACACGAAUCGUGUACCCAAAUCUAUACAAUCUUGUAGAUUCUCUUAUAUUUGGUAUUUAAUACACGAACUUGAACCAAUAAAAUAAUUGUAUAAAAAUGGAAAGAAAGAGCAAGUAUAGAAUUUAAAAGAAAAAUAACCGACUUCGUAGAUUUUUUUUAUUUUGUUACCCAAUUUGUAAAUAUUUUGAUGUUUUUAUUAUAUUUAUAAAAAAUAACCUUGCUUUGAUUUAUUUUAUAAAAUUUAUAUUACAAAUAUUAUUAACUCGAAAAAUACAUACAAUUGUACAAUCUACUGAACACAAAGUUAAAUUUAUAUAUGAUAUAAAUUUGAAACCACAUGAAACUAUUAAACAAACUAUAAAAAAUUUAAGAGUCUAUAAUACAGAUUUUAGCAUUUAGUGACCAUAAUAUAAAAACAAAUUCAAAAGUCUAAACUAAAAUUUCAAUCUUAUAUGAUAUUGUGCCUUCCAACGAGAUAUUCUGGUCCCUCGACUGAUUAUAAUUAUAAAUCUAUACAAAUAAAAUCAACGACUAUUCACCAACUGCAUAGAAAAGUAUAUAAUUAAGGCAUCUUAUUGAAAACAGGAAAAAUGUAUAUAUAAACAAUAUUGGCAUUGCUCUGCCACCCUUCUUAGUUGUAAUUCUUAUUUUAAAGUGAGGAGAAUCAAAUCGUACAAAAUUCAUAUUUUAUAUCUUUACUAUGUGAAAAAAAAAAAAAAACAUAUCUAACUAACUCUAAAAUAUAACUAAUAUUAAAAUAUAUUUUAGAAAAAUGUUUGAAAAUAUUUGUAAAAUACAGUCCAAUUUAUGAGCAUUUUUAAAAAUAAAGUUAUAACAAGUUUUUGAAUUCUAUCACUAUAGCAUAUCAAUGAAUAUCAGUGACAUAAUUUGCUAUAAGUCGUAAAAUUUGCUAUUUUUGAAAAUUUUCUUUAAAUUUGAGAUUUCUGUUAGUGUGUAUUGCUUUUAUUAGUUUCUAUCAAUGUUUUCAGUGGACAUAAUAGAAGUCGAUAAACUUUUAUUAAUGACCCAAUCUUAAAUUUUGUAUAUUUUGUUGAUAUCUAAAUUUAAAAAUGUUUCUACAUAGAGCUCUCGUGCUCCACUAAACUAAGAGAAACAAUAUGAAAUAAGUAACCCAGCGAGUUUACAUUAUCAACUGACGUCAACGCCAAUCUCCUUCCUGCUAGCCCAUAAUAGAGUCUAAUAGCUACUAAACUCAAUUGAAUCGAGACAAAGUUUGAACCUACUUAAUAUUAAGCUCGAUAAAGGCCUCCUAAUAAGUGUAGAGUGCUCCUAUAUCUAGUGGGAAAAAAUCAUCAAAAAUCUGCAUGCUAUAAGCCAGUCGCUCUGCUUCACGUCGGAGGACGACUCAAAAUGUGCUACAAGACAUGAUAAUAUUGUAAGAAAAAGAACGAGUCUUCGUUCAAAGAACUAAUUUUGAUCCAUAUUAGAAGUAAAGAGGACCGUCGUCCAUUAGGACUAGCGCUCGGAGGAGUUUUUGUUCAUUCCAUAUACAAUUAAAUGUGUACAUCUAACAUCGGGGACAAUAGGUUUUGGUUAAUUUGUGGAUUAAAUUUCAAAACACACUCCUUUAAUUUUGAUUUUUUUAGAAUUAUAAGUUAAAAGGUGUAUGAAUAAUUUUUUUUAUUAUUUUAAAGGUGACGCAACAUUUUAAAUUAAAAGUAACAAUAAAAAAUAUAGGGAAAGUGGAGAGAGAGAUCAAAUAUAAAAUUUAAAUUUAGAAUGCGAUGUUAAAUUAAAAAAUAAUAAUUGACCUAAAAACUCGAUUAGAUGAUCGUUAAAUAACAUUGCCACAAUUUGAUUUUUUUUUUAUAUUAUAUUAUCUACUUUUAUCAAUAUUUUUUAAAUAUAAACUUCACUUUAAAGUCUUCAGAAAAAUAAAAGUUUGUUUUCCUUUUUAAAAUUUGAGAAAUUGAAGUUUUUUUUAGAAAUAAAAAUAAAUAGAUGACUGUGACAACUUAAUGUAUCUUAAAAUCUAGAAGAGAAUCACACUUGUAAUUAAAAUCUCAAUUACUAAAAAUUACAUUUUUAUAAUUUAUGAUUUGAAAUUUUUUUGCAAUUAUUUUAUGGGUGUAGAGAAUGACAACAUGAUAGUUGAAAGAAAAGAAAAGAAAAAACCAUUUCUUUUUUUUAAAAGUGGUUUGUUGAAUAACAAACUAAUUUGAUCAAACAAGUUGAUUGAAUAAUUGGAUGCAUCAUUCCCGUUUUAAGUAUUGCAAAUUGGGAUGAACAAUAGGUAAUCCAUGAUGCUAUUAUACAAAUUCGAUUUAUUGCUUGUUCAAUGGAUUGUGACAUAUAUUAAACCCUUUCAUAGUGAUUAAUAUAUUAAUUUUAUUAACUCUAAACUCUCUUAGAUCUCAUCAUCCAUCGUGGUUUUGUACAAUUUUACCAAUCAAAUUAGUUUAAAUUACUCUUUUGAGUGCAAAUAAGUUAUAUGUUUGUUAAGGAUUAGAGAUCCAUAAUCUUUCAAUUAGAGAAUUAAUCUCCAUUGUAUUAGACAUAUUUUUAUAGUCCCAAAACAUAAAGUCGUGAAGGUUGAUUUCAUAGUAUAUAAUAUUAUAUAUAUAUACUUGUGGACAUAUGAAGAGAUCUUGUUGUUUAAUAAUUCGAUAAUUGGGCCACGAUUUAACCCUAGUUUAACAAACAAGCACACAUUCAAGUGGAUUUAAAUGUGAAAAACAACAUUAUAGAGUUGAAAAUAGAUCACACGUGCGAAAAAUAUAUUGACGAGAAGAGUCUAUCUUUGUUAGAAAGGAGAUAAAUUACACACCAAAUAUAUCCAUAUGUGAUUCAUGGUCAUGCUCUGUCUGACUUGCUUAAGACUAUGACAAGAGUAAACUUUGGCAAGAGACCAACAAAUAAAAAUAUACUUAAAACGCGAAACUUUCUAUUAUUUUACUCUUUUAACCUAUUUGAACCAUUUUUUUCAUAAAACUCUCAAAAUGGAAAGCUACAAAAUUAUUAGACAUAAAAUUUAAUCUCUCUAUUUAUAUUUUAAGAAAGUAACUCAUUUGACUAGAGAUUAAAAUGUAAUAAAGUAAAUAAAAAGUGAAAUAUUUUAAAGAUUAUGAAAAUUAUUUAAAAUGACACUAUAAAAAUAUUUACAAAAAUAGAAAGAUCGAAAUCAAUCGUGGUAGUCUACAAUUAAAUUAAUAAAAAAUAUUAUCCGUCUCUAUCGCGAUACAAAUACAUAAAAUGGUAUCUUUUGCAUUUCAUAAAAAAGGAUAGCCAAAACGAAGGGUGAUAAAGGGAUGUGGACACAGCAAAAAAGUAGUAGAACUUUCCACAGUGGAAAGCAGCCAGGCAUUGAAAAGCCGUCAGCAUCAAACGAACACCAAGAAGAAAAGAAAAUGAGCAUAAAAUAAAAUUAAAAGCACCGCACUAUUUACUACUACUACUACUUCCUCCUUCUUCUUCCACUACUACUUCAUCUUUCAGCUGAGGCUCGGGUGGUUCCCAACAUUUCUCCUCUUCUUCUUAUCCCAAUCCUCUUCCUCCGAUCCUCCUCCUUCCAUGGCGUUUCCUUCCAUUUCCUCCUCCAUUUCUCAUCUCCCUCCUUCCUCUUCCCCUUCUCUUUCUCCUCAUUCUCCUCUCCUCUCUCCCAAUCCCUCUCUCUCCCUUCUCGAUUUCGUUGCUUUCUAUGGCAGGUCCAAUAGAACCAGAAGGAAACCAUCUCUUUCCUAUUCCUCUUCCUCUCUCUCCACUCGUCGUUCCUUUCGCCACUUCACUUCUUCCAACUCUUCUUCAUCUAUCAAGGCUGUUCUUGAUCUUCCACUCCGUCCUUCUUCUUCUUCUUCUUCUUCUGAACCCGUACCUAAGGUAUGUGUAUUUCGUUUUUCUCUGCCUUCUUGUUUUUGGUGUUUUUGUAUUGAAUUUGCUUUGAUUUAUGAGGUGUUUGUUUGCUUGGUACUAUGAUUGAUUUCUUUUGCUAUGAUUGAGUCUCUGUUCGUGGCUAUUGAGUUUGGAAUGAUGAUCGUUUGUCAAGUAUGUUUGAUUUUACUUGUUUGAAUUGUGAUGAUUGGACCGGGAAGUUGAUCGAGGCAUUUAUGUAAUCCUAAUUUCUCCCCGUGGAAAAGAAGAUAGAGUUGAUUAUUUCUAUUGAAAAGGCGACUGUGUGAGGAUGACAUUGACGUCAAACAUUCUUUCUUGAUGUUGUUAUUGGGAGUUAUUACCUUUCAAAUUUUUUUGGAGUAACGGUAACCUUUUAGGCGUUUAGAAAGGCAAUAUCGGUCUUUUCAUCCUUGGUUAGAUGAAGAGGUUCCUUGAGGGAAAAGGUAUUUUAGAUUGCAUGUGUAUGCGAUCCAGGAGGUUAAAAAUCCCUAAGUUUGGAUAAAAUUUUGGUAGUCUUUGACAAUUAUAUUCCAGAAUAGUCAUAGAGGAUAUUAUAAAUUUUUGUUGCGGAGUUUGAGAAUUAUGUUACUGUCAUUGUUAGUUUUGUGGAACAAAUACCUAAUUCUACAACACUUGAAUGUCAAGAAACUCGAAAGAUUUUAACAUCUUAUGUAGGUACCAUUUUUUCAAAGUCUCUUUACCCUUUUCACAUCUCCAAAGGUCAUGAGGCCUCAACCCACGGUGGUUCAUGUGGUCAUUAAUUCUAUCACUACUAAAUUUUUUAUUAUAUUACUAAAAAAAAUAAUUGAACAUGAUUUCAGUUCAGUAUUUUUACUAUCAGUCUGAAAAGCUCCAGGACACUCAACUAGAAGGUGGACUUGUAAGUCGGUCUCUUUAGAAUCGGGUGCCCUCUUCCCCCCAAUCCUAUUGUUAGGCAGCUCUCCAAGUUUUUUAGAAAUAAUAACAACAAUACUAAUGAAGAAGAAGAAGGAGAAGAAGAAGAAGAAGAAGAAGAAGAAGAAGUUUUUGGACAGGUUGUGAUUGCUAGGAAGAAUUCUGGAGAUUGAUUCGACUACCAAUGCCAUUAAGUGUUUGUGGAUGUGAACUCUUCUUAGCAGUUGUGCACUGGUAGGAAGAUUUUUGGCGGCAGCUUAUAGGAAGAUUAGCACUAAUGGAACUUGUGUGAAAGAAGUUCCCCUACAACUAGCAAUGUGUACAACUAGCUAAGUGUUUCUUCUAAGAAAACACAUGAACUUCUUGAUCAUCUAUUAUUCUUUGUCCUUGGACUUGCAAUCCCAGGGUAAAGAGUGGUUCUAAUUGUUCGACUUAGCUUUGGGAUUAGAGGCAUGUAAGGGGCUUGCUUGUAUUGGGUUUUAGUGGCAGGUCAUGUUUCUUAAGGUGCAAUAAUUAUUUGCAGCUUAAAAGUGCAAAGCAAAAGAAACGCUAGGACAAUUUUUUUGAAACAAAAAAUAUAGAAGUAUGAAUAAAUUUGUUAUAUAUGAAUAGUAUAUUAACAUGAACAAUAAGAUAGAGCCGUUGCAAGUGAUUCAUUAGAGAAAGGUGUUUGGACAUAUUUUUCAUGAAUGAAUGAAUAAUAACAACAACAAAAAUAAUAAUUAAUCAUUAUUUUAAACUAAAGCAAGGGUGCUUUUGCUAUGUUGCCCUUUGAAUCACGGUUAGCAGGGGUAGACCAAAAUCAUUUGAGCAAUCUCAUUUGUAGCUAUUAUGUGGAAAUCAUGGAGAGGAACGAAAAGGAGAAUUCUUGAAAAGAGAAGUGGCAAUCUUGCAAAGAUUUGGAAUAUAAUUCACUUCCUGACCUUUUUUUUUUAUAGAAAAUUUAAUUUCCUGAAGUUCACAAUAGAAAAAUGUACAUACAUUUAAAUGACAUGAAAAUGUAUAGCGUCAUGAAUGAUAAGUCAAAUAAAAAAUUAAAGUAAUGAGAUCGAUUUUAAGAACCAUUUUUAAACCACUGUUGUUGAGUUUAGGCAGCUGGUGCUAUAAAACUAUGUGCCCUCAGAGCCGUUGUAACUAGAUGAAGUGGCUUCACUGUUUGAAUAAAGUUCUCCUUCCCCCUUUUACUUUUUAUUUGUUUAAAUUCUCAUUUGAUGUGAAGAUCUUUGAUUCUUUAUUCUAAUUACUGUAUUCUUUGUAUAACUUAAUACAAAUUUCUUGUGGAUUUAUUUUAAGUUUUCUCAGAAUGUCACACUUUUGAAAAUCAUUCUAUGCUAUGUCUGUAAUCAAAGCAUUUAGUUAUACCAGUAUACAUGAUGUAAUUUGAUGCUGACCAGGUUGCAAAUUUGGAAGACAUAAUAUCAGAAAGAGGAGCAUGUGGAGUUGGAUUUGUUGCCAACUUAGAAAACAAAGCAUCCCAUAAGAUUAUCCAGGAUGCUCUUACAGCAUUGGGCUGUAUGGAACACCGUGGUGGAUGUGGAGCUGACAAUGAUUCUGGUGAUGGUUCAGGAUUAAUGUCUUCCAUCCCAUGGGAUCUUUUUGAUAAUUGGGCCAAUGGGCAGGGGAUUCCUUCAUUUGACAAGUUGCAUACUGGCGUUGGCAUGGUUUUCCUCCCUAAAGAUGAUGGUGAUAAUAAAGAGGCAAAAGAAGGUGACUGUUCAAUUAUAAUUGAUCUAGUUUAACCUGAUUAAUUGUAUCAUUCCUUUAUUAUUUCUACUAUUUUACUGAAGUGUUAUAGUUAUUUAUUUAUCUUUUGGCAUUCAACAAAUUUUUUCUGUUGAGAUUUGAAAAGUUUCAAUGGUCAAUUUUGUUUGAACUCUUGAACUCUGUGUUAUUGUUUUUUUUGAACUUUACACUCGAAAAUGUUUUUGAGUAUUUGUAUCACCUUUUUCCAAGAUAUUUAUAUUUCAUCCAACAAUAUAUUUUUUUUUUCACCUUUUGUACAGUAUUACUUAACUAUAGAUGUAAAUUGUACCACGUUAUAAAUCUUACACUUUUGCAUCUCUUAAUACCAAUUGGAGAAGUCUUUUGCAAGUCUUUUUGUCUGGGAUUUAUUUUCCAUCUUUUGUAAUUGCAUACAUCAAUGAAAUUGUUUUUUUAAUAGAAAAAGAACAAUAAUUCUGUUGGCAACAUUUUAAAUAGUUGGGGUGAGACUAAUGAUAAGAGUGUUUAGGGGUAGAUAGUGGGGGGAUAGUGAGAUUUGGUCAUUGGCUAGAUUUCACGUGUUUCUUUGGGCUUCGGUUUCGAAUAACUUUUGUAACUAUUCUAUAGGCAACAUUUUACUUAGUUGUCCCCCUUCCUUUAAAAGGGUGGUUUUGUGGGCUGGUUCUUUUUUAUGCCGCUGUAUUCUUUCAUUCUUUCUCAAUGAAAGUGGUUGUUUUUGUCAAAAUAGGAAAAAAAAUAUUUUUUCCAAUGGUCGUGGGCAGAUGACGAUAUAGGAUGAUGAAAUGAUUUGAUAUGAUUGGCGGACAUAAGCUUUUUCCUUUUCUCAAUUCAUCCGUCUCUUCAUGUGGUUCAAUCCAUUAAGAAUAAUAAGUGCUAAAUAAUUUUGAAUAUAAAGAUUUUGUAAAAAAUUAAGUGAAAAAGUACUAGAAGGAGAGGAAGGAAUAUAGAGUUUGCUGCUUUUGGUUGGCAAUUUGCCUCUUCUUUGGACACAAUUGCGUGGAUCAGAAUGAUGUUCAUUGAUCCCUUUUGAGGAAAACAAAAAAGGUAUAUAUCGGCUAGCAUAAUCAGAGUCGUUCUUUGGAAGAUAUGGAAUGAUUAGAACCAUUCUUUGGAAGUUCUCGGAUGAGAAGAACUCAAGGACUUUUCAAGGAAAAGAGAGAUCAUGUGGGGAAGUUCCUGAAUCAUCUUUAUUCAAUGCUCUUUCUUGGUCUAAAAAUGUACAACCCUUCGGUAGUGACAACUUCAAUUUUCUUGUUUCUAGUUGGAGGGAUCUUUCGCAAUGCCUUUUAUAUGCCCCUUUUGUAACACUUUGGGUAUUUCAUUCAUCAACGGAAUUGUUUCUUAUUAAAAAAAAAAAAUAAAAAAAAAAUAAAUAUAAUUUAAGAGAUUCUUCACGAAAAGUUAAAAAAGAAACUAAAAGAAGAAAAUAAAAAAGGGGCCUGGCUCUUAAAGCACAUUUAAUCGUGUAAACUGGCACUGAAGAUGUGGGGGCCUUGCUUCUUUGAAGUGAGGUGCACACAGCUUGUGUUUCUGGGGGACUAGGCUUGGUUGUCAAACAUUCUUUCAUAUAGAAAUAAUUUAUUACAUCAUUUUUGUUGGACUUGUAAUUAGGUAAAGCUAUUAAUCCUUGUUUUGUAGUUGUUGCAAGUAUCUUUAGACAAGAAGGUCUUGAGGUGCUUGGUUGGAGGCCUGUUCCUGUGAAAGCUUCUGUGGUUGGUAUAAAUGCAAAGAAGACCAUGCCUAACAUUGAGCAGGUAUUCGUCCAAGUAGUUAAAGAAGAGAAUGUGGACGACAUUGAACGAGAACUUUACAUUUGUAGGAAAUUGAUUGAAAGAGAAGCAAACUCUAAGAGUUGGGGAAGUGAGCUAUAUUUCUGUUCUUUGUCAAACCAAACUAUAGUUUACAAGGGAAUGCUUCGCUCAGAGGUUCUCGGAUUAUUUUAUGAUGACCUUCAGAAUGAUCUCUAUAAAUCCCCCUUUGCUAUUUAUCAUCGAAGAUAUAGUACAAAUACUAGUCCUCGAUGGCCUCUUGCCCAACCAAUGAGGUUACUGGGUCAUAAUGGAGAGAUCAAUACGAUACAGGUAAUUGUUGUCUCUUUGUUUUCUUUUGUUGGAGUUCUAUAAGUUCUACUAAUUGUCUCUAAGCUUACGACGUUAUUGUGUUUGUGGUAUAAGUUCAGUAAAUACCUUUAAGCUAACUAUUUACUGUUAAUCAGGGAAACUUAAAUUGGAUGCAAUCUCGAGAAGCUUCCUUAAAGUCAUCUGUAUGGCGGGGUCGUGAAAAUGAAAUUCGUCCAUAUGGCAACCCAAGGGCAUCGGAUUCAGCAAAUCUUGAUAGUGCAGCCGAAGUAAGAUCUAUGUUCAUUAAUAGUGAAAAUGCAUAUCCACGAGAUGAACAAUAUUAAUUGUCUUACAUUUAAUUUGGUUAUUUGCAUUUUCUUUUGAGAAAGUUAUUUGCAUAUGUUGAGCAUAGUAUUUGUAAGUUUGCUAUGUAUUGUUAUAUAGAUGCUUUAAUGAUUAUAAAUUUUUAUUGAGUGUCAUGUCCAAAGGUCUGUGUAAUAAGAAUUGAAGGAUAAUUGAAAAUUGACAGUGACAAAAUUGUACAAAAUAAUGGCUGGUAUACAACAUAUUAAAUCACUGAUCAGCCCAAUUUUUUAUGGUAUCAAAGUAGGUGAUCUAGGAGAUCCGUUCUCCUGCAAUGUUAUUUCCUCCCCAAUUAAUUUAAAUUUCCUCUUGUUGGGCUACAUAUUUCAAGCUCACAAGUGAAGGGAAGUGUUAAAUUUAAUAUUUACCUCCAAGAAGCAACACUCAUCAACAUGUUGAUUGUUGGGUAUUCUAAAUGUUGAUCAAAGAUUGGAUUUCUAGAUUCCGGUAUUUUAUUUGGUGGUUUACUGUGACUUGUAAUGUAAAUUGUGAUUCUAUUACUAUCAAUGUUUCUGUGAUUUCUAAAAAAAUUGGUAUAUUUCUCUUGAAGCCUGAAAGAUUGAUGACCUCUACAAAUUUAUGUAUUUACUGAAUUUCUUCUUAAUCUGAUUCUACAUCCUCCUAUUUUACUAGUCGUUGUCUUCUACUGGUUUAGUUGUUAAUAAGAAGUGGCCGUGCCCCUGAGGAGGCUCUCAUGAUCCUUGUUCCUGAGGCUUACAAGAAUCAUCCUACAUUGAUGAUCAAAUAUCCAGAGGUACCAUUGCUUUUGUCUUCAUUACUUUGUCAUUCCAUCCCCCUUCUUCCCUGGAAUGCACUGUUUGCACGCCUUCCAUUCAUCAACAUCUUUUUUAUAAGAAACAAACAUGAAUUCACAGGACGCAGUAUCCAUAAAAUUAAGUUUACAGACAUGUUAGGUUCUGAAUGUUAGGCUACUUGGGUUAUUUUCUUAGGGAUUAAUUUCUAUUUCAUGGACUGCAUUUCUCCUUAUGUUUCUCUGUGCUUUUGUUUUUCUUUUUUUGGUAGAGAGAAAAAAGUAUUCAUUGAACUAAUGAAAAGAGACUAAUGCUUAUGCAAGACUAGAUUCCUAAUAGCCGUUCUUCUUCUUCUUCUUCUUUUUUGGGGGUAUAAUUUUAACAUAGUCUUAACUAUCUUUUCCACCAAUCUUAAUUAGUUGUGUAACCAGCUUUGAAUUAUAUUGGACGUGAUUUUUUGUUACUUUUUCUAUCCUUCUCUUAGGUUGUUGACUUUUAUGACUAUUACAAAGGUCAAAUGGAGGCUUGGGAUGGACCUGCUUUAUUGUUGUUCAGGUAUUAUCUAAAAAAUAUUUCUUCUCUAUUGUCUGGUUGUUAUGAUAUUAAGAAGUGAGUUAAUAAUUUAAGUAUCACCUUGUAGUCUAAAUUUUUGAUGGGUUGAAGAUAUUAUUGUCUUUUUUGUUUGUUUGUUUGAAAGGUGAGGUUUACUGUGUAAGCUUAUUGAAACUUUCCCCUUUUAGGUUUUAACUUUGUGCAUCAGUGGAAAGCCUUGAUACCUUUUCUGGAAAAUAUAGGUUCAUGCUGGUCUGAUCGUUGUUAAUGCAAUUGAUUUUUUGCAGCGAUGGAAAAACAGUUGGUGCCUGUCUUGAUCGCAAUGGAUUGCGCCCAGCUCGGUAUUGGCGCACGUCAGAUAAUUUUGUUUAUGUUGCAUCUGAGGUGUGUUCUCCAUCUUCUAUUUGUUUUAGUUGCACGACUUUGCCAGUUUCUUUUUGUUUUUUUCACUUCGUGUUUUCUCAUCUUGGAAAUUUCUUCUGUUGUUUUUUUGCUCUCUGUAGUGGUUUGCCUUGUCUUCAUCUUUGUUCUAAUUUUCGUUCUUUUAUGGAGUUUGUAUCUUUGAAGAUUAUUCUCUUUUCAUUGAAAUAGGUAUGAUUAGAUGUAUGUGUAUCUUCUAGUUAUUUGGCCUUGAUGACACCAAAAUAAUUUGGUUGUUCAGUCGUUGCGUUGAUGUUUUGAUGGGAUCUCAAACUGAAGUUCAUGUUUCUUGUAAUAUUUUUAUAUUCUAAAUAAUAAUAUCACAGGAAUUAAAAAGGAUUUUGUAAAAGCAAAAUAUGAAGAAGACAAAGUUCAUGUUAUUUCAUAUAUUUAUAGUUUUUUAGUUUGUUCCAUUAUGCAUAAACAUCUAAAUUGUGAAAUCCAAACACUUUUCAUAUCCUAAGACCCAUUAUUCUUGUGAAAUAAUGAGAAGAAUGUGUUUUAUGAUUUUUUUUGGGGCACAGCACAAUUGCUAUUUCACCUCUUUAUCUAUUCCAUUCUUCUUUCUCAGGUUGGCGUCUUACCAAUGGAUGAGUCUAAAGUUACAAUGAAAGGCCGUCUUGGUCCAGGAAUGAUGAUUGCUGCUGAUUUGCAGACCGGACAGGUUUGUUUUGAAUUUUUCGCUGGUUUCAAUUUCUGCAUUAAGAGUAUAGUUACACCCCCCCCCCAAAUUUUUCUACCUUUUUUUCUUUCAACUACAUUUCCAAGCUUUUACUAGUCUUUCCCUAUAUCUUUUCUUGCAUGUAAACUAUUAUCAUUAUUAUUUAACCAAGUCCGAUCAAUAUUUUCUUCGAAGGACUGAUUUUAAGAUGUACUGAAGGUAUAUGUAAAUUUGGACAAUUGAAGGUAUAGGCAAAAUACAGGGACCAAAUAUACAUCCCAAUAAGUGUUACUAGGCCAUCUUCUUUAAAAUUGUUUUCUACUUCCUGUAACCAACUUAAUCAAGCAUCUAAAAUCUCUCUUUAUCAAAGAAUACACUUCACCACUGACUGAACACCAAUUAAAAUGAGAUUAUACCACAGAACUCCUUCAAAUUCCAACUCCACCCCCUUCUUUCCCCCUCCAAUUUCAGUCUCUAAACUAAAUCUACCUCCCGGAACUUCCGACCCCUAAAACACCGAGCUGGGAAUCCAAUCCAAUUUGUUUUUCAACUCUCCUUAAACCUCUCUCUCUCUAAUGCAGUUUUCAAACUUUGUUCUCUAUGGCUUUCUGUUCUCCAAUUUUCAAUCUUAUUUCUCUUAGAAUUGUUUCCCCAAUCUUCAAAAGCAACUUUAUGCAUGACAACACGUAAGAUCCAGACCCCCUUGGGAAUUAUUAAAAGCGGUAAAGAAAAUAGACACCGAGUUACUUGGAAACCCGAGUACCGAGAAGAAAAACCAUGAUAUGACUUUCUUACUAAUUUUUCAUAUUAACAAAAGAGAGCAUGCUUGUGAUAAAAAAAGGAAAGGAAAUUAGGUUAAAUCCCUCCUUUGGCCAAACCUGCUAAGUCUAACACUCCUCCUUAAGUUGGGACCUAGAUAUCAAUGAGACCCAACCUAUUAACACAUGAGUAAAGCUUUGUUUGAGAAGCUCCUUGGUGAGAACAUCAAUAACCUGUUGGCUCGAUGGGAUGUAAGGAAUGCAUAUGCUGCCAUUAUUUAGUUUUUCUUAAUGAAGUGUCGAUCAAUCUCCACGUUAUCAUGUUGAUUGUUGGUGAUGCUAAUAGCUGCCUUAUUUUUUUUAAACAGACAAACUUCUUUAUUAAUAAUAAAACUCAAAGUACAAGAGUGUUGUACAAUGAGUAAUAAAGAAGCCUAGAGAGCAAUAAGCCUCAAAAGGUGCACCCGAACAUCUCAAUUAGAUUGACACCCUCCUAGCACCAAAACAUCAUAUCCCAAUUAAAGCAAGAAUAAAAUUUAAGCCAAAUACAAUGAAACAAAGUCCACCUUAAUACAGAGGGCUAAGACAGGGAAAUAAAGGAAGAGAAUAGAGACAAAACAGUACAAAGACUGAGCCUAAAACAAAACAGCUACUGUGUAAACAAAAACAAAAUGAAAAUGAAAGCUAUGCUCCAAAAAAGGCAUGCCAAAGAGGGGGAAAACGAAGCUGUAAACAGUAGACAAGGUCACCAAAACAUGAUUUUGGUUCCAUACUAGUAAUCAACAUGGACCGAAUGAGAGAGUCCUCUCCUCUCCAGAAAUGUUUUUGAGAAUCACCGAUGGAGGGAGAAGAGUCUCUCCUGUCAGAAAACUGAAUUGGUGACGUCCCUCAAGAAACAUUUUGACUGAGACCAGGAAAAAUAGUUCUAGCCAUUCAGCUUCUCUCCUGGAAAGACAAUUGUAGAUGGUGCCAAAGAACUAGUUAUAUAAUUUGAGGACAAAGUAGGGAACCAAGUUACUGGAUUCUUGAAAUACAUCGGCAAGUUGGUUGGUUUGGAUUAUGCCGAAGAUUCACCAACUUCAAAACCUGAUUUACUAUGGAGUUGAUCAAUCCUUGUACCAUGGAAGUGUGCUGUAAAGGAUCAGAAUGCAACGGUGCAUAAAAAGAGGCAGUGCGUGAAACGAGGGCAAUGGCGGUGCGUGGAUGUGUGGCUGACCUAGAGGGUGCUGCGGCUGGACAGGGGCCACGGUUGGGAGUAGGCUGGCUGAACUGCAGAGACGACGGACGGUGGAGCGUACUGGGUACGCACUUGGCAGCAGUGGCCCUUGGGUGGAUAGAUGUGCCGUGUGCGGUUCUUUCCCUUCACUAGGUGGCGCAGCUGACUCCAAGGGUGGGCCCAUUGUGAUCACUGGCAGUUUCUGAAGCUGGCGGAGCAACUUUUCCACGGCGGUGGCGACAACGGCAUCCACGGCGGCGUUGAUCCCAACAACGGCAGCGGCAGCUGUCUUGUCUGUCUCUGUUUGGGUUUAAUCAACAAUCAUCUUUAGGGAUUCGUCUUUACCCCUCUCUGAUACCAUAUUAAAAGCGGUAAAGAAAAUAGACACCGCUACAUGGAAACCCAAGACCGGGAGAAAAUCCACGAUCUAAUUUUCUUAUUAAUUUCUCAUAUUAACAAAAGAUACAAGGGAAAAUAAAUGGGAUAGUUGCAAAUUUAGCAAUUAGAUUCAAAAUAAUUAAGUAUAUAACAACAUUUUAAAAUUUUUGCAAAUAUAACAAAAAUGGUCAAAUUUUAUCAAUGAUAUAAGUCUAUCAUCGAUAGACCAUGUUGCAAAUAUUUUGAUCUAUCACUGAUAGACCAUACGAGUCUAUCAACGAUACAAGUCUGUCAGCGAUAGUUAUGCUAUAUUUGCAAUUUUUUUAAAAUGUUGCUAUAUCCUUAAUUAUUAUUUCUAAAAUGGCCAUCAAUUACAAUUACCCAAAAUAAAUAGACAACAUGCUUAUGUUAAAAAGGAAAGAAAAUUAGGUUAUAUCCUUCCUUGGGCCAAGCCCACCAACUCUAACAAAAAUAAUACCACUUGAAAUCAAGUCAAAGCACCAAUCCAGCAAACAAAUUGAAGAGUCCAAGUUGCACACAGAGAACUUCCUCCCCAAAUAAAUAGCGGAUUGAAGAAUAGUUUUUGAACUCCUUUGAAAGACUACAUGAAGAACCGUGGUUACAUUUAUCAAAUCAUAUCUAUCUUCCAAUCUUACGAAGAUUAGUUCUCAUUAAAAAUUCUCUUUUUUCUUUCUCCUCAAACCCCCAAAGUAAUGCAUUUAUUGAAUUGACAUUGGUUUGCAGGUUUAUGAGAAUACAGAAGUUAAAAAACGUGUAGCGUUGUCAUAUCCGUAUGGAAAGUGGAUCAAGGAAAAUAUGCGCUCAUUGAAGGCUGAGAAUUUUCUUGCAUCAACAGUAUUUGAAACGGAUAAAUUGCUGAGAAGCCAGCAGUAAGUUUCUUUUCAAUAUCUCUUUAAGUUUUCUGAGACAGAUUAUAUAGGCUGUCUUGUUCAUAACUUCUGUAAAUUUUUUUAUUUAUUUACAGAUUCUUGUAAUGGCAUCUAGAUGAACUAUAUGGUUUUUUUUAAUAUGUUCUCUGGUUUGUUCAUGUUUCUUAUUGGACUUUUAUUUUGAAUUUGUUUUGUAAUUAUUCAAUUAUAUGAUUUUGUAUAGUUGGAGUCCCUUCUGUAGAGGAAGUCUUCUUAUUGUGCGCUUGGUUUUUGUGCACUCGUGUAUUCUUUCACUUUUUCUCCAUGAAAGUUGCUCGUAUAAAAAAAUGGUGUUUCUUAAUAAUCGUCCAAAAGUUCAACUUUGGGGGUUGUUAAGUAUGCGUCUCUUCAGCGCAUAAUUUGGGGAAUUGGCCACGUUAGGUGGUUGUAGCCUGAGAAUGAUUGAGGAGAAAUCCUUGAAGAAUCGAACUUUUGAAUCUUUAUUAUGAAUCAAGCCGUAUAUACAACAUGAGAGGGGGAAUCAAGCCGUAUAUACAACAGGAGAGGGGGAAUCAAGCCGUAUAUACAACAUGAGAGGGAUUCCCUAUUUAUAAGGGAUUAAUACACAAAUGGGGGUAAAUGAGAUUGACCUAGGAUUUAUCCAAGAAUAACGUAAUUUCUCCUAAUUAUCCCUACAUUAAUGCUAUCCCUUCAAAAUAACAAAAACAAACUUGCCAUCGAGUUUAAUAAAAAAAGAAGACUGUUUUUCAGAGAAGAAACAUUUCAUUGAUAAAAUGAAAUAAAGGAGACCCCAAACACCUAUAGAUGAUUACAAAAGAGAUUUCCAAUUGGAAACUAAUUAAGAAAAAUUAAAAUUUAUUAAAGGGUACCUAGUCUUGUACCAAUACGAGCCAGUAUAUAGAACCAAAUCUGUGAAACUAUCAAAAACAAGAAAAAUAAUCUUUAAAUAGACUUUUAUUACGCUCACCCCAUGAGUCCAGAAAAAAGCACACAAAAUGGCCUGCCAGACAGUUUUUCUAAUUAACAUGAAAUGGAUGACCUACCGAAAGAGAAGUCUAGAGAACCGAAAUAUUAUCUGAGAAGAAGGGCAGUGCAUAAAAAAGUGAGCAGGGGACUCAAAGUGACUUUGACACGUAACACACCAAGAUGAAGAGAUGGAUGAGGCAUACAACGUUGAAGACAAUCAACAGUAUUAAGUAUUAACCACACCCCAGCUAGGUUCCCAUAAGAUUUUUUUAAUUUUCGUAGAGUAUUGAUCCUUCCAGAUAGAAAAAUACAGAUCCUUUGCAGGAGGAUCUACAUUGCUAAUCAAAUCAUCCAUAAGAGAUUUCAUGAAAAAAGGAUGAAGAAGGGUCGAUAGUCCAUUUCCAAGAAUCCUGUGAAACAUGAAACCUGACCAAAAACAACAUCAGGGAUAAGGAAGCCCACUAUAAAGCGUCAAGAUCAUUAAGAUUACUAUGAAGAUGUAAAUCCCGAGCCUUCGGAUCCGCAAUCCAAGCAUCAACCACCUUAAUAUUAGGGAAACGAGCAAGACGAAACAAUUAGGGGAAAACCACUGACAUGGCUCCACAGUUUAACCAAGGGUCCUUCCUAAAAGGAAUUGAGCAACCUGUACCCAGGUAACAUUGUGCAUGAAAUGCAACUAGAGUAAUGAUCUGACAAAUAAACCGCCAUGGUGAUUUAGAAGGACCACGGAAAACUGCCACAUUUUUGUAUGGUUCAGUUCUCGGAGUUCAUCCAAGUUCAGAGUUCCAAGGUCCUGUAAUACUUUUUUGUACCUUCCAAUAUUUUAUUUUAUUUUAUUUUUACUACUAUUUUUUUUUUUUGGGGGGGGGGGGGGGAUCUAUGAAAGUUGGACAUGGUUACAGUCUUAUCUUUGAUAAGAAGUUGACUUACAUGUGAUUCGUUGCAUAAAUUGAUAAUUUAUUCUUUCGUUGUCCAUAGUUAGGUUCCUCGUAUAAUUUCAAGUCUUUUGCCUUUUCUCAUUGAGAUUUUUUUGCUAUCUCUAUUCAUUCUAACUAAUUCAGAUUGUUGCAUCAGGGCAUUUGGCUACUCCAGUGAGGAUGUCCAAAUGGUUAUAGAGAGUAUGGCUGCUCAAGGAAAGGAACCUACGUUCUGCAUGGGAGAUGAUAUUCCACUGGCAAUAUUGUCUCAGAAGCCACACAUGCUCUAUGAUUAUUUUAAGCAACGGUUUGCACAGGUUCACUGGAAGUUUCCUUUUCCUGAUUAUAGGAAUACUUGUGAAUGUCCUUCAAUCUUGUUGUGUGCUGUUCCAUGGUACUUGUCAUGUCCAAAAUUGUUAUCAUGCUUUGAGGCUGGUCGAUUGAGUCAAAAGACUGAAAACAGCAUGGACGACAACAUAACAUCAUGAUCACUGUUCCAUUUCAUUUUCUUCCUAAAAUAAUGUUAACUAAAUUGCAGUUGUUUGUUUUGUAAAUCUUCAUGCUUUUAAUUUUAUACCAAGAUAUUUGUUUGGCCUUGUUUGUGUUCGCGUGUUUACAAUGGCAUUUAGCUUAAUGUAGUGUUACUUGUCGUAGAAUAGCAUUGUUGAGAGAAAAGCUGAAAACGUCUUCUCUAGUAGUUCUAUAUGUCAUUGAUUCUUUUCUAUUCUGUAUUGUUCUGUUUUCUAGUUCUAUAAUUCUGUACUGUUUUGCUCUUCUAUCUUCCUUUGUAUUUCCCAUUUUUUUUAUUUUGUUUUCUAGUGUCUAGAGCAUUAGUCUCAGUUCAGUUUUCAUUGAAAAGAUACAUUUCAUUUUUUUAAAAAAUGUCAUUAACGCUGUAAAAUUUGCAGUUCUGACAUUGGGCAUCAUCUUUCUUCUCCUUAAACAGAUGCAAAUUAAACCAUCUAUUUUGAUUUCUGUUUCUGUAUGUCUUCUUCUUCUUUGUUUUUUGGAAUAAAUGUUGCCUGACUUCAUUUAGCCUUCAAAAAGUUUAUAAAGUCAUUUUAUGGUCCUGCCUGUUUCUGUGAUUUUUUUUUUCUUAUGGUUUCACUGUGAUUAGUACUUCUUUAUGCAAUAAAUUCACUGUGCGGUACUUUUAGGUGACAAAUCCAGCAAUUGACCCUCUCAGAGAAGGAUUAGUCAUGUCUCUUGAAGUCAAUAUUGGAAAGCGAAGAAAUAUAUUAGACAUAGGACCUGAGAAUGCCUCACAGGUUGGCAAGCUUUCUUCUUUCGUUCUUUGUAUUAAUUUUAUAUGUUAUAGGUAUCAGAGAGUUCUUCCUUCUCAGUUUAAUCUUCUCGUGUUCUAAUUGCCUACUCAAUAUUGACCAGGUAACUUUGUCUAGUCCUGUUUUGAAUGAAGGAGAGCUUGAAUCCUUGCUAAAGGAUCCGUACUUGAAGGCCCAAGUAUUGCCAACAUUUUUCGAUAUACGUAAGGGUGUUGAUGGUUCUCUGGAAAAAAUUCUAAACAGACUUUGUGAUGCUGCUGAUGAGGCUGUUCGCAAUGGUUCUCAACUGCUUGUUCUAUCUGAUCGGUCUGAAGAGCUUGUAAGAACUAUUCCGGGUUUUAUUUGUUUCUGGAAGACUUUGUCUAUAUAGUUUCUGUUUCCAACCUAGAAAAUAAUGAUAAUGCACUUGAACUAUAUAUAUGUUUUGCGAUAAGAAAGAUAUUAGACAUAGGACUUGAGAAUAAUGCACCUGAGCUACAUUUGCACAGUGACAGAUCCAAAAAUUUUGUUCAUGGAGGGCUUAAUUCAGUAAAAAUAAUCUAAAAAACAAAUGUGAAGAGUGAGGCUUGAACCUAAAUCUGUAGGACGCUGGAAGUAAGAUAUACCACUGGGCUAGCUUAUAGUAUUAAUACUAUGUCAGUUAAUAUAUUUAUAUAUGAUAUAAACAGCAUAAAGCUGAGAGUGGACUCUUAUAGUAAAUUCGACAGUGUUUGCAUGGAACAAAAUUUUAAUCUGUGUUGCUAAUGUUGUGCUUAGAUUUUUUUUCUGCACGUUUAAUAUAUUUUGUUUUUCUUGUUCACUAGCACUACGAUUUUCUGUAUUACAUCCUUCUCUUUACCUGCUUUAUUUAUUAUUAUUAUUAUUAGUUUGCUCACAUUUCGUUGGGUUCCAUCUAUUCUUGAAUCUUUUUGCCAUGUAUUUUGAACAUUCGCCAAUUUUUGAAACGUUUUGUUUCCUUUCAAAAUAAUUAUUAUUACUAUUAUUCAUUGUCCUUGAAGGUUACCUUAUUUUGUGCUGUAUGUCCCUUUUAGGAAGCUACUCGCCCAGCAAUUCCAAUUCUUCUUGCUGUUGGUGCUGUUCAUCAACAUCUUAUUCAAAAUGGCUUGCGAAUGUCAGCUACUAUAGUAGCAGAUACCGCUCAGUGCUUCAGUACCCAUCAGUUUGCUUGUUUGAUUGGAUAUGGUGCAAGGUAAUUUUCAUUCACUGUAAUUUUCUUAGAUCCAUUUAACGUCGAUGUUUCUUAGGAUUGAAUUAGCUAUGAGAAAAAAUUGCCUUUUGUGUUAUUUAACAAUCAAAUCAUUGAUUGUUAAUUAUAUGAUUAUAUUUAAUUUUGAAUAAGCCCAUGUCCAAGUGAUAAAAGAAAAUACAAGAGGAUUACCUGCCGUAUUCCUUCAUUCAUUCAUUGUUAUUAUUACUCAUUGUCCUUGAGGGUUAUAUUUUAACUAUGAUAAAAGAAAAUACAAGAGUGUAGAGAGAGAAAAAAGUUAGAAAGAGUUAAAAAUAAGAUGUUGAGUGGUCGGAAUAGAGAGAAAGCACAAGAGAAGAAAAGUUUUUGAGAGAAGCAGAAAUGUAAACAUUAGAUGAAGAACAAAAAGAGAAGAAAAAUCGUAGAAGGCAUAAAAGGGGGAAAAAGCGAAGAAAGAAGGAAGACAAGAUGAAGUAGAGAAUUUUUGUAGGAAAAGCCCAUUGUCAAGUGGGGUUUUAUCAAGUUGUAAUUGUAAAGGAUGUGUUAAUUGGAUUUUGAUGGGAUACUGGAUGUUAAGUUUUCUUUAUUUAUCUUACUUUUAUUUUUGUUUAAUAAUAGGGUUGAGGGUUGACAAUUUCAGAAUUUUACUUAUGUUUUGUUACGUUGAUUUUGGUAAUGUGUUUCUGGCAAUUGGAAACUUAAGACAGACAUCCAAAUUGAUGUUUGGUAGUUUGUCCACUGGAAAGUGGGUGGGUGGUUUCUCAUUCCCAAUAGAGGACGAUGUUAUAGUUUUCUUCCUUUUGCGGGUGUAGAGGACAGGAAACAUUGUAACUAAGAACAAAGAGCAAACAACAUCAAGGCACUUUACAAGUGUCAAUAGUUGUGGUCUUAAGCCUUCAAAUGGCUACCAUUGGUGUCUUUUGUCUUUGAUAGUACAAAAGAUAUCUGGAGGGUUUGGUCUUUUGUCUUGAAAGAUUCACGUGGAACGUAGUUAAGGUGAUUGCAAGGACUAGUUUGAAAAUCAUAUGAUAAUCUGGACCAGGUGCACGCUGUUGGUUUACAUUUUGGCGAGAAAUCUUGUGUAGUUUUACUCUCUCUCUCUCUCUCUCUCUCUCUCUAAAUUCAAUUCUCAUUGAGCAAAAAAUGGAAGAAAAAUGUCCUCUUUGUGUUGUCUGUUCUCUUUUUGACAGCUUUAUUUUUGGUUUUGUUGUUUGAAUUUUAUUUGAUAUCUUAUAUUUUGAGAAUUAGUCUCUUUUCACUAAUUCAAUGAAAAUAGUUGCUUCCAUUUAAAACAGAAAAACAAGGGCAUGCGACAAAAAAACACAAAGAAAAGGGGACCUCCAUCCACAAAAAGGGUCUCUAAUUAUGUAAAAUAACUAUAAAAGAAAAACUACAAAAGAUCUUGUAAAUCGAAGACCAAAUAGAAACAUGAAAGCGAACUAGGGACCAAACCUCACUGGGGUCUAUUUCCACCCACUAAAGACGGCUAUUCUGCUCACACCACAAAAUCCAUAAGAUUCCACACCUUAACAAGCAAUAAAAAGUAAACCUUCUCCCCACGAGGCGGCUUGAGAAAGACUUCCUCGAUUACAACAAUGGUGUCCCUGUGGCAAUCAUGCAAGCUGCUAAACUUCUGGAAGAAAAGUCCCAAACAGAACUCACAAAAUCACAAUGCUAAAGAGGCCUAUUUUCUUAUUUUUCUUACUCAUAGUAAUUAAAAUAUUAAUCUUUUUGAAGCCUGUAUUUUUUAUUUUGUAAAUAAUUAAUUUGGAUAGAAUUAUUUCUAUAUUAGUUAUGACAUCAAAUGGUUCAUGAGUAAAGAUGCAGCAUAUUACAGCUUAAAAUCAUCUUUUCAGUGCUAUAUGCCCAUACUUGGCUCUGGAAACCUGUCGGCAUUGGCGUCUUAGUAACAAGACUGUAAAUUUGAUGAAGAAUGGAAAGAUGCCUACUGUAACUAUUGAACAGGCUCAAAAGAACUUUUGCAAGGUUUGGGCUCUUGUAUUAAAGGACUUAUUUAAAUGGGUUGACCUUUUAUGUUUUAAUCCAACCCUUGACUUAGUUCAGUUAGAUCACUCUCUGUUGAAAUGUUGUCUUUGGAACUGAUCCGUGUUGUUGCUGUGCUUUCGAUGCAUAUCCAACUCAAUUGCUCCACCACUCAGGCUGUGAAGUCUGGUCUUCUCAAAAUUCUUUCCAAAAUGGGCAUUUCUUUACUAUCAAGGUAUAGUUAUAUUUUCCCCUGUUCUGUCUGUUUCUAAGAAGUUGUUUACUUCAUUUUGUCCAGUAACUCUAUGAAGUUUUUGACAACUUUUUUUUUUGUUUUUUGUGCUUAGCUAUUGUGGUGCACAAAUAUUUGAAAUCUAUGGAUUAGGAACUGAGGUUGUAGAUUUUGCCUUUCGUGGGAGCAUAUCAAAAAUUGGUGGGUUGACGUUUGAUGAGGUAACUAGUAUUAUCUGAGGUUAACCUGAAUUUGUUUUUAUGGAUGAGGGAGGAAUUCAUCAGGGUAGCAAUUGAAAUGCUGCUUCAGAACUUAGAUUUUCAUUUUUCUUGGAAUUUUUAUUUUAAUUUCCUUCGAUUUUAGAAUUUUGGUGGGCCAUUUUCAAAUAUAGCAAGAUUUUUUUUUAAAAAAGGAGACAUGCUUCUUUAUUAAUAAUAAUACUUGAAAUUAAAUCUAUUUACCAACUAUAGUAAAACCAUUAAAUUCUCUUUAGCUCAUUUAAGUUUUUUUUUGCUAUAAUUUGUAAAUAGUUUCAACUUUUUGCUAUUUAUGAUAAUUCCUCAAUUUUGGAUGGGAUCUAUUAAUAUUCAUUUGUGAGGAUAUUGUCUUUAAACAGUAUGCUAGUAGACAUUCUCGACUUUGGUUUAAUAUGCAAAUUGUGUGAUAGUAUUCUUAAAGAGGCAUUUGCAAAAAUAGCAAAAAAAUGUAUGAUAAUAGGGCACAUGUUACUACAAAUUGCAAAAGUAGUAAAUUUAAAAGCAGAUAACCUUUUGAUAGCUCUCCAAUAGCCCUUUGAUAGUCAUCUGAUAACUGUCUAAUAUCAUUAAUUACUUCAUAUUUUUCAUAUUCACAAUAUGCAAAAAAAGAGGUGCUAUGAGCUGUUUUUUGCUAAAUUUUGUUGUCAUCUGAUGCAAUUCCUCAUUCUUAAAUUGCUCUAGGCAUGUAAUUGGUUGUCGGGUUAGUGUGACUGGUAUUAUCGAACUCUUAAGAUAGAGUUUGAAGUUUUCAGCCAUUUUGUGUCUCAUUCUAAAAUAUUUUUCAAUCCUGUGCUGCAGUUAGCCAGGGAGACUUUGUCUUUCUGGGUGAAGGCAUUUUCUGAGGAUACAGCUAAGAGGCUAGAAAAUUUUGGAUUUAUACAAUUCAGACCAGGAGGUAUGUGCUAACUUUCAAACUUGGCAAAACUGAAAUCAAGAUUUGUAUAUUGAGUGCAUAUCAAUUUCGUAUGAUUAAUAAGCAAUCAAGACUUGUAUUUUCUUCAUGUGCCAAUGCUACUGUUAUUCUUUUAAAUAAUUGUUGGAGUGCCUUUUAUCAUUAUGAUUAAAAGUUAAUUCAAAGUUCAACCGUUAUUCCCUUUCUUUUUUUGUGUGUGUGUUGGCAUAUGGUUAUAGUUCUUUUUGGUUGCUUGGAGGAAAAAAGAGGUUCUUAAGAAUCGUGUUUUUGUGUGAUAAAGGGGAGUAUCAUGGAAACAACCCUGAGAUGUCAAAGUUGCUCCAUAAAGCUGUGCGUCAGAAAAAUGAGAGUGCUUAUGCAGUAUAUCAGCAGCAUUUGGCUAAUCGGCCAGUGAAUGUAAGUGCUGAAGACAUAUUUUAGUCUCCCCCUUCAAGGAUUUAACAGAAAUUUCUGAGAUUAAAGAAGUUCUAUUUUGAAGUUAACUGGACUACUGGAGUUUAAAUUUUCUUCUUAAAUCAUACAGGUUCUUCGCGAUCUUCUGGAGUUCAAAAGUGAUCGUGCUCCAAUUCCUGUGGGAAAGGUUGAACCAGCAGCAUCUAUUGUUAAACGCUUUUGCACCGGUGGAAUGUCACUUGGAGCUAUUUCAAGAGAAACUCAUGAAGCGAUUGCUAUUGCAAUGAACAGAAUUGGUGGUAAAUCCAAUUCAGGAGAAGGUGGUGAGGUAGUUUAUUAUAUGCCUGUUUCAUAGAUCUUACUGUAUUGUUAUCUACUCUUUAAGCAGCAUUAAGAUUUAAGACAAUAGGAAAAGUACUUCCAAACAUAACGGCUUCCCCAACAUUAUUAUUAUCCAGGAUCCCAUUCGUUGGAGACCACUAGCAGAUGUUGUUGAUGGGUAUUCUCCAACAUUGCCACAUCUUAAAGGCCUUCAGAAUGGUGAUACUGCUACUAGUGCUAUUAAGCAGGUAACACCUUUAAACUUCACACUUAUCAGACUAUAAUUUGUAUAAAAACCCUGAUCAUGGGAUAUUUUAGGCACCUUAUUAAUACUGUUUUCAUUCUUUUAAUUAUUGCACCAUGAACUUCUUAAAUCACCAAUUGAUCCAAAAGGUUAAACUGAAGGGUAAAUGGUAAAUUUAGUAUAUUAUCUAACACUCUCCCUUACUUGUGGACUUGAAAUAUGAAGAAAGGCCCAACAAGUGGAAAUUAAUAUUAAUUGGGGAGGAAACAACAACGUAGGGGCUAGAACACAUGAUCUCCAUGGACCUAAUGUUGCAGUUCUCUAGUUAAGAACUUGAUGUAUGGUGUUACUGUACACUUUUAUCCUAUGUAGAGAUAUAUAGCCAAGCCAACUCACAGUAGAAAAUUGAUGGAAUGUUGACGAAGUAAAUUUAGCUGCACUUUCUUUCUAAAUUGUGGUUUACUUUAUUUUCAGGUUGCUUCUGGGCGUUUUGGUGUCACUCCAACAUUCUUGGUCAAUGCUGAUCAAUUAGAAAUCAAAAUUGCACAAGGUGCAAAGCCUGGUGAAGGUGGCCAAUUACCUGGAAAGAAAGUUAGUGCUUACAUUGCGAGGUUGAGAAAUUCCAAACCUGGUGUUCCGCUUAUAUCUCCACCACCUCAUCAUGACAUUUAUUCUAUAGAGGAUCUUGCACAGUUGAUAUUUGACCUUCAUCAGGUAGUUUUCCGUGGCUUGCUGAAUAUAGUCACUUUACAUUAGUGACAAGAUGCUUCUGGAAUUUUUAUGAAAGCCAUUGUCCAUUUCAUGAAAAAAAAAACAGGUGAACCCAAAGGCUAAGGUAUCAGUGAAGCUGGUUGCUGAAGCUGGAAUUGGAACAGUGGCUUCUGGGGUUGCCAAGGGUAAUGCUGAUAUCAUACAGGUACCCCAUUUCAAAUUUCUAUCAAUAUAUGGAGCAGUCCGUAACUUAUGUGCUACAGCUGAUGUUCUAUACAAGUCGUCUGGUCUCAAUCUCUCUACAUUUGGGAGAUCAUAUGGGUGCCCUAAACAAUCAUGCAAUAUUGAGAUCUUUAAUAUUUAGGAAAGGAAAGAUGAGCUUGGAUGAUAUGCAGGCUUUCAUUCUCUUUUAGUUCUGAAUUUUUAAUAUUUUAGUCCAUCGAUUUGAUUGAUUCAUGUAUCUUAUAUGCCUCGCAGAUAUCAGGGCAUGAUGGUGGAACAGGAGCUAGUCCUAUAAGUUCCAUUAAGCAUGCUGGUGGUCCUUGGGAACUGGGACUGACAGAAACACAUCAGGUUUCAUGUUCAUGAUUUUAUUAGUAAUCAUUACUUUUUCUGUUUUGGAAGGUAUGGUUUGUGAUAAUUGAAUGAUGAUAUACAGACCCUCAUUGAAAAUGGACUUAGAGAAAGGGUCAUUCUUAGAGUUGAUGGUGGCUUCAAAAGUGGAUUUGAUGUCUUAAUGGCCGCAGCAAUGGGUGCAGAUGAAUAUGGUUUUGGUUCAGUUGCCAUGAUUGCUACUGGUUGUGUGAUGGCCCGCAUAUGCCACACUAACAACUGCCCAGUUGGUGUUGCCAGUCAGGUAAUGCAUACAAAGUUACGCAACUUAGAGGCUGUUUUGAAAGUUGUUUUUGAAGCUGCCUUUCUAUUUUUGAUCUGGAACUGUGGGAAAUGACUUGUAAGAGUUAACGUUAUUGUGGUCAGUACUAGCAGUUCAACCUCUUCUUCAUAUUUGUAUGAGGUUUGAUAUACGACUAACUACUACUAUAUCUUGCUUUUUUCAGAGAGAGGAGCUACGUGCACGUUUUCCUGGUGUACCUGGCGAUCUUGUCAACUAUUUCCUUUAUGUUGCCGAGGAGGUUAUUUCUCUUCCUAUACUCUAGUUUUCCAUUUGUUAAUAAUUCAUUUUGCAUUCUUUAUAGAUCUAAAUCUUGGAAGUUUGUUUGUUCCAUUUUGUUAAUUUUCUCUCCCAGUUUUUUGUUCUGUGGUGUGUGAAUCUAAUAUUAUUGUUUGUUUCAGGUAAGGGGUACAUUGGCCCAGCUGGGAUAUGAGAAGUUGGAUGAUAUAAUCGGACGAACCGAAUUAUUAAGACCCCGAGAUAUCUCUUUGAUGAAGACACAACAUCUCGAUCUUGAUUAUGUUCUUUCUGUAUGUAUUUAGAUGGAAUCAUUUUAACUUUUGUGUUUUGCAUACUAAGUGUUAUUAUAGGAUUAGAUCACCAUGCGAUUAUGCUCUUGUUUAUUAGUGUUGUUAUAUAACAUUCUUAAACUUAUUUCUAGAAUGUUGGAUUACCAAAAUGGAGCAGUACUGAAAUCCGCAAUCAAGAUGUUCACACAAAUGGUCCGCUUCUGGAUGAUACCCUACUUUCAGACCCUCAGGUAUGAAUGAAGUUGAUGGAUUGCACAUCUUUUGUUUUUAUAUUAUCCCCCAAGUUGCCUCUUCCUUGUUUUAGAAACAAAAUACUUCCGCCUAACUAUCACUUUCUGUUAUAUGAAUAUCCCACUGAUCAUGCCGCACGUUCUAUUUCAUUAGUCUAUAGCCUUCUGUAUCUGUUUGAGGUGCUUUUAAACUCUUUUCUUGUUAAUGUUUUUUGUUAAGAGAUUGUUUGUAAUUGAUAGGCUUUUAUGGGUUUUAUUUUGAAAUUAUAAAAUGAAACAAGAAUUUAAGGAACUCCUUAAGGGAGGGUACUUCAUCUUAAGCGAUGCUACGUAAUGCCUAGCUGCACUAGGCAUGUUUAUUUGAGCUAUGUAUCCAGUAACCUUUUCUUGGUGGCAUCCUGCAAGUUUGCGCUUUAUAUAUUUCACUUUUUUAGCUCAAGGGAAUUAUUGACUUGACACUAGGUACUUUGUACAUUUUCAAAGAGAGGAAUGUGCAAAUUUUGUUCACUAUCUUUUCUAUUAGCAACCACUUUCACUUUCAAAGAACUUGUGACAAGUGAAAAGAUAUUGGCUGAACUUAUCUGACUGUGUUCUGAUUAUUCUUUUGGUUUUUUCGCUUUUUUUCCCUUCCAAUAUAUGUACCCAGAUAUUAGAUGCAAUUGAGAAUGAGAAAGUAGUAGAAAAGACAGUGAAGAUUUACAAUGUUGAUCGUGCUGUUUGUGGGCGUGUAGCAGGGGCGGUUGCCAAGAAAUAUGGUGACACUGGUUUUGCUGGCCAACUGAACAUUACGUAUGAUGCAAAUUUUAAAGAACUAUUACUUGUGUCAGAUGUGUUGGUGAAUACUAAUUUCUUUCAUUUAUUCAGGUUCACAGGUAGCGCUGGACAAUCAUUUGCAUGCUUUCUUACGCCUGGAAUGAACAUUCGGCUUGUAGGAGAGGCCAAUGAUUAUGUGGGAAAGGUAUUUCAAAUAUUCUUACACCGGAAAGUUGAUGUCUUAAGUACAAAUGAAACAACUUAUUGAAAAGAAGAAAAUAGGUUAUACGUGGAAAACCCUAGUACAAAAAGAAAAAAACACGAUAGAAGCCGCUUUUAUUUUUUUCUAAUAAUCAAAACAGUACAAGAGGGCAGAAUACAUAUAGGCUAUAAUAAGCCCUGACAAAAAAAAGAAAAGAAAUAAAACUAGGGUACAAUAAAUUACACAAAUACCUUUGGGGCUAUAAACACUCCACUAGCCCCUAAUUUCGAACAAACUUUAUUUUCAACCUCAUGUUUGCCAUGCUAUUUUUCUGAACUUUGGAUGAACGGAAACUAUUACCUUUACAAUAAGCAGUUAGAAGCUUCUCCCUUUUAGAUUGUGCAUAGGUUGUAGAAUAGUUUUAAUGACAUUCGAACUUGUCAGAGUGCAGGUGAAAAUAUCUUGCUAUUCUACAACCUACGCAAAAUCAAUGAAAAAUUUUGUUUCUUGUUAUACAUUGAUACAUAUUGCUUCUUUUCAUAUUGUAAAUUACAUGCGAUAUUUUAUUUGUUUUAAUGACUUUAUGCAUGAACAUUAUAUGGUUUCUUACUCCAAUUAUUUAUAUUUGCAAGGGUAUGGCGGGAGGUGAAUUAGUUGUAACUCCAACUGAAAUUACCGGAUUUGUUCCUGAGGAUGCAGCCAUAGUGGGGAAUACAUGUCUGUAUGGAGCAACUGGCGGUCAGAUUUUUGUUAGAGGAAAAGCUGGGGAGAGGUUUGCGGUCAGAAAUUCACUUGCUCAGGCAGUGGUUGAAGGAACUGGUGACCAUUGCUGUGAGUACAUGACUGGUGGCUGUGUGGUUGUACUUGGCAAGUAUGUAUUUUCGCUUUAUCCAAAUUAUACGGCAGUACUUUGGUUGCUCUAGAGAGCACUAUAUUGACCAUUUUUCUAAAAAAAUUGCGCCAAACCUAUUUAGAGUGGGAAGAAAUGUAGCUGCUGGAAUGACUGGAGGCUUAGCUUAUAUUCUGGACGAGGAUGAUACUCUUAUUCCGAAGGUUUUUGCUCCUCAUUCUAGUCAAUCUUUACCUAUAAUUGCCAACCUUGUGUUUUUUCCUCUACAUGAAGCUUUGUUGUUUAUUUGUUAGGACUCGUUGCUAUCUAACAUGCACAAGUAAUUUCUCUAAUGUACCUCCAGGAUAUUAACUCACGACGGAUUGCUAUUUAUUUAUUUUCAAAUUUUGUUUUCUUGUUCUUGAGUCAGUACUUAAAAGGACUUUGCUACCAUAUAUUAUGUGUAUAUAAUGUUCUUUAUUUUCCUUAGAUUCCUCCCUAUUAUUAACACAUCAGAACAUUUAUUUCUUGUGGAAAUAUGAGCAGGUUAACAAAGAAAUUGUAAAGAUCCAGAGAGUAACGGCUCCAGUGGGGCAGAUGCAGCUGAAGAGCCUGAUCGAAGCCCAUGUUGUAAGUGCUUUCCAAUUCACAAUAACUCCAAACAUUUGAUGAUGGAACUGUCGAUUCCCAUUUGAAUCACUAUCUAAAUAUCUGUUAAUGAACUGGGACAUCUAAUUGUGAUUGACCAAAGUUUAAAUUGAUUGAUAGGAUAUGGUAAUUUAAUUAUAUCAAAUACACUUUUAAUACCUUCUUACUCGUGGGCUUGAAAAUUUAUAAUAUUACAUACGUUAGUUCAGCUUUGAUAUCAUGUUAAAUCAUCAAUUGACUAAAAAGUUUUAACUAAUGUGAUAUGGUAUAUUUAAUUAUAUCUCUACUUUAACCCUGAUUCUUUUGAUAAAUAGGAAAAAACUGGUAGCAGCAAAGGCUCCACGAUCCUGAGCGAGUGGGAAACUUAUUUACCGCUCUUCUGGCAACUGGUUCCACCUAGUGAGGAAGAUACCCCCGAGGCUAGUGCUGAGUAUGUAAGAACAGCUACUGGAGAAGUGACCUUUCAAUCCGCCUAAUGGAUCAAGGCAACAAUUGCUUUGAUCAUGAUUAAUUUGCAAACGCUGCAACUCUACGACAUCUGGAUUAGGAAUGUGGAUGGUACGAAAAACAUUCACACAUAACUCGACAGCAAAGGCUAUGUGACUUGGUGGUGAAGUAACCAUGAUCUACCACCAUUCAGCAGUGUAAGCCAUUCUCUUGUAUUGAUCCCUUUGUAAAUAUCAAUUUGCAGCAUAAAAAUAAAAUGUAGAUUUCAUGUAGUUUAGGGUUUCUCAAUUCUUGUUGAAGCAAAGCAUCUGUUUAUACUGUCAUUCAAAAUAAAUUUAGGCUCGGCUCAUUAUUAUUGGCCAUUGCUUUCUUUUUUUUCUGGCUAAAUGUGCUUUUUGGCAUUUCAGGUUUGAAAUUCUCUGAUUAUUUUGUACUCAUAUUCUCUGAAUAACAUCAAACGAACAAUGUCUAUUCUUAUACACUGCUCUUGAAUGGUUUUGUGUUGAAAUGAAAUUAUUUGAUUGAAGUACUUUUCCUUGAUUUUGGAACCAGGGGUGGAAGUUUUCCAUUGUUUAAUCUUGCUGGCUGGCAAAUGUUUUGAGUUUAGUUUUUAUUUAGUUUUUAUUUGCUGGCUGGCAAAUGUUUAGGCCUCUUUUGAUAACUAUUUUAUUUUUGUUUUUAGAAAUUAAAUGUAUUCCCUCUUUAUGUCUUACAUUAAUUUGCAUGACUAGAAUUUUUAACCAAGUUCCAAUAACAAAAACAUACUUUUUUUUUUUGUUUUCAAAUCUUGUCUUAGUUUUUUAAACCAUUGGUAGAAUAUUAGAUAACAAAAAAAGGGGGGUUUGUGGUAGAAGUAGCAUCUAUAGGUUCAAUUUUAAAAAACAAAAUGAAUAUCAAAUAUGUCAAUAUUUUUAUGAGUUCACCGGAUGAAACAAAUACUUAUAUGGUUAUUUAUUUGAGUUAAACAAUUACAAAAAAGGACGUGAAACUUAAUCUAAAAUUUUAAAACAUGGGUACAUGUAUCACUGAUACGAUAUGCUCACCCUAAGAAACACAUCCAUUGUUUCCCUGGUUUGUCGUUUCAAAUUUAUUGCUAAAAGACAAACGUUAGGCUGAUAUAUUAAGGUCAACUAGUUCUUUAUACUACUGAUUCUCAUUAUUAUAAUACAUAUGACAUUCUAUCUAAAUUUUUGUUUUUUUCUCUAAUGGUUAAAUAAUUUAUCUAUUGAUGUAGAGGGGAAGGGUUUAGAUAAUAUCAUGACAUUAGCCCAUGUUGGAAAAUAAAAUCUUAAAUUCAAAAUUGACUGAAAGAGGGGAGAUGCAAUGCAUUUUGAAAAUAACUCAUUUUUGUCAGAGUUUGUUUUCCUUUUUUGUUUUUUCUUCUUCCCAAAAACAAUACUAAUCUUUCAUUUAAAACAAAGUUACCAAACAAAAUUGGUCAGAGGUUUGGAACAAAAACAACAAUAAAAACAAAAGUUUACAAUGAUCGUCUGAAUUGCCAAGUUGUAGGUUUUGGUUGAAAGAUUCUAAGCCAAACACGUUUGAAUUAUCUUCAACACAUCCAUUAAUAUAAAUGAUAUAUGGUGUAUUUUUAGUUCAAAGUACAAAUUGGAAAUUCAAGCUUUUAAUCUUUUGGUUGAGAUUACCUAAGCUAAUUGAGAUAUACAAAUUUGUAUUUUUUUUUCUUUUUCUUGACUUAACAAUCAAAUUUAUUGUAAGCUUAAAUAAGUUUAUUUUUAAAAUAGUAGUUAAAAAAAUGCCAGUUGAAAAUAUAUUAGUAUGUAGUCAGUGGUUCUGAAUUUGAGUAUAACCAAGUAGAUAAAAUACCUAUAAUUAUAUAUCUUAGAUGUCAUUUUGUUAGGUGCCCUGUACCCAUUAUUGUUGUUGAACUAUAUAAAAAAGUUUGGUUAGUAAUUAACCACGAUUGUUAUUCAAUUAGCACUUAAAUUAAUCAUUGGUUAUAUAAAUUAAUGAGAUAGAUAUAUAGAAUAGAAAAUAAAUUUUAUUUCUUUCAAUUUAAGGAUUUUCAGAUUGAGGCAUCCAAAUUUCUACUCUAGAAAUUAUCAUUAGUUAGUUUUUAUGACAAUAUAGACAGACAAAAUUAAGGAAGGGAGAAAAAAAUGGCAUAAAAACCAAUAAAGGUUUUCUUUUUUAAAAGAAGAAAUUGAGAUUUUCCUAUUUUGAAAAAGUUCAUUAAAAGUAUUCAACAUUAGUUGCCUUCGCCGUAUUUACACGUUGUGAUUUUUGAAUAAUUCCCGUUGGUCAGCUGAGGCGUUGGGAGAUAGACCAUAUUUUUCAAGCUUUGACAGAUAAAUUUAUGGACGUUGUAUUUAUACCCUCGAUAGUGAUAGUAUAUACUUUUGAUGUCGGGAGAUUUCUAUCAACUAAAUAAUCAAUGAUUAUUUGCUCACCGUCACCGACGUAUGAUUUGUUAAAGCUUUUUCAAGUUUUUAUUUUUUAUUUUUUUGAACGUCAAAAACUUGAACUAUGGUUGGAAUUGAGCUGACAACUAUAAUUACCACUAAACUGUCUAUAAAUAUUAAACAUUAAUUGAUUUUGUUUAUACAUACUAAAUCCGUCGGUGACCAUAUUACUAGUCAAAGUCUAUCAGCGAUAGAUUAAUUAUGUCAUUAGUAAAAAUAUCAACAUUUAGAAUGUAUUAUUAUUGAUAAAUCUUUGUUAUAUUUGAAGUUCUCUUAAAACAACAUCUUACCUUCAUUCUCUCAUAAUUUUCCUAAUGUGUUUCUUAAUUUCUAACAAAACAACUCUACAUCCCAAACAUAAACUUUCUUAACUUCAACAUGUUAACUAUGGAAAAAACAACAUAUACAUCGAAAGAAUCGUACAUUCACAUAAAUUUUUUAUCCAUAUUUUUUUAUAAAACUUAAAAAAACGGGGAACCACCCCUACCAACUAAUAAUUAAAGGUCUCUUCUCAUUAACGAGGGAGACUGUUCAACUUGGACAACUAUACUUUUGCAAACAAAAGAAUCGGCAAGAUAGAAUACAAAGUAGAAAUAAAACGGGUUGUGUUUUGUUCUCCUCUCCAGGAGCAAAAAGAAACUUAACAACGUCCAUCGAGAAAAACAAAACAUCUAAAAUCUCGUCCAAAAACAACCAACCUCAAUAAAGGCGAAAUCAACACGGUUUAACAAAGGUACCAAUUACAAAAAAGAUAAAUUCAACUAUACAUUGAGGGUAUCUGAUUGCCACUACCCCCAAAGCCUUUUUCUUUAGCAAGUGGGUAUAAAUAACAUGUAAAGAAAAUUCAACUCUAUUAUGCAUAUGGUGUCCGAUUAUAAUGACACUCCAAUUAUGAAUAACACUUCUUCAAAGUUUCUACCUACUUCUUUUGGUGGGUAAGUUUCUACCUACUUAAGAAAAAUGACAGAAGAAAAACUAAUGAAAAAGAGAUUUUAUAAUAAACCUUGUCCACGGUAAAAAAAAAAAAAUGUUUUUCAAGAUCAUAUAUAUAGCUUUUUCAAUGUAUUAUAUCGUAUAUGACUAAAGAAUAAAUAUAAUUUUAUAUCUACAUGUUUGCAAUGUGUUUCAAAUUAAAUUUUUUAUAAUUCAUCUUUUUUUAUUACUUUAAUAUUUUUACUAAUAUUGGAUUAUAUAUAUAAUUCUAACAAAAAAAAAAGAGUAGAUUAUUUUUAAUUUAAUCAAUUUAGGGUUGGAAUCUUAGCAAAGCAAAAUAGGAAGGGACAUUUAGAAAAAGAAAGGCCAACUUUGAUUGACUAAGUCACAGUGAUUUAGUGGGGAUUUUUUAGAAAUUAAUAGCUUUGAAUGUUAAAUUAAUUGGUUCAAUCACCCAUUCAGUGAAUCUCUUUGUCCCCUUCAAGGCCUAUAGAAUUUAGUGUGCAUAUAAUUGCUAUCUCCACUCCAUUUUAAUUCAUGCACAUACCUAUAUUAAUUAACAUUAUUGUUCCAAUAUGGUUUCAUUCAUCAUCAUAUUUUCUUGGUCUUUUAACUAAAUUACAACUCCUCAAUAUUGGAAUAUAUAUAAGUUUUGAAUAUGUCUCCACCGUUUGAAAAGCUACAUUAUUUUGUUGGAGAAAUGUUACACCCUAUGUUGAAAUGAUGGAGAGAUAUUUAUAUAAAAUAUGAACGAGUAAUUUUUCUUCUAUCGUGAUCCAUUGAUUUGUAAAAGUUAAUUUAUAUAAAUAAUUUUAAAUAGUAUUCUUUUAUAAGGAAAGAAAUGAUAAUACGACAAUCUAGUCCAAAUAUGAUCGUCGAAGAGAUCACGUGGGACUUUCGUCGCAUAAUUUCCAACCAUCCUUUAGAAGUACUAAUAAGUCUUUUCUCAAAUAUAACAGUCAUCCGUCUUAGUUCAAUCAUGGAUCACACUUUGCUCAACUUUCAUAAAGCUCCGUUAAAUCUUUGUUGAUAUGAUAUUAUCUACCUUUUGUACAUAAAUUCUCAUAACUUUAUUUCUUGAUUUCAAAAAUCAAAAUGUCUCGUAUCAAUUAAGAUAGUUGUUUUCACUAAUCAUCUCUUUAUUUAAUCAACGUGUGACUUUGAUCAUAUUUCCAACAAAGUUAAAAUAAUAAAAUAUAUAUAUUCUUUCGAUUUUUCUUUUAUCAUUGUAUGUAUUUGUUGAUGAUUAACCAUAACAGUCUCUUUUCUUCCCAUCUUUUAAUGGGAUGAUAAUGAAUAAUAUAUAAGCUUUAAAUUUGUCAAUGUUUCAUGCCGAAUUUUUUUCCACCUUUUUAUAAAAAAGCUGAAUAAUUAAUGCAUAUAUAUACAACCUCAAAUCAUAUAGCUCUUCAAAAUAAUAAUUAAUAAUAAUAAAACUCAACCACAUAUGAUCCAAUUGAGGUUUAAAGUGAUCCAACUUCAAUAUUUAAUUAUCUAAAUUUUAUUGAAAAAAAUACAAAAACCCUUUUUUUUAUAAUAUAUUGAUAAGAGAAAUUAACAUUUUUGUAAUCAAAUUAUUCAAGCUUUAUAUAAUAUAAUUUUACAAAGAAUAAUGAGAAAUAAUGUCAAAAUUGUCACCCAUUUGUCAACUCUCUCAUACUAAUGUGUCCCAUCAUUGUCUUAUCUCAUAUCCUUCUAUUUUUUGUGGACAAUUUUAUUGUUUUCUUACUAAUAUACAUUUUAGAAUUACACUUCAUUUUCAACUCUCUAUAUUUUCUUAAUAUAUCCAUUUAAUUCAUAGUAUCAAUUUUACAUCCUAUCAUCCUUACUUCUUUUUCAAAAUCAUUUUCUACUAACCUUCUAGUUCUUACUUAGAGACCAUGCAAUGGUUAUAAAUUUUGUGUUGGUUUAUUUAGGCUUUUAAUUUACACUAUCAUCCUACUUCAUGUAAUUUAUUGUACCAAUUAAUAUUAUUCUCUCCAUUUACAAUUAUUAAUUCUACUGAUUUUUUUUUGGUAUAGAGUUUACUUUUUUUUUGUUUGCAUCAUCUUAAUAAUAUCCAACAUAUUUGACACCACCAUUAUAUAUCUUCCUCUGUAAGCAAAGAUGCUUCCAAUGGAUCUUUUCCAAUCUAUGGUGAAUUAUUAUUCAUGUUGCUUAAUUAACAUAAAUAUUUUAGCUAGUUGAAAUUAGUGGUUGGAUCACAAAGAUGAUUUCAAGGUUGGAACUAUGAAGUGGAGAUGGAGUUCGCAUAAUUAAUUGAACGAUCAGAAAGUAACUAAAGAUUUUUUAUAUUUCAAUAUUAACAUUUUAUAUUUUUUUAUAAAUACUCACCAAAGUUAAAGAAAUAUAUAUCAUCUAUUAGUCCUAUGUUAAUAAAAAAAAUUAAUUAUUAAUUUAAAUAAUAUUUUAUAAUUCAUAUAAAUAUUCAUCGACAUUGACAUCAAUAUUUUAAUUUUUUGGAGUACCGACCAUCUUUUAAGGAUUGUGAAGUUUUUUCACUUUUUCAAUGCAUGAGAUCUUGAUCAACAUGUCGUUUUAUGAUUGUAUCUAUUUAAAAUCACUAUAUAUCAUUAGAGUUGAUAUCUUUUCUUUUUAGUGAAGAAGUGUAUGUUUAGCUAAUUCAUACAUGGGAUAUAUUUGAGUGUUAAGAAAAAAUGGUAGAACGUUAAAUUCUAGAUAAUUUUUUUUGUUAUGUUCAUGAUUUUUUUGUUCGAUCAUCACGAUUAAUUUAGAGUUAAGGAAAUUCAAACGACCGCUCAAACAUGUAAGUAGAGAUGUUUUGAUUCUCCAUCCACUACUUGUGGUGGAUCAACAAGAAAAGAAAAUAAUAGUUAGAAGAUUAAAAAAUAUAAUCAGGUAGAUUCUCAUUCCUAAAUCAGUUUAAUUAUAAAUGAUCAUAGGUUGAUACUGAUGUUUAUUAGUGUCUUCUUCGAGUGGAAUUACAAGUGUAAUUCGUUUCCUUUCAAAUGGAUUUUAAAAGUCUUAAAAUCAAUACUGUGCCAAAUUAACUUUCAUUUAAAACAAAGGCUUCACCCUAAUCUAUAGGUAAAAAUAUAUCUUAUAAUACAAAGCUUUCGUAAUUAGUAAUCUUUUUUUUUUUUUGGUCUAAUUAGCAGCUAGCUAUGCCUUCAAUAUAUAUAUUUAUAAUUAGACAUUAGUGCUUAUUAUAAUUAUCUUUUGCAAAUGAAUUAGGUCUGAAAGCUAAUAUAUCUUUUGAUCUACAUUCAAUGAAUUAAUCAAAGGAAAACACUGAUUUAGCAUCUAUUUGGUAUUGGUUGUGCUAAGUUGUGCUUUCCAAAAACUAACACUUGCACAAAGUGAACAUUAUUUGUUAUGAACACUAUAGGAUAGAAAAAAUAGUGAUAUAUAUUAUUGUGGAAAUAUUAUCAACGAUCGGAUCGAAAGGUUAUAUAUGUGUUUAUGUAUAUAUUAAUCGAAAAUGGUUGAAAAAUCUUCUAUGUCAGGUCACCAAUAUAUAUAUGGAUAGAACAGGAUACAAUAUGAUGGAGAAGAAUUUGGACACACAAAUUUUGCAAAAAAUAAAAGAAAAUAUAUAUCUUUGAAUUACAACAUGGACAAAUUGUUGACAGGUUGUUAUAGAAGGCACCCACCAUGAGUUGAUGCUACAUAUAUUCUAGACAUGCCCUCAAUUUUAACAUCUUGUAUUCAAUUUUCCCAACAUUUAGAUUCAAAUAGAAAAUUUUCUUUUUUACCAUUAAUAAGAGAGAGAGAGAAAAAAAACCUCAUUUUCAAUAAAUAAAUUUUGAAAAAACAGUCACGACAAAAUCUAUACUGCUUUAUUAACCCUUACUUAAUUUUAACUUAAAACUUGAAUUGAUAUGGGAUUUGUUUUUUUGUUCAAAUUUUGUAAUUUAUAUUUUAACAUUGUUGUUAUAGUGAUGGACAUAAUACACAGAGACUGCAACUUUUCUUAUUAAAGGAUAAAGAUUCAAAUAAAAAAAAUGUCUAUAAUUUCUACCUCGCUUUCUUUAAAACGUCGUUAUUUGAAAUGAAACGUUUAUCAUUUAAAUCAAGCUAAUACAACUCUUGAUAUAUAAAAAUUAUCGCUAAUAGGAAAUAUUAAAGGUAACAAAAAAAUCUCAUCACAAAUUUCUUUCACAAAAAGAAUAAAGUAAUUAGAGAAGAGACAAUCAAAGAAUAUAUUUUAGUGUAAAAGUUUAACAUUUCUAUGUAAUAUUAUGUUAAUAUUCCUACGUUUAAAGUGUGCACUCUUUAGAAAAUCAUGAAUCUAUUCAAACAAAUUUGUACGAAUGCAUCAGCAAAUCUAUGAUUUGAAUUCUCUAAAAACAAAAUAGACCAAUAAAAAUUAGCAAUAGAAAGUUACUUUCUUAAAAAUAAAAAAUAACUUGGUUGUUGAUAUUAAUAAAUAUAAAAAUAAUAUAAUUUUUAGAAUAUUAAUAAAAAAAUAUUAAUGUGAAUUAACAAUUAAAAGUUAUUCAGAAAUAGAUAGAAAAGAAGACAAAGAUGGAUUGUUCAGCUCUUCCCCUUCCAAAUCCUAAAGGAUACUUAAAACAAAUAAAAUAACAUUCAAAACUAUAUUAAAUUUUUGCCCAUCAAUAGAGCAUGAAACAUAACAAAAUUUUCAAAUGUAAUUAAAAUACUUUUUCUAAGAACAAAGCGAAAUAAAAAUUUGGGUCCACACCUUCAUUUUUUUAAACUCUAAAAAAUAUUGUGUUUUCUCCUUCUUUUAUUUUAUAUAAAUCUUCUAAGAUUUUAAAGUAAUUUUGAACACAAAAGUAGAUUAAAAAAUUUGUCAAUUAGAUAAAUAAAAGUUAAAGUGCCCAACUUACAAAAUUUAAACUACAAAAAUAAGUUAAAAUAAACCUAAUUCAACUCACAUAAAUUAGGUAGGUUUCAUCAAGAUUAAUAUCAAAUCUUAAAAUUCUCACCACCAUAUUUAACUAAUAAACACAUUUGAUUCAAAUUUUGAUAAUAAUUUUAAAAAAUAUAUAUAUAUAUAUAGAAGGAGAAAAAUAAAUAAAUAUCGAAAGAAAAAGAAUUAUAGCAAAAGGGAUGAGAAUAUUUUUUAAAAAAAUGAAAAAGGAGGAAAUGAGAAAAUGAGAAUUUUAUAUGCAUAAUGUAAGGAAGAAAAUGAAAAAUAGGUAGGGAGAAAUGAGUGGGUAUGCAAUGCAUUGAAUGAUUGGGAAGAACAAAUUGAAGAUAGUGUUAAAAAUUCCCAAGUAGAACACAAACUCAUUAUUUAAUAUUAUUUGUGUAUACUUUGAUUUUUUUAAAGUUGGUUGAAUCAAGACACUCUCCCUCUGUGGCCCAUCCCAUAACCCCAACAUGCGCCUUAAUUACUCCCACACACACACAUAAGUCUCUCAUCCCCAUCCUCCACCAUUUUCAUUUCUCCCACCACCGUCUUUCCCCUCCAUGCUGCGGCGCCUAUGGAAGAGGGGGAGUUUUCUUAGAUACUUAUAACGACGAUGAUCGGGGUCGUUGGUUUUGAUGGUAAAGUUUUACGGAGUCAUCUGCGGCGUGGUUCUGGUGCUAUGGACGGCGGCGCUGGUGGUGCUUCCGGUGGUGUUGCCGCCGCUUCCUCCACCACCAUUGCUCGUUCUUCUUGUGCCUGUUUUGAUAUUGGGAGUUCUUGUUUUUUGUGCUUUCUCCACUUCUCAGCUGCCUGAUACGUACGGCCAUCAUCGUUUUUCCUAAUUAUAUAUUCAGUUUUCUUGUUUAUUUUUGUUUUUUCUUUUCUUCUUUCUAUUAGAGUUAUAUUAUAUAUCAUCGUUUUGUAUACCCUUUUUUUUCUUAUGUAUAUAUACCAAUUUUCUUGUUUCCUUUUCUGGGCUUUUUAUUUUUUCUUAUUUGAGUUUUGGUAAAAUGUAACGAGUAAUGAAAUGUUCAAUUUAAUUUUUUUUAUAAAAAAUCAAUUGUUAUAUAGCUAAUUUCAAACUUAAUUAGUCUCUACUUUUUAUCCUCACAAAUUGUUGUUUGAAAAUUACAUACAAAAACUCUAAACAAGGAAGAUUGUAUAGAAUUAAAAAAAAAAAAUUGAUAAAAUAUUGACUCUUUGUUCAUGGUUUUUUUCUUCCUUUGGUGUGGAUUUUUGUCAAUGUUUUUCUUUAAUUUAUUUAUUUAUAAAGAAAAAAACCCUAAAGAUCCUUUUGUGAAAUAUGUUGCAAUGAAGAAAACUUUAGAAGGAAAUUUUUGUUAAUAUUUCUAAUAGUUUAGUUAAGAAAUAAUUCGAACUUAAAUUGGUGUGUGUGUGUGUGUGUUUUAGUACUUGGAAAUUAUGAUACGAUUGAAUUUUUUAAGAUUAAUUUUUGUAUCAAUAAUUUUUUUUUCUUUUUUGAUAAAAUCAAUUGAUAUAAGUUGGUGAAAAUGGAAUAAUUAUUGGGGAAAAUUACACAUUUAAUUAAUUCCAAGAUCCAAUAUGUGGAUAUAGUGUUAAAAUUUUGAAGAGAAAAUAUGUGUUGAUGUGCAAGAAUUAAAAGUUUAAUUUUUCACUCUCUUUCUAGAUAAAGAUCAAUGGCCAAUUGUGGGUACACUAUUAUAUUAUACUUUCUUUUAAUGACUCUUUUUUUAAUAUGUUUAUUAACCAAGUUUGUAAUCUUUAUUCUUGCACCUAUAUAUACAUAUAAUGUUAUAUCACAUUAUAUAAAAAAGAAAAAUAAAACAACAAAACCAUUCAUGUAAUAUUACCCAAAUCAUUGCAUAAAUCCAGGUAGUACGUUGGAGGAUAAGCUUUUAAAUAUUAUUCAGCUAACUCAUCAUAUUUUUAUUUCUUAUUAGUUACAACAAAUAGCGAGCGGGAAAUUUAAAUUUAUCAAACUUCAACACUUGGAGUAUUGUCUUCCCCACUAACCUAAUUCUGUGUUCAUAUUCAAUCGUCUAAUAAACUAAAAUAAUAUUGCCACUUUAUUGAAUCUAAUGAAGAAGUAGGAUAAAAUAUAUAACUGAUAUAUAUAUAAUAAAUAAAGUACUUUAGGUACAUUUUUGUGUGUUUAAGCAGGUCACUUUUCUGCAUACACUACUCAUCAUAAUGUACUGUCUAUGAAAAUUUAAAUCAAAUGUCGAUGUAUAUCUAUAAAAAAGAAAAAUAAAAAUAUUAAUUAAAAAUAUAAAAGAGAUCAUAUGGACUAAAAUUUGAUGUCAUAGUAUAUAGAUAUUAUUUAUGAUAUGUCAAUCUCAUCUAUCAGUUGGAGAUUAUACAUUGAGUAACCUUAUUAGAAUUUCAAGUAUCUCCUUAGUGUGCUUCAUUGAAAAAUGGGCCAUUGGUAGAGAUAAUGUGUAUUUAUCCAUAUUUAUAAAGAAAACAAUUAAAAAGGAAGAGAAACCUUUUUAGUGCUCUAUAAAUUUUUAAAAUGUUAUAUACUUUGGGAGUUUUGUGGGUUUUAACUUUUACUUUACCUUUAAAUUUUGUAAGAUGUUCUAGAGUUACGUGUAGCUUUGAAGUUUUGAGGUUAAUUUUUUAAGGAAAAUUAUCGAAAAAUAAAAUAUUUAACCAAAUAUUUAUAUUUUAUAAAAGAAAUCAAUAUAAUAUAUUUUAUCUUUAGUGGUUUUUUUUAAGUAAAUAGUUUAUCAAAUUUCUUUAUGUAAAAAACUUUCAAUUUUUGGUUUGAUAUCUAAAUUUUAGAAUAAUGUUACUUUUUAUGAAUGAGUUUAAAGUAGUUAUUGUUGUUAGUGCUAAGUUUUUGUUAAUUAAUUUAAAAUAGUUAGAAUAUAGAUUUUUUAAUAAAUUAGUAUUCACUAAAAAAUAGUGAAAAUAAUUAAAUUAUAGAAAAAUGAAUACAAAUGACUAAUUAAAAUAAUGGACUUAAAUAAAAAGUCUUAAGUGUUAAAAUUGUAAAUUUUAAGAUGGAAAAACAAAUGAACAUUUGACUUAAAAUUUAGAUCAAACCAAACUAAUGGUAAACCAAAAUUUAGAUCAAACAUCAAUUAAAUUAUAAUAUUUUGAAACAUUGAAAACAAAUUGAAAUUUAUUCUCAAAUAUUAUUUAAGGAUAUAGUUAAGAAUAUCUUUUCCAAAUAUAACUUGCCAAAAUUUUACAUAAAAUUUAUAAAAUUGUUACAAUUUUUCAAUGUAUGUUAUGAUACACUUAAAUGAUAGGACGGACGAUGCAAAAAUACCAAAAACCAUGAAAAUAUAUUGAUUGGAAGGUUGCAAAAGUAAGAAUUGUCCUAAUCAUGAAGAUAGUUAUCCAUCCUAAGUAAAUUGGUAGGAGAUUAGUAUAUAAUUGUCUUAGUAGAAUAUAUCAAACAUUUCACAUAGAACGGUAGCUUAGAACCAUUCAAAAUUGAAAAUUAUGUAAACUUUUACAAAUUGAAAAGAAGAAAUUAAAUUUCUUUGAGCACAACAACUGCGAACCUGAAAAUAAAAAAUCAAAUAUUCAAUUUGUAGGUUAUAUAUUAUAAUACAAUCAUAUAUGGGUAGAUGGAGAUUUGAACCUACAUGAUAUAUUAACUACCAAAUCUAUAUUAUUCAAUAGCUGACAACACAUUAACUAAGUGGCAAACCUUUUUUAUUUUAUUUUUUAAACUAAGAAUGGGAAUAAAAUAGUUUCAAUUUUGAACAAUUUGAAUGUUUACAUUAGAUUUAGUAAUCAUUUUCUAACAUUAUUAUAAUAAGAGUAGUGGAUCCAAAUCUAUCAUCUAUAAAGAAAACUAUAUUAAUUAAUAUACCUUACCAUUUCAAGUUGCUUAUAGAUUUAAUUUGAAUUUAUCACUCUUAAAAAUAUGUAAUGUCUUCCUAUUUGGAGUUAUUCGAAAAGUGAGUUUAUUAACUAGUUUUUGUAGGUUGGCCAUUGUUCUUUAAAAAAUAAUUACUCUUUUUUCCAGAUAACAUAUAUAAUUAUAUUAAACUUUGUAUCUAUUUAUCCAAAUUAAAGUUUUGGUUCAUCAUCUCGAUCUUCAAGUUUUAUGUUAUUGAUUGAUCACAUAUCAUUGAAAUUAUAAAUUUAAUUUAAAAUUGUCAAAUUUUAUCAUAUAACCAUAAACUUUAUUUUUUAUCAAAGUAAAAUGACAUGGAACUCAAAAAUAUCAAAUUUAAUUAAAUAUUUACAAAUCAUACCAAAAUUUUAAAUUUUAUCAAUAACAAAUUAAUCCAAAAAUUUUAUUAUAGUUUUAAAAUAUUUUAAUUUAUUUUGUUAUUUAAAAAUACUCUUAAAUAAAAAUAAAAUUUAGAAAAUGAAGAUGGUCAUUGGUGACGUAUAUCUUAUGAAUAUUGUAAAAGAUGGAAGAAAUUAAUAAUUCUUUUAAAUUUUAAAUUUAGAGAAGAGAGAGAAAGGGAAAGAGAAAGAGGGGAGAGAAUUAAGGGAAAGUGCAUGCAUCUAAAAGAUAACAAUAAUCUCUUAAGCAUCAACUUGCAAAUUUGUUUUCAGUAAACUUGAGAAAAACUGCUUGGAAAAGCUAUCAAAACAACAGCGCAUGAGCUGUACUUUUAAUUAAACUACAUAAAGGAAUUUGCUGUAAUGUGCCUUUGCAAUUUGCUCAAACACACAUGCAUGUAAAUUAUAUAUUAUACUUUACUACGGGGUUCAACACUUUUCCAACUAUAUAAUGACAGAUUAUUCUUCAAGCUAAGCUGUACACGAGUAAUUGAAUAGUGUAGUAAUAAAUUAUAGCCUAACUUAUAUAGAUAGAUAUAUAUGUUCGAUCACUCUAUGUAUUUGUUUUCUAAUUCUUUAAAUAUAUAUAUAUUUCUUUUAUAUCUAAAGUUGCUAUAAAAUAACCAUUUUAGUUACUGUCAUCAAUAUCAAUAUUAAUCUGAUGUUCACCGACUUUGAAGUUUUAAUAUUGUCUUUAGAUUCAAGUACAGUUUCUACAACAAAUGUGAAAAUUGAAAAUGGAUUUGGAAACAAACAUGAUAACUUCAAAUAUAAAAACUAUAUAUUAAGCCCCUGGUUUUUAAAAUCCACUGACCUACAUACUGCUGCUGGGACAAAAAAAAAUGAAAAUCUAUGGUUAAUCUACGAAAUUUAAUUUCAACACAUCCUCUUUAGUUCCAAUUGAUGCGUCUUAAGCUAGGUUAAAAUGGGUGAUGAGUAUAUAACUCAAUUGGUUAAAAUGUAUUGCUCUCAAUCAAGAGCUUCAAAUAUUCAAAUUUCCGAUCUUUACUCUCGUUUAUUAAAAGUAUCAACUUUAUAAAAGGCUUGCCUGCAAUUUAAUUGACAAUGAAUGUGAACCAAACCACGAAAAUGGUUGAUUGAAUCAAAAUGGUUGUCUCUCACAAGAGCAAAGACUUGGUGUUGGUCAAAGUCAAGAAGAAAAUGGUAGUAGUUAUGCCCUAAUUUCAAGAGUGUCUUCCUAUCCAAACCCAUAUGAUGAUAUGGAGUAUGAAGCUAAUGGGUGUGAUGAUUAUAUAUAAUAUUUAGUUAUGAUAAAUAAUAAUAAUGAUGCUUACUAGAAUUUAUUUAAUAAUGUCAACCCCACAAAAUUACAUUAUGAUGUUUAGUGAAAUUUUAUGUAAGGAUUUUUCAAAUGAUGAAAGUGGAUUUUUGAAAUCCUGUUAAUUGGGUUGAAGAAUAAUCAAAUUGUAAUUGGUUUUUUUUAGUUUAUUGCCCAUCUAUUUUUCUACUUUUUCUUUCGUAAAAAGUAUAAUAACACAAGUUGUUGAAUACUCAAUUGUAUAUGCUUUUGGGGUGGGAGAAUUUUUCAAAUAUUUCAUAAUGGUUUGAGAGUAAUCUUUAGACAAAGCUUCGAGAAGAUGGGAAAAAUGUUGAUGUUUCAUUUUGAUGAAAAAUAUUUUUCUUUUUAAUUUAUGUAAAAUCAAAAUAGUGCUCUUCAAGUUUUUUUUCUUUUUAGUUUUAUAAAUAUAUUAUUAGGAGUGUAAAAUUUUUCAAAAUGGGAAUCUAUUUUUAAAAGUGAAAAAGUUGUUUAUGUAAAAAAAAAUGUUUUGAUUUUAGAAUUUGUCAAAGUUUGAAUGAUAAUUUUUGGAAAUAUUUAGUCAAUAUAGAAAUUCUAUUGAUGGUAUAGCUCGACUCGUGUCUAUAUUGAUAAAAUCUCAAGUUUUGUUUUUAUAAAUAUUUUGGUUCAAUUUUGUUAUAAUACUUAAAAAUUUCGGUGUAAAAAUUAUAGUAAAGAAAUGGUGAGAAAACAAAUGCAUAAGUUAUUUUAAUGCUUUUAAGUGUUGUAGAGUUCGACUUAAAGAAGUUGUAAUAUGAAUGAAUUAAUUUUUACAUUAUUUGAGUGACAAAAUCUUGAUAAUAUAUCUAAAAGUAUGGUCAAAUAAUUGUUAGUCACUAUUUAUACCAACAAAUUAUAUUUUUUUUACGAUAUAUCUAAAAAUAUGAAAUAUAUCUUACGUGUUGGUGAAAAAAGUGUUCGAUAAUUCUUACAAAUAAAUCAAAACAAGUAAUAGCUUUGUGAAUUAGUUACAACAAAGGAAAAAAUGUCAAAUCAUUUCUCCCAAAAUGUUUUAAGUUUUUUUAAUUAUCUUACAUAAAGGUGGCUUAAUCUCCAUUCCCACAAUCAUAUAAUUCUAUUGGAUAUGUUAUAAUAGGUCUAUUUGUAGAUAGAAACUGGAUGUUAAAUAAUAGCCCUAAAGAAAAAUAUUCCGAAAAAAGAAAGGUAAGUUUUGCUUUUGGUUCUCAUGCUUUAGAUUUAUUUCUAUAUUUUGUACAAAAUCUUGUCUCCCACACAUUGUCUUCCACUCCCCAAAGAGAAAGAAAAAAAGGCAUUGAUUUUGAUACAUUAGAGAAGGUAUUCAUGCAUCUAUAUUAUAAACUCAUCAUUAUGAUCAUAAUUAUUAUGAGACCCAUUUGAUAGACUAACAAAAAUGUUACUUUGUACUAAAAAGAAGAAACAAACCAAACCAAAAGAUUAAAGAAAUACUUAAAUUUAACUUAACAUCAACUUUUGUAUUGUUUAUUACAAAUAAACUACCUUUCUAGAUGUAUUAUUAAAAACGUAGUCAAAUUAGACAAAAUAUAGGAUCAACAAAUAAACACUAUACAAUUAAUGAUCAAUUAAUUAAUUAAAGAAAACAUAUGGUUUAGAUUUUAAAUAUAUAGCAAACAAAUAUAAAGUUGUUGUCAAGUGAUCGUCAAAUAUAAAUUGGUUGUCAAAGUAAUCAUUAAUGUUGGUCACAGGAGUGGUUGUCGUAGGACAUUAUCAUAGAAUUAGUUUGUUGUUAGAGGUAGUCGUCGUUGAAAUUGGACAUCUUGAGAGAAUUUUGGUAUUCACUUACGCAAAAAAAUAUGUGGGUGUGUCUUAAGAGAAGUGUGGGCAAAACCUUUGUUGAUGGUUUUUACGUAGACAGUUGACAUGUCCAAUAGCCUGUUGUCAAAGCUUCUGCCUACAUGUCGAGUCAUAAAGAAAUGACCAAGCAAGUAAACAUGUGUGGUUGAAACUCAUUAUGAAAUAAUUUGUGCAUGUAAAUGUCAAAUUUUCUUCUCAAGCUGGUUGUUAGAGACAAUCGUCACCAGGUGGAGUCCUUGAAAACAUGAGAAAGAAAUGUAAUUGAUUAGUUUAAUAAAUACUGUAGCAAAACGAGAAUAAAAUAAAUUUCUUACUCCAACUUUCUUAAUACGACAGACCCAAACGUAAAAUGGACUAAAGUUAGAGUCUCUGCCAUCAAACCAAAUAGGAUAUAUUUCACCACUAAGAAUUGGUCUAAAUAUACACAUUGGUAAGUGCAAAAUGAUGGGACUUUCACAACUUUUAUUAAGCAUGAUUACAUGGUGUUCUUUGUAAGUCCAUUUGUAAUGAAUGACAAUAAAAGCAAUGUGUUAUCCAAUCAAUCAAUGUGAAACCCUAAACCCACACCUUUGUUUCUUGUAAAUGCUUGUUAUCUCGAGUAUUAUAUAUUUUCAAUAAUUAUUAUUAUAGUUCCUACCAACAAUAUUUGUUCCUUUUAAUAAUUAUCUAUAGUUAGAAAUAAUUAGCAUUGUGUUUAGGGUAGCUACCCUAACCUAUUUCAUAAAUUUCUUUUCUUAGUUUUCAAAAUUGAAAUAUAUACUAAUUUUCUUUCGGUUUUUGUAGCAUGGUUUCAUUUUGGAAGUUAGCAAAAAUAGCAAAAAAAAAAAAAAAAAAAAAAAAAAAAAAAAAAAAAAAAAACUAUAAAAAAAAAAACUAUAAAAAAAUAAGCUUUUUAAAACUAUGAUUUAUAUUUCCUCUCAAUUUUUAUCACAUUUUCUAUAUUUUUUACUUAAAAAAUGUUGAAUUUUAAACCAAAUUUGUAUUUUUCUUUUUUACUUUACACUUAGAAUUUUGAAAAUAUGAAUAAAAGUGGAUAAAUGUGAAUAAACUUAAAUUUUAGAAAAUGAACAAUUUUUUUAUUUGUUGUUGAAUGAAUCCUUAAGCAACCAUCUUAAUUUGGAUCAACAUGAGCUCAGUUCAUUUGACACAUGGACAGUUUCGGUUCAAAUUCUUUUACUCUAAGUUGUAAUAUAAAAAACCAUUGUAAUAUGAGUUUAGUAAUUAAUGGAAGAAAAACUCUCUAAUUUUCACUAAAUUAAAUCAUAGGUUGAAAACAUUUUAUCUAAAAACAAACAAAAUUUUAGUACCUUGCUAUUACAAAACAUUUUUUCUUCUGAUAUACUGUUGCAAAAUAAAUAAAUUUCUCCAAUAUAUUUAUUACUUAAUGCAAGAGAGAGGUCAAAAGUGGUGACAAAUGAUUGUCAAUAUCAAAUUUAAAGAUAUCACCAUCAGGCUUGGUUCGAACAAAGGAUAUAAAAUAUAUAUUGUAUCUAUCAUUUAAGUAAAUGUUUUAUCUUGAUCAAUACUCUAAAUUUGGUUAGAAAAUAGGUAGAGAUUUUAGCCUUCAUAAAGAAAGAUUUCUUUCUCAAAUAUUAGAAGUAAUUAAUUAGGUGUAAGGAAUUGAAUUUCAAACAAAAUUAUUGAAAGGGUAAAAAGAAAGUCUCUUAAGUGAUGGAAUCAAGGGCACUACAAAAAAAAAGUUGGCCUACGUUGUCAAUUGAAAUAACUGAACACAUAUGUUUAAUGUCGGUUUAGAAAGUGAAUCGUUAAUGUCGAUUUUAGACUGACAUUAAAGGUAUCUUUCUUUAUAAAUUACCAACAUUAAAUUAAAGGCACCCUUUAAUACCCAUUCUAUUUUUGGAUGAACCUCUAAUACAUCAGAAGUAAUUAGGUGAAUCCCUAAUAUAAAAUUCUAAAACCCUAAAAUAAAAUCAAUUUGAUGACAACCAAUUCGAAGGCAAUGAAUUAGAUUUGGAUUACUUUUUUAUACACAAUAAGAGAUGAGAUGAUAAUUAAUUCCUCACUCUAGAUUUGAAACUCCACGAAAUAAUCAAACUUAUUGGAAUGUUUUUGGUAUGCAACCUUAAAUCAAGAAUAAUUGCAAAAUGAUGUUGAAAUAAUCUACAUCUACUAGAGAUCAUUUCUAUUGAUAGAAAAAAAAAAACCUUAAAAUUUCAAUUAUUCAAAAAACUUGAACAACUUGAAAGCAAGAUUCCAGGAGUCCGCCAAUAAAACCUCAUGCAUUAUGGUAAAAAGACAUAUAAAUUAAACUCUAUUUAAAUGAUAUUAAAAAUGAUAAAACAGUAAAUAUUAAAACUACGUCACAAUCAUUAAAUAAAAUCUAAUUAAUAAUUUGAUGUUUGGUUGAUUCAUAUCAUUCAAUCUAACAACACUAAUAAUUAUAAAUUUGUUGUGCGGAUUGUUUUUUUCCUUUUUAUUAAUUUUUUAAAAUAUUGCUCCGGAAAAAAUUCCAUUUGUCAAAUGUGAAAAGAUAAAAAUAAAUUUUUUAAGGCUUACUUUUCUUUUUAACUAUCAAAAUAUGUUUAGAGAAUUUAAACACUCUUUAAAAAGUAGGGAAAAGGAACAAUAUUGUUGAAGACAAACACCAAAGCUUAAGAAAAAUCUUACUAAUAGGAAUAUUAAACAGGGUCUAAGUUGAAAUAUCUUCUUGGAGUACUUUAUAUUAUAAUCAAUAUAUGUUUUUCUAGAAAUUAAAUUAAUAUCUAAUGUUUUUGUUGGGUAAUCAUUUAAUAUUUUUUAAAAUUUUAUUACAUUUUAAAAAUUAUUUAAGUAGAUCCAUAUUGAGUUCAUUGAUUUUUUUAAAAUUAAGCUUAUUAAUUAUAGAAACAAAAAAUAAGUUUUCAAAAACUCUUUUUUUUCCAUUUCAACUUUUUAGUUUUUUUUACAAACUUUAGUAAAAAUAGAUUGAUGCUAGUUUAAAGUUGAAAAGGAGGUGGGCUAUAGAUUUAACUUUUCUAUCUAGAGGCCGUAAUUCAACUAAUAAUUCAAAUGUUCUCUAAUAAAUCUAAAAAUUAUAGUAAAUAUAAUUGAGAAGAAUUCCAAAAAACAAGAAAUUAAAAACAAAAUUUAAGCACAAUUUAAUCUAACAUAAUCAAAUAUCAUACCCCAAAACAAACGUAUUCAUCCAAAAUUUCAAAUUUUGUAUAUACAAAAACACAAACAUAUUAAAAAAAGAGAGAAACUUUUUGAUGAUACGUACAAAGAGUUCUCUCUGCAUGGUUAAUAUAUAAAAUAUCAACACUGUAUAAUAUUCAAAAUUUACAGAUUAAUUACAACCUUCAGCAGCAAAUAAUCAUGACAGUGUUAGGGAUCCGUUGAGAAGAAGAGAAAGCCAAGAACAACAAAACACCCAAUAUCAAAACCGGCAGCCCGAGAAUCGCCAACGGUGGCGGAGGAAGCGGCGGCACCACCAGUGGCAACAGAAGCAAAGAAGCUGUCCACAGAAGUAAAACCAUCACUGAACUUAGACUGCAGAAGUUUACCAUCAAAUAUAGAUGACGUCGUAUAUGCCUCUUCUCUUGCCUCCUACGUCAAAACCGUCGUCGAAAGAUCUAACCAAAGAAAAACGUUAGUGAAAUUUAUGCAACCAACACUACAAGAAUUUUGGUCUUGAGAAAAACGUGGACAAAACCUCCACCGACGACUUUUUUUGAGUGGCCGGGAAACAUGGAAGAAAAAUCUUGAAUGAAAAAAUAAAACCUCUUUGUUGUAAGGAACGAUGAGAGUGGAAACGUCUGAAACAGCGUUCCGCACUCGAUCGUUUGCACCAUGGAAGGAGACAGGAGAAAGGGAUCGAACCACCACCUGUGGCCAACACUGGUGUCACGACUCGUCAAGAUUCGCCAUUGUUGCAGCCAUAUUCAAAGGGGGGUUUCUUUGUUGUUGGGUAUGGAAAAGGAACAAUGAAGUUGAAGGGGUGAAAGCAAAGGAAUCAAUUGAUUAGGUUAGGUGGGGUUGGAGGUUUGGAAAUAUAUAAGUAUUUUGUCUUUCAUUUUUUCUACAUAGGAAUGAGUCAAUUCAUAACCCACUAAGUUUCUCACAAAAUGUGUCUUGAUUCAGGUAAUUGAACUUAAUCUCAUCCCCUAUUUCAAAUUUAAUAAAUUAAAAUACUAAUUAGUAGUAAUGAUUCAACUUUAUAGCAUUUUUCUUUUUUAUUUAAAACUCUUCUUUUCAGUCCCCAGAUGCAUUAAUUAAAAAUGUCACUAUCAUAUUUAAUAUAUAAAUAAAUAUGUUUCGAAACCUAAUUUUUAUCAUUAGGUCGUGUGUAGUGAAUUUUUGUUAUUCCUUAACUAGAUGUUUUUUAUUAUUUAAAAAAAUAAGAUAAAUUGUCAAAAAAAAAUGAAGUGUAAUAAAAUUUUAAAUUUAAUUAAAAAACUAAUAAAAAAGAGAAAAUAUAAAGGUCUAAUCAUUACAAAAACAAAGAAAUUAAAGUAGGCAUGUUUAUGUUAUCUCACGUGCCUAUGAAAGAGUUUUAUAAAUUCUAAUAGGAUGGUUAAUUAUAUAUUUAUUUAUUUAAUCUAUAACAAUUAUGAUGAAAAGAAUACACUUGGAAGUUUAAGAUCAAAUAAAGUAAAAUAUAAAAUACUUUUUUAGCAAAAUAUAGUUUAAAUUAAUAUUCUUUUAGCAUGAUGAACAUGUAAAUAUGGCAUAGAUUCUUCACAAAAGACCAAUCCCCAUCACAUAAGACAAAUUAACAUUAUUAAUGGGUCAAAAUUCUUAUAUAUUAAUCAUGUAAACGGUUUGAAAUAAUUAAAAGAAAUUUGAAUGGAAGACCUAGAUGGUUAAAGUACUAGUAACUAUAUUUAUAAAUUUAGAUUAUAUCGAAAUGUGGGAUCCACCUCUAAAUAUGUAAUGUAAUCGUAUUUACUGAUAUGUUUACUAUGCAUUGUGAUUAUUUGUUAUUGUUAGAAUCAGAUGAUAACAACAGUGAUAGUCAUAACUAUUAACUAACUUAUACAAUAAAUUUUAUCAAAUGUUUCUUUAGGUUCUAAAGAGACGUUAUUUUUUAAAAAGAAAGAAAAACAUAAUAUUAUACAGUAAUUUGUGAUUGAACGGUAAAUAAAGCUACCUUUAUAUGUGUGUUAUUUUUUCCUUUCUCUUUGUUAAUUUUAUAUCAAUACAAUCAAAUUAAAAAUUACUAUAUUUUCAAACAUAUAGUAAAAUAAAUUAAAAUAUUUAUAAAACAUUAUUGUCCGUUUAUAAUAAAUUGCAAUAGACAAAUAUAGACUUUUAUCUAUGUCUAUCAUGGUCUAUCAAAAUCUAUUACAAAUAAAUUGUAUUAUUGUUAUAUAUUUACAUAUAUUUUCGAAAGUUUUAACAUCUAAAAUCAAUUUUUUAAAUAAAACUAAAUAAUAGUUUUGAUUUUUUUCCAAAAUAUCAUUAGUUGAAAUUAAAAAAUAACAAAUUUAACGGUUGAUAAUUAUUUUAUAAAAUAAAAGAUCAAAACUCGUCUUCUAAUACCUAAUCUAAAUUAUAUAUCAAUUAAAUCAUGUUGCCUUAUACUAAACUAAUUAUUUUAGAUGUAAAGUAUUCCCAUUUAUGGCAUCGUAAAACGUUGGCUCAAGUCUCUUCACAAAUUCAGAUUUUCUCCUUUAACUAAAAUAUUUAUAAAAACAAAAUAUCAGUAUGUACCAAUAAAUAUUAUCGUCUAUCAAUAAUAGACAAAUAUAUUAUUAUGUAUUUAUAAUUAAUUUUAUUAUUUAAAACAAUUAUUUUAUAACUUAAUUGGUUCAAAUGUUUUAUCGUUCUUUCAUAUAUAAGGUCUGUUUAUGUGUAGUUUCAAAAAUCGUUAAAAGAGUGUUCUUAUUCCUUCAAAAUUAAUUUUAAUAUCAUUAAAAGUACAUUUAAGUGUGUAAAAUUGGACAUUUACGUCAUUUUGAGUUAUGAAAUAUAUGCUUUAAAGUGAUUUUAAUCAUAACAAGGGUGACUCCACAAUUUCAAAAUCACAUCCAAAAUAAAAUUGGAAUAUGGACGAGUAAGUUGGUUUACACAUCUUCUGUUCCUAUAUAAUUAUUUUGAGAUACAAAAUAUCCAGUAUACAUAGAAGUUGUUUUUUUUUCGGUUAUAAACAAAUACAUAAAUACUACUAAGUCCAAACAUUUUAAGAGUGAAGAAUUUAAAAGUUACUAAAAACAUUACGAACUAAAUUAUAGACAUGACAUAAAAAUGAGUUUAAUUCAAGCCAUAAAAGUAUAUUUAUAUUUAUGAUUGAGGUUUAAAGUUCAAAUCCUUUCCAAUUUUAGUUUAACCUAGUAAAAAGAUAUUUAUAUAUGUUAGUAAUCAAUUUGAAAAUUAAUUUACAUAUUUUCUUAUUCACCAAAUCAAAUAGUUAAUUUUUCUUCCAGCAUCCAAUCAUGCUUUAGUAAUCUCAACCUUAAACAAGAAUAAAGUAAAAAGGAAGUUUACAAAAAUAGAAAACAAGAAUAAAGUAAAAAGGAAGUUUACAAAAAUAAAAAGAAAAAAAAAAACUAUGAUAGUAGAGUCCACGUCACCUAAUGCAAUUUUUAAAAAUAAAAUAUAUAUACAACAUUUUCAUAUUCUAUUUUUGAUAAAUCAAAUUAUAUGUAAUUUGAACAAGGCUAAAGUUAUGAUUCCUUUUCGGUUAACAAGAACUCGAGGAGAUUUCAAUUAUUUCAAUCUUAAAAGUACUUUGAAAAAAUGAGACUUCAAAUCGAAGGGUCACAUUUGUUUGGAAAUGAUGGCAGAUGUGAUGCAAAAUAAAUAAAGUUUGAUUGUUCAAACCAUUAAUUUUGGACCUCUUAUUUACUUACUUACUCAUCUAUUUGUGCUACCAAAUUAAUGUUUGAAUGAGAUUUGAUAAUUCUAUAAUACAUAUAUAUAUAUUCAAUUGAUAUUAUACAAUGUUUAGGUGUUGAGAUUUAUGAUCAUCCAUGUUGGAGUUCAUUGUUAGUUUCACGAGGUUGAGAUAACACUUCUUUGUUAUUGUUCUCAUCCCAUCUCAUUAUUUGUUUCCACGAAAAUAGUGUAUUCUUUGUUUUUUUAAUUUAUUCAUUUUUUAAGAAAUUAAUUUUAUUCUAUUAUCUUUAAAAAAAUUAAAUAUAAAACAAGUCAUUUUCAAUACAUUUUUAUGAGAAAUACACCACACCAGUAAAUAUAUAUUAUAGGAAACUCUAAUAAAACAAUAAAUAUUUUACACACAAUAUAUAAUUGAAAUAAUUAAUCCCAUAAUUUCUAAAAAAUAAUUAAAUAUAAAUAUUGCAAGUCCAUUGAUUUAACCUAAAUAUUUCUUGUGAUUGUAAUGACAAUAAAUAUUUAAACACUUUUUUUAAAAGAUGUAUUUAAGUAUAAAAACAUUCAUGUAUGUAAAAAAAAUAUAUUGUUAAAAGCUAUGAUUUGUGUAGAGUAGUAUGCAUGUAUAUCACGUGUGUGUAUAUAUAUAUAUAUAUAUAUAUAUAUAUUUCAUUGGACUAAAGUAGGGAUGGGGAAUGGGAAAUAUGGUCUCGUCCCUCGUCCGUCAUCCCUAUCUUUGUUUGGUCAAAGAUAAUUUUUUUUUUUUGCUUUAAAGAUAGUUUAAUUGAGAUAAAUGAAAAUCUUUAGACCCUACUAAUUUAAAUUGACAAGCUAGUAACAAACCCACCAAAAUAAAAUGUAAAGAUUAAACCGACAAUGAAUUAGCAUAGAAGCCAUAAAGUCUUAGAGGUACCUACACAACUGAACACAUUAGAAAUUUUGAUAAUAAAUACAAAAUAAUCAUCCAACUAUAACAUAAAUACAAAGUAGGAAAAUGAACAAAAGAAUAAAUUUGAAAAAAUAGUCAACAGUGACUUUGAACGAAGCAAACGAACCAAGGUGUUUUUUGAGAUGGAUUUGAUAUAGAAAAACCCCCUCUUUCGAUGAACUAAAUGAUUUCACAAGUUUUCUUGAAAGAGUUGAUGAAUGCUUGAAUAAGAGCAACCUUUCUAUAGUCCAAGAUGAUUGAAGGGUGAGCAAAAAUCAAGUUUUGAACCUUUCCAAUUAGUCUCAAGUUGAAAAACAACUAAAAAACUAGUGAAACGAAGCACAAUAUAUAAAAUCGGGGAUAAAGGUUACAAAAUGAAAAAAAAAGUUUUCUAAAAACAAUAAUAAUAAAAAAACUAUUUACCCUCGUAUAAAAAACAACAAAAAUUAUAAUUACAAAUAAUUUUUUAUGAACAAUAAAAAUUUGGAAAAUUAUCGAUAGCAAAUUUGAUUAAAUAUUGAACAAAAUUUUCAGAUUCUAUCCAUAAUAAACUCACGUGCUUUUAUCGAUGAUAUUAAUAAAGAAUACUUUUAUCGAUGACAUUAAUAAAUAGCGAUAGAAGUCAAUUGAUAGAAACUAAGAUAUUACUACUAAAUAUUUUAUUUUGUUAUUUUUAAAAAUGUUUAUUUUUUUUUUGUUUUUUAUUUGUAAAUUUUGUUACUUUCGAUAAUAAAAAUAGAAGUUGGGUUAAUUUUCAUUUUUUGACCCAAUAAGGGGCCAUUUUACAAUUAUUAAAUUUUAAUUUUGUAGAAGGACGAGGGCGGGAAAAGCAAAAACCCAAGAAGAACAAAAAAGAAAGUCAUAGCUGAGCUUCGAAGAAGAAACUCAAACCCCUGCUCUCUCCCUGAGAAAACCAGAGUGAAAGAGAACCAAAAAUGGAGAGAAUUCAUGUAACCGUCCGAGCAAGGCCACUCUCAGCGGCGGACUCCAACACAAGCCCUUGGAAAAUCUCUGGAAACUCCAUUUUCAUUCCCAAUAACCCUAACAAGUUUGAAUUUGGCAAGUUUCCAUUCAUUUCUCUUCUUUACCCUUCUCUAUUUCUCCCCCAUUUCUCCCCCUCCUAACUGUUUUUCUUACUUCAUUUUUCUUUAUUUUUCUUGAAGACCAAAUUUUCGGUGAAGAUUGUAAGACUUUUGAAGUCUAUCAAGCUCGCACCAAAGAAAUUGUUGCCUCAGCAGUUCGUGGAUUCAAUGGUGAUGUUUUGGAUUCAUUCAUGUGCUAGUAAUAUUUGGCUUAGUGCUUGAAAGUCACUAUUUUGUGUUGUUGUUCAUAAUUUAGGGACUGUGUUCGCUUAUGGGCAAACUAACAGUGGGAAAACUCAUACAAUGCGGGGCUCACCCACUGAACCUGGGAUUAUUCCUCUUGCUGUGAAUAAUUUGUUUGAUGCUAUACAUCAGGUAUUUCUAGAAUUACUCUAUUGCUAUCCUUGGUUACGACUAGGCUACACGAAGAGCAUCCUCCUCCUCCAGUUCUUACUUUUGUUUUGGUACUUACAUUUAGAAGUAUGGACUUGUGGGGCUUGUUUAAUAUUCAAAUGGAAAACGUGGAAGAUGGGUUUUACUUUAUUUGGACUAUUGAAACGAAAUUCCAAACGGUAUGCUGUUAUAGCCGGAUGCAGAUAUGUCUAAGUGGACUUGUGGGGGGCGCUCUUGCUCAUCUAAUAUGUUGAACUAUUAGAUAUGUCUAAGUGGAAUCUUCCUGUUCAAAGGAUGCAGAUAGAGAGUUUCUUCUCCGAAUGUCCUACAUGGAAAUCUACAACGAGGAAAUAAAUGAUUUAUUGGUUCCCGAGCAUCGAAAACUGCAGAUUCACGAAAGUUUAGAGGUGAUGCUUAAUUUUCAACUUGGUGCAACUUAUUGUUCCAUGUCCAAAAUUCUAUCUACUUUGUUGAUGUUAGUUUUUUUCUCCAUAUUUGCAGCGGGGAAUCUAUGUUGCUGGUUUGCGAGAAGAGAUCGUUGCUUCUUCUGAGCAAGUUCUCGAUCUUAUGGAAUUUGGAGAAUGUAAUUUAAAUUUCAAAAGAAUACUCUUUUGCUUCAUUCUUAAAGAGCUAAAUGGAAUUCUAUUUUAUUUCCAAAUUUAUUUUAUAUUUCUCAGCCCUUGGGUUAAUAAUUCUAAACUUCCGAUUUUGAGACUGAAGAGUUGAAUAGGGAGCAUUAUGAAUUUUUUACUCUAUUUUGAUCUCUUAGAAGCCAAUAACUCUGAUUUGUCAGGGCUUUGUCUGCCUCGUCUUAAAUGUAUUAGUGAUUGAAAGUAAUUUUAAUUACUUGUUUAUACAUUCAGCUCAUCGUCAUAUUGGAGAGACAAAUAUGAAUUUGUACAGUAGUAGAUCCCACACUAUUUUCCGCAUGGUAAACAUAACAUUCUUCCAAUUCUGCAAGUCAUUCAGCUAUUGUUUUAUUUCCCCCUCUAUCUGACUUAAUAAUGAAAUAGAUAAUUGAGAGUCGAGAUAAAGUUGAAGAUGGAGACGCUGGAAAUUCUUGUGAUGCUGUUCGUGUUUCAGUUCUGGUAUGUGGUUCCCAUAAUAAUCAGCUAUUCUACAUGCUUUUGAUUCCGUUAUUCAUUUAGCAAUUACCCUGUUAUUGUGAUUAGAAGACGGGCCCAUCAUCUACCCUUGUUGGCUAAAAGCUUAUAUCACUUUCUCCCUACCUCCUCCUCCUCUCUCUCUCUCCAUUCAAAGAAUUAUGGAAGAAAGAACCAAGUAGAAUAAUGGGGUGUUGUCCUUCAAUCAAACGCAAAGCUUUUUGGAUUUCUAUUGUUAGAAGUGGAAUAUGGCUGAUAAAGGUGGAAAGAUGCUCUACUCUUUAUUCAUUUAGCUCAUAAUUGCAGGCUGGUUAGGAAAGGGUAAUAUAAACUUGUGAAUAAUUUCCUCUAUCAACAAUUAAAGUUGUGAGACUAUGUUGUGAAUGGAGAAGGUCAUGAGUAAAAGUGGAGUGGUGAAGGCGUGCAGUAUCGUUUCAAAUGGGGUAAAGAAAGAAAUCUCAUUCUGGAAGGAAGUAUAUUACCCAUGCAUGGUCGGAAAAUUUUGAAGAAAGCAGUGUGCAGUUUUUCUUUUAAAGAGGAGGAGGUGUUUUGGGAUGUUUGAUAAUGUAGUAAAACGGAGAAUACAUAGGACAAAAUUAUAGUUAUAACUGAUAGAUGAAAAUAGGGGUUUUGAGGGAUUGGGUGGCGUAAGAUGAUUGGAAUAAGAAAGAAAUGUGGAAAAGGGAAUACCAUCAUGUGUAGAUUGGUGAUUAGACUGAGGUUGAGUAAAAGAGUAGUAGUUUUUUGAAGACAGAAUAGGAGAAGCAAUGUCUCAAUAUGAUUAGAUGGAAAACAGUUGUUAUUACCAUAUCUUUCUUUCAAUGACUGUUGGUUCCAUAUUUUAUAAGAAUUGAAAAUACAAUUUGUGACGACUUGAUGGUGAUUCCCUUUGAUGUUGAAAUGAUAUUUGCUAAGAUGCCCAAACGAGAACUCACUGAAUUUGUAAAAGAGAAAUCCUAGCUAGACAUUUGAGUGGUUUGACACUCUUCUUUCCUAUCUUUACCGACACGAUCUCUUUCCGUGUGUGUAAGCUGGCCCGGACACUUGUGGAUAUAAAAAACAAACAAACAAACAAACAGGGCUUCUAGGGAUUAGGUGGGGGUGGUAGAGUGUGUUUUUUUUGUAAAAGGAGGUUGUAGAGUCUAGUAAUGCUAAUUUUUCCAUAUGAUUAUGUUGGCUCGGGUGGAUUGUCAUUUCAGGAGCCUUUGGGUUGGAUGUUACUGUUAGCAUCAUAUAAACUAUAAUCACCAACUUGGUCGAAUAUAAACUAUUGAUAAUUAUUUCAUUAACAUGUUUUAUUAUGUUAUAAAUUUUAUCAUGUAACAAUAGCAUGAUUAUGUUUUUAAUGUACGUUGCAUAUUAUAAUUUCAAAAUUCAAAUCUUAAAAUUCUAUUUUCUGAAUUUUCUUAAGUAGGCAUUCCUUAUUUUUCCUUAUUUUGCUUAAAUGGUUGCAGAAUUUAGUGGAUCUUGCUGGUUCAGAGCGUGCUGCAAAAACUGGUGCUGAGGGUAUUCGCCUUAAAGAGGGUUCCCACAUUAACAAAAGUUUGAUGACCCUGGGAACUGUCAUUAAAAAAUUAAGUGAAGGUGCUGAAAGUCAAGGGUAGGUGUUUGUGUGUGCUUCUUUCCCCCCUCCUACUUCAUUUCUGAAUAAAAGGACUGUUCCUGCAUGGUUUUUAUUUGAUAUAUGUUGCAGGAGCCAUGUCCCCUAUCGUGACAGCAAACUGACUCGCAUUUUGCAACCUGCACUCGGUGGAAAUGCAAACACAGCAAUUAUAUGCAAUAUCACUUUAGCACAGGUAUCAUCUUUUGUCACCAGAGAGAUUUUCAUUUUUGUAUGUUUAAGUUUUAAGCAGUGAUACUUUAUUACAUAAACUUCUGUGAAGUACGCAAGGUCCAAUAUCAGGUUAUCAUUCAGAAAAAUGAGGCUUUACCAUGUGUGCAUAGAGAUAUUCAUUUAGUUGCGUAGAAAUAUUCUGUAUUUGUUUUACAAAAUAUUAAAGAAUUUUAUAAAUAAUCUCGUUACCACUCUGGGUUUGAAUUGUGUUAUUAGCUCAACCGCCCUUCAAAAACUUAAAGCUUCAUUACUUGAUUUUGUAUUUACUAAUGUGAAAGCUGUAUCUAUUACUUUUUCUCUCAUUGAAGUGCCUCGAUUUGGUUAUGGAAUUCCUAGAUUUUAUCUUUCUAUUGAGCACCUGAUUGCUUCAUUAUGCGUGUUUGAAGGAAGUUUUCAUAUCUCGUACUUCAUCCUGAUUUUUAAGUUUCUUGAUUUGGUGACAGGUUCAUUCAGAUGAGACGAAAAGUACCCUCCAGUUUGCUAGUAGAGCAUUACGUGUCACUAACUGCGCUCAUGUGAACGAGGUUUUGAUCUGUAGUUUCAUUUCUUCUGCCCCUUGUUUCAACUCAAAUAUUUAUGCUUUCCUCUGAGAAAGCUAAUAUUUCUCGGCCCACAUUUGCUUUUAAUCAUUGUGCUUAUUCUCUUGCAUCCAGUUCAAAAUUUAAACCCUUUCUUGCAGAUAUUAACAGAUGCUGCUCUGUUAAAGCGUCAAAAGAGAGAGAUUGAGGAUCUUCGUGCCAAAUUGCAGGUCAGGCCACAUAUAUAUAUUUUUUGUUUUCUUCCCUUUUUUUCUCCAUCCUGAUAAAAAGGUCGGACUAUCUUGUUCUGUUUCUAUGUUUCAGGGUUCCCAUUCGGAGCAUUUAGAGGAGGAGAUCCUCAACUUGAGAAAUACAUUACUAAAGGUCUGCAACAAAAAUUAAUAUGAUGUUUUUUUUAGGGUGCAUGGAUUUAUCCUCGAAAGUUUCUAUAUGCAUGACAGAUUGAACUGGAAAGGGAACGAAUGGCUUUGGAGUUGGAGGAAGAAAAGAAGGUGCAGUCUGAAUGGGAGAAGAGGGUGCAGGAACAAGCUAAGAAAAUAGAAAAUUUGAGUUCCAUGGUGCUUUAUUCGAAAAGAGAGGAGAACCACGAUGAAAUUAAAAUUAAAAAGGUUCACAAAAUAAAAAUGUAUUGCAUUUAGUACAGUUCUGUAAUUACAACUUUCAGAUUUAUGCCAACUGGGAGGCUUUUUGUAGUCUCCUUGGCCUUUGGGGAUGUCUCUCAUUCUUUUGUUUUGUACUUUCCCCUCAUUUUUUUAUUUAAUAUAAAUCUCGUUUCUAAUAAAAAAAAAUGUUUUGCAUUUGUACGAUUUUCUGACUUCUUUUUGUUAGCCUGUACAUGUUGCUCUGUUCUUUUUUAUCUGACCACUAUAUCUAGUUCUCUAGUCUUCUUAUUACAUCUAAACUGAGUUUCUUUACAAAAAUUAUUCUUUUUUUAUUACUUUUUUCCCACUAAUUUUUUUGGACAUAAAAAUUGUACUCUUUUGUAUUGUAGGAUAAGAGAAGGGAUACAUGGUGUCCAGGAAAUAUAUCACGGAAUCCCCUUAGACAGGUAAAACUGUUGGCUUAUUGUUUUAGCUUAUGGUUUAUAUCAUGUGUACUCUCGACUCCCUAGAACACUAACGAAACUGUCCUAUUUUGUGUUUUCCAAGUAGUUUAGUAGAUUUUGAGGUAUUAUUUGUUGAUGAUUGUUAUUAUUAUGUUGUCCUAUUUUGUAUUAGUUGCUUAGCUAAUGAUUGUUAGAGAUAGUCCAAUGAUGUAAGCUAGGAUGGUUAGAGCAGAGUACACAAGAUGGAAGUUGGUUAGAAGGGAAACCAAUUAGGAAGAGAAGAAUAAAUGUUGAAAUAUAUGGAAAAGUUGUUUUGAAGCUGCACUGUAAAUAUUAAUGGGAGAGCCAGGGAGACUCCUGAAAUCUCCCCAAAUUGCAUCUUAUAUUUGUCUUGCCUUUAUUGAGUAAAAUUAAAGCAAUUUCUCUACCAAAUCUUUGCCAUACAUUUUUUGUACUCAUGCUCAUGUGUGAAAUGUUUUUGCAUAUUUAGGUCUACCCAACCAACCAAUCUAUGUCUUCGGCUGUUAAACCUGUAAGAGCUGAUCGUGAAAUGGGACCACUUCUUCCAUUCGAAGAACUGUUGGAUGACACUGAAGUUUCUAAGGAGGAAACUUGCAAAAGGGGUGAAAGCAAUCACAAGAAUGGACUAGAAGGGGGUGCUUUUCCAGAUCCCUGUGCAUUAUUGCAUGUUACCAAUAGGAGAAAAGGUGUACCAAAGAAGAAAAGCCUUCCGGGAGUAAUGCCACUUGUCUAUUACUUUAAAUUUUUUUAAAUUGUAAUUACGGGAUUAACAUUGUUAUAAAUUUGACAGGACACUGAUGUAAUAGAUGUGCAGGCAGCAUAUGAAGAUUUGCUGCUAAGGUUUGAAAGUGAGGUAGUAUUUGGUCUCUCUAACCACAAUAUUAGAAUCUCUCCUCUCUCCUGAUAUUACUUUCUUUUUAAUCCUAUAUUUAUUUCUUUAUUAUUAUUAUUUUUUGUAGAAAACUAUGAGCGACAUAAAAAUUGAUUGCUUAACGAGGAAGCUUGAGGAAAUUGAUGAUUACUAUCAUGUCAAAAGAGGCGACUUUAAUGGGGACAAACAUAUAAGUUUACGGGAAUCAGAGGCAAUCCUUGUUAUCAAGCGACUUCAAGAACGGGUGUUUUGAUCCUCACUUUAUUAUUUUAUGUCAUGGUUCACUUCCUAAUAUAUGAAUUAUCUACAUUAUUCAGUCCAAUUUUGUUUUUAAUUUUCGCCCCUUACAUUUUAUUAUUUUAUUCACAGAUAUUGACUUUGGAAAUGGAGAAAUCUUCAAGUCAGCAAAAUCUUGAUAAUGUCGUGGAGCUUGCAACAGAGCAAAAUAUAUGUGCUAGGGAAAAGUUUGACGAGGUAAGUACAGUUCAAUAUGAAAGUUGAUAUUCAUAACUCUUAUUUCUGAUAUAUUAAUUGAUAUUUCUGGAAAUAUAACAGAUAUCACAUGAACCUUUUGAAAUCGUGAAUUUCUUAAUAAAACUACAGUAGCUUCUUUAAAUAGGUUAUAUAACUGGAAACGAUCUAGCAUUCUCCAAGCAAGCUAAAGUUCAUGAGCUCAAAGUUAAAUAUUGGAAACUAUGUUGAAUAACAAAAAAACUUGUCUAAUUUUGGAGACAGACAUUGGAAAAUAAAAAAGGAUUUCUUUAUUAAAAUUAUACCUUUUAUUGUAACAUUUUAUUUAUUUAUCAUUAUUAUUUUAUUAUUGCUGAUAUAGAAAGUUUCUUGUCUCCCUAUAGUUCCAUGAUUAUAUUGAUACAAGACAUUCGUGGUUUUUACGUUGGAUUUAUCUUAGUUUGCUAUUGUGUAAUAUUGCAAAAGUAGAGUUCUAGUAAGAUCUUAUAUUUUUAUAGCUAUCUGAAGAGUUGCAUAAUGCACGUGAAGAAGCCAGGGUGGCUCGCGAGAAGCUUAAUUCCCCUGAAUGUGUAAGAAUACAUUCAUAGACCUGUCAUUUACAUUUGAUUUUGUAUUAUUUAGUCUUGCAUUUUCUCUAAUUUCCCGUGUGUACGUUUUCUAAUAUGUUAGGAGUUAAUCAGUUAUUAGACAAAGUAAUUUGUAACCAUCUACCUGCCAAUAUGCUUCUUUCAGGAAGAAAAUUUUGACUUAUUGUCAAUACUUUCAAUGGAACUUCAAGAAGUGAUUGCGGAAAUUGAAAACUCUAAACAAAUUUCUUUGAGUGUUUCUUUACUCGUCAAUGAUACAUCUCAGUGUUUUUCUGCUCUAUCUGACAUGUUGCUUGUAAGUAUUCUUAGAGCAGCUCUUGGAGAUUAGUGUUCUCAUACUCUUGUCCAGCUCAAUGACCUUCCUUUAGAUCUCAUCAGUUGGGACUAAAUGCAGGAUUUGAAGACUACGAUCCAUAAAUGUUCUGCUGAACAGAAACUAAUUAUUAAUGAUCACGAAGAGCUGAACUCCCAAUUGAUGCAGAAAGUUUCCAAAAUUGAGAAUGAGAAGGUGUGCAUUUUUGAAGUAUGUGGUUGUAAUCCUUCUGCUUCUAAUUUUUUCUCUCUCUUCAUGUGCAGCUUCUUCUUCAAAAUUACUCGGAUGAUCUCCAGAAUCAGAUAGGGUUACUGAAACAGCAAGUUCAAAAUAACGAGGAGCUAUCGACGGUAAAUAUUCUUUUAUAUAUAUAUAUUUUUUAUUUGAUGUAUGCUUGGCAAUGCAAACCCUUCCGCUCAAAAUCUCUAUUUCUUUCAGUCAUUUCCAUAAAAUGUGUCCUUUCAACUUUUUUUAGAUGUAUGCUUUGCAAUCCUUUAAAGAGAUGUGUGCCUGCAUGUUUGUUGCUCCUGCAGGCUCUUGAUCAUCAGAACAUGGAACAAGCUGAAUAUCUUGCUCAAAUCCAAGCUCUUCAAAAGGAAAUAACAUAUUUGUCAUCUAGUUCACUUGCAAGGGAGAAAGAAAGCCUAAGAAAAGAUCUUGAAAAAACAAAAGGAAAGUUGAGAGAGUUUGAAGUUAAGCUCAAGAAUGCUUUACAAGAGAGGACAAAACUUGAGGUUUGAUAACCUCUUAAUGUUCUCCGAAUAACUUUAAUAUGGGUUAUCAGUUUAAUAACAUUUUCACUUUCAGGGUGAGAAAGCUGCAGCCGAGCGAGAGAUAAAGUGGCUAGUUGGUCAAAAUUCUCUUCUUAAGCGCGAUAUCAAUAAACGUGAUUCCAUUGCUGGUAGACGGCGUGAUUCAAUAAUUGAUAAGAGUUCAAAGGGGCUUGAUCCAGACAGAGCGAAGUCCUUUGUACAUUCAUAUGAACAAAUACUGGAGGUAACAAUAACACAAUGGUGCUAAAAAAAAUAUGGAUUACUUCUAUUAGUUAAUUAUCAUGAGUAAGUUAAAAGAAGUCAUUUUUUAUAAGGAAAAAAAGUCAUUUUCAAUUUUAUAUAUGUUAUAUUUCCAAUUACUACAAUCAAAUUCAUGUUUUCCUAUAAUAUAAUAUUUAUCUUUGCAAAUAUUUUUAGAAAGUGAUGUGUCCCAUUUAAAUUUUCCUAAAAGGUGGGAGGUUCACCUUCGAAGAGUCAGACAUCUGAGUUCUUUUGAAUGUUUAUCAGGAAGAUCAGAAGGAGUUGGAAGUUUUUGCAUUUGAGUUAGAGGCGAAGAUUGCUUCUCUGGAAGAACAAUUAAGCGCCACAUACAAUGAGAAAGAAGAGGCAAUAUUUAGAAAUGAAUGCUUACUUUCAGAAUUAGAAACUUUAUCUGAAAAACUGCAAAUAGCAAACAUACAACUGACUGCUGUACAGGAUGUCAACGAACUUGUAAGCUUAUACUUUUAUUUCAAUAGUUGGACAUUGGUUCUCUGGGGACUGCUCUUUCUUUCUGAAACAUGAUAUUGUAUAUAUCUCCAGAAACAAAGCUUAGAAGAAGCUACAUUUAACCAGAGAAACUUGGAAAGCUCCAUAAAAUUUCUGGAAGAACAAAAAGAAGAAUUGGCCAUGGUAAUUUCAGAUUUAUGACUUUACCUUCACCUUUCUGUCCACGAUAAAGUAAUGGAGUUAAAUUACAAAUUUAGUCUCUAAACUUUGAAGUUUAUAUCCAUGCCUGAUUUUUUAUUUUAUUUUAUGUCUAAUAGGUCCUUGAUAUUUUUUAAAAUUUUAAAAAUUAAUCGAUGUAGAAGAUAUAAAUUUGAAUUAUAUAUAUAGUGAAACCAUAAACAUUUGCAUCUCUGUUUCACGUUUCAACUUAUUGGUGCAUUUCCACUGGUUCUGAAGCAACUCACAGAAGCCCUUCUGGAAAUGGAGGAGGAAAGAGCUGUGUGGUUAUCGAAGGAGAAAACUUAUAUUGAAGCAAUAGAAGAGAAAGUAAAAUUACACGAUCUGAAGGUGGCUUCUGCAUCAAAAGAGAUAUCUAAGGUAUGAGCUUUAUGAGUCAACUUGUCAAGAAAUCUGCUGAAUAUACCUCUUUGUUUCUUUUUUUAAAAAAAAAGAAGAGAAUUUUCUAGCAUAUAUUUCGUUCAUUUUAGUUGGAGGCAAUAAUUUUUUUUCAAAAUGCCGGUGGAUAACUAAUUGAGUAAUCCUUGUGGAUGGGAGAUUGGGUAGUAAUUUUGUAAACCAACACCUUUCUAUCAGUACGAAUACUCUGUUUUGGUAUUUUUUUAAUUUUUUUUUAAAAAACUGUGCUGAUUUCUUUAUGAGUGCGCUUUCGUUUCAGUAUUUUCUCUAAACGACUUAUAAUUUUCUAAUCAAAGCAAAUACACGAGCCAUUUUGGUAGUUCAGUUUAAGAUUUUUAUUUAAAGUAUGUUAUGUUUUAUGUUUUUCUUUUUCAAACUUAAAAUUAAUGUUGGAACAUUUAAAUUUCAUUCCCUAAAAUUGAGUUUGUUCUAAAUAUUAGAGGCUUAAAUCACUAUCCUAUAACCUUGAAUUAAAAAAAAAAAAUUAUUUAGUGAAAAGAUUUUGGAAUUCAAAAGAUUUAAGUACUUCAAAUACUUCUUUAGAAGUUCUUCAGAUCCAAGGUCUAAGUUCUCCCAAAUAACAUUUUACUGUUGUUGGACUUAGAAAGACGCCACUAAUUAUGAAAUUUAUUGUUAUUGUACUAAGUACUCCCAAACAUGAAAUUUCUUUUUGUGUGACCUAUAAAUUCUCCUAGAAGAAGCAACAAAACAGGUAGCAUCCUAAAAAGUAGGCAUAGCUUCCACUCUAGUUGAAAUUCUUUUGUUCAUAUUCAAGUCAGAUAUUACCAUUGAAAAGUAGUUUUAACCUUUAUAAAAAUAUAUUAUUCAAUCUUCACAAUGCAUAAAGGAUUUUUUUUCCUUCAAAUUUUAUAAUUAAAAAAAAAAAAGAAAAAGAAACAAAACCUUUCGUUGAUAUAAUGAAAAGAGUCAAAUAUUCAAAAUACAACAAUGUAGCAAUUGAAAAUAAAUAUUCAACUAAAUUAAGCAGAGAUUCAGAGAAGAUAAAAGCAUUCCAAUUCAAAAAAUGUCUUAAAUAUAAAAAUUAGAGAAAGCCUUUGAACAAGAACACCAUGAAAUGGUCUUACAUUUUUAAUAUCAAAGCCUACAGAUAGAUUUUAUAGUUUGCAAAUGUGCAUUUUUUAUCUACUGGGAAAGUAUUGAUAACAUGCAUUUGCUAUCUGUGUUACCAACAUUAACAAAAAACGGUGAGUAAUUAUGGGUCACAAGCACACAUCAGCCUAACUAUUGUAGUCUUAGGGCUGAUCUGAUAACAAGCUAUAUACGGACUUUAAAGCUGUAAAUGAAGAGCUAAUUUUACAUCAAGUUAUUAUAUCUUGUAAGAAAAGAAUUUGAGCUAUCCAAUGAAGGUUUAGACAAAGUCAUAAAUAGUCAUCCCACUGUUCCGUGAAUAAAUUCUUACCAGUUCCUGGUAUUCCAAAGAUGGAAUGUGAAGACAAGAUUAUUAGUCCAUUUUAUUUUACAGUAUACAUUAACUGAAUUGCACGUCUCCCUUUCUUACUUGUUCGAUGUUCUUACAACCUUUAUGCAUUUUAAUGUAUAAAACGUGCAGUGCUUUCUUGUUUCUGAUGGUUGUAAAGAUGGUUAAACAUUUGAACUUUACAACGUAGGUGAUGAAUGAUUUGGAGUCUUGUCGUGAAGAAUGCGAGUUACUGAAACAAAAAUUGAGAUGCUCAGAGGAGAAUGAGAGACGGGAAAAAGAGUGCAGGUAUUUUCUAGACUUUCUUCUGAGUUGUAUUUUCAGAGGGUUUGGUUGAUUAUGCAUCUCUUUAUUUACACAUAUUAAACGAAGCUUCAAAGUUAAUAAUGGUCCAAUCUUUUACUCCGUUUAAUAAUAUAUGUAGUACUUUAACAGUGAUAACUUUGUUUCUAAUUCAAAAAUAUGUAACCAUACAAAUAAAGGCGCUUUGAUUUUUUUUAGCUUUUGUAUUAUCAUAUUACGUACUGCUAUGACUUUCUAUUGUUAUUACAAAUCCAAAUUGGUGUAGUUCAGAUGUUUGAGAAUUUCAUAAUGCUUGAAUUGUGGAACUGAUUUAGUAUUAUUUAUUUUUAAAAUUUUGUUAAUUGGUUUUGUCCUUGUUCUAUUUGUGUUUUAAGUUCUUAAAUAAUAACAUACUGGAGCAUUUGUGUCCAUGCCUUAGGCUUCUAUCAUCUAUAACAUAUGGUAUAUAUUUGAAGAACUUGUGAAAUUUGUUAUGUUUAUUUGUAUUUUGUUAAUUUUGCACAUUUUGUUGCAGUCGGAAGAAGCUAGAUGCCAUAGAGAGCCUAAAAAAUGAGAAAAAUAUAGCUGAGGUUGAAAAUGAAGCAACUCAGCAAGUAAGUUAUAUACUUUCAGCACUUACUUUUUAAUAUUUGUGAUUGUCCGAACCGGUUUACACACAUCUUGACUAAUCUCAUGGGACAAACUGUCUGACCUUGAAAUAUUUCCGUCAAGAAAACUUGUAGGAAAUUAAUUCAUAGGUUGGCAACCACCAUGGAUUGAACCUUUGACCUCAUGCUGGUUACUCUGCACUUUUAUGGAUGUUGGAUGUGAGUGUGAUGGGAUGAUACUAAUAGUUCAAUUGAAUAUUUUCUGUUGACAUCUUUUUUAAUAUAAAAGACCAUCUUUCAUUGAUAAGCAAGAAAAAAAAUAAAGGACAAUGGCAUACAACAAAAUAAGCCCACAAAAAGGAGCACUCUAAAGAAAGGGUCUUCAUUCUCCCAUCAAGCAAAAUAUGACCAAAUGAAUGAUUACUAUGAUGAAAAGAAUAAUUACAAAAGAAGUUCGUCACCAAUGCCCAAAGAUAGACAUUAAGUCUCACAAGGGACCAAGCAUCAACAUAUUCGCUUUCAAUCCUUAAACACCGGAACAUGGUACAAACCCAGCCUAAUUCACUUGAGAUUGUUUAACAGGUUUUUCUUUAUGAAUUUUGUCUCGAUCAUCUCCUCUCAAACGGAGAAUCUACAUGGUCUUAUGAUAGGUCCCCAAUCAAGAACAUCUGUGCUAGGAAGUGUAUGCAUGGGUGCAUAGGCAAUAUGUAUGUAAAUCAAACAAAGUAUCCAACCAACAUAUUUGAAAAAAAUAAAAAAGAUCGAAAUCAUUACAGUUUUGUUUGUCCCGUUAGGUUUGGACAUCUCUAAUUAAUGGUACAGGUGAAGCUUCAUUUGAUAAGCGACAACCAUAUGUUUGAAGAACCAAUCAACUUUGGUGGAAUUAUGUGAACUUUAGGUUUCAGGUGAAAUAAUAUUUCUAAUUAAUCACCCGUCUUUUCUCUUUCAGAAUAUUAGAAACCAGCUGCUUCUUGUGACGAAGGAAAGAGAUAAUUUGAUGAUUCAGAUUCAAGAUCUUCAAAGUCGUUCCAUCGAAGUAGAAUUGCUAAAAAAUAAUACCAAUGAGAUGGUAACGACAAAACUUGUCUGUUUCUUAUUCCUUUCUCUUAAUGAACCAAGUUUUCUGAAAUAUUAAACAUGCUAUAUCGAUGAAUUUAAUGCAGUUAAUAGGAGCAAAACUUCAAGCGGAAAAAUUGGCCUCCAGAAUUUCCAGCUUGGAAGUUAAGAUGCAUGAUGUAAGUUCUUGACUAUAUUGUAUACUCUUAAAUAGAUAUUAAGAAUUUAAGACGUUGGUACUUCUAAUUUCCUACUCUUGCUGAAAGUCUUAGAGCUAAAGCUUCUACAGAAAGCAUAUGUAUCUAUAGUUAUUACCUUAUCUAACAAUCUUGCCAACAGGAUGAGGUUCAAAACGGCAAAGAAAAGGCGAAGUUUCGAAUGAGACUACGUAGUACUCAAGCAAAGUUGGAUGCGUUCCGCAUUAGAUAUCAAGAAGUACUGGAUGAGUCUGAUCUCAUGGAUAGAAAGUACGAGAAGGCCACGAAGGACUUGAAGAAAAAGUUGACUUCAGAAUGUAUUGAGAACCUUAACCUUAGGAAGCAACUUGCUUCUGUACAAGGACUAAGGUAAAUAUUUAUUCAUGUAUAUCCAUAAUAUUAAAUUGUGCUAACCCUUUAGAUCAGGUCUAAGUUCUCAUUCAUCGAUCUAUCAAAUGUAUUAUCUUAUUUGUAAAUGUUUGACAUUAACAAAAACUCGGCUAUAACUUAACUUCAUCUACAGUUUGGAUCAGUAGAUGUCAUUAGGUAAUCUUAUUAUAGACUCAGGUUUUUUUAGAUCAAGAUUAUUGUAUAUACUUCUGUAAUAUAGCUUGAGGGGAAAAAAUAUUGUUUCUACCUGUCUUUUAAACCACAGCAUAAUACAUUGGAUCUUUGUUCUUAUCAUUCUUUCAAGUUUCAAAGGAUGAUAUUUUCAUCGACCUGUUCAUUAGAACAUUUGAAAAAAAUUGAAUGUGCUAUAACGUAAUGAUCUCAACUUGUGUUUCAAGUCGCUGUGCAGUAUUUUUGAUAUUGAACUAAUACAUCAAUGAAUUAAAAAAGUCAGAUUAAUCUAAAAAGUUCAUUCACAAAAUUCAAUCUUACUACUUGAAAAAAGAAUUUAGAAGAUUUAAGUAAAAACAUUCUCCAAAUUUUGAGGCCAUGAGUGAUUCAAAGUAAGUUUCAAGUUGAAAUCAAACUUUGUUACCAUUGAAAUACAACUAAUCUCAAAUAUUGGAAGGGGAAAAAAACUGAGUUCGUGGAUCAAUUCUUACAUACCCUCGAUUUCAAUUUCAACCUAUUGAAUGGACAUAAAUAAGUUGAAACUUUUACUUCACAAGUGAUAACAGCAAAGAACUCAGACAAAAUUCAGUACAAUCACUUCUUACAGCUAAAAGUUCUAUGCUUUCAAUUAAAUUUAGAAGAGGUAUUAAUAUUUUAAUUUAAAAAAUGGAAUAUUGAUCUAUUAUGGUUCCACUAAUAAACCUAAAAACUCUGCUGGAUCAUAUUUUCUGAAAUAAUAACUAAACAUAUGAAACAAGAUAGUUGAGGCACUGAUUUUGAUGGAGUUGUAAGCAGAGUUCACCCUACAUUCCAUUUCUCUGCCAAAUCUUUGCAAAUAUCCGCAAUACAGCAACUAGCACUAAGAGGAUAUUCAGAAACUGCACAAAUAUAGCAUAAAUUGAAGAAUUUAGGAUUCCCAAGGCCAAGGCAAUGGAUUUAACUUCAUACAAAAUUUAUACUACCCAAGAAUAACAGUAGAAGUUUGAGCAAUUGCUAACUAAUAAAAAUGUUACAAUUAUGAAGCAAUAUCCACUCUAUGACAUCUUGGGAAAUGCUUUUUAAAUAGUUAGAACUUUAAAACCCUUCUACCGUACUGCUUUUCCUCUUACUUUAUAGACUUUUGCCCCCCGAACUUCUCUCUGUUGAUACUUUAUAGACUUUUUCCUCUUACUCAGACCUUUUCUAGCUAAUAUCUGUUGAUACCCAUUUUCUAAAUGAUAAUUUCUAUCUCAUACUGCAGAUGAAUAACUAAAUCACAAGUACUUGAAAAUUUUGAGACACUCCGCCCCAAACUAACCUGGCAUACCAACAAUAUAUCCAAAAUAGUGUUGUGUUAUUAUGUUUUUAAGUUUGACAAUGAGUUCCGUAGUGUAGUUGGAACCCAUGGUUAACAUAGGUUAGACAGGGUAAUUUGGAGCGCAGUGUGUCAAAAACUUUCAAGUUAAAGGUAAAUAUAGUUAUGUGGUAAUUUACUCCCAUGUGAUUACUUGAAUAAACACGCAAAAGUAAACGAACUUACUUGCUAAUAGAUCAUCCGUGUAAUCAGUCUCAAUUUUCCCAUGAGCCAUUGCACCCACCUAAUACAUAGCAAUAAAGGGAAGUUGUCAUACGUUAUACAUCUAAAAAUGAAGCAUUAAAAAGUGUAAUUUUCAGUUAGGAGGUUUGAAGAUACCACAAAAACAAGGUCUACAUCAUCUUUGACAGCAUCCAGAUAAUUUCGCACCUUGACCAACUUAUCCGAACUAUGCGAGAAGCCUGGUAUGCAAGAAAAGAGUAUGAAAAGUUUCUACCAAAACCCACAAAAGAGGAAGACAUGCAUUGGCUUACCCAUUUUACGACAAUUGGCAGGUAAGUACUGAGUUACAGGGUUCUUUAUCACCCGAAAGAGUUUCUCACGCUUACCCGCAGCUGUGAUGCUUAACUUUUGUAGCAAUUGCACUGCGAAGCAUUUGUCAAAAGAUCAAUGGAAAGGUCUAUAAAAGGGGAAAUUGCAUUGAUUACAACACACUCAAAUAACAGAGAUGUCCAGCAAAAUUAGAACAAGCAAAUCCACUUACACAUAACUCCAUAAAAUCGUUUCUGCGUCCUUGGAAGACGAACGUAUGGUUUAAUUUCAAUUAAUAAACCUUUCUCAGUUUUCACAUAAACAACUUUCAAUCUUCCAGCCUUUGCAAUUCGGCUAUCGAAAAUCGCCAAAAGCGCCUGAAUCAUUUACAUUUAAUAUCACUACUGAAACCCAAAUAAUCAACAUACAAAAUUAUAUUUUUCAUUCCAUAAAACAAUUCCCUAUUUCAUUGGGGAAAAAACAACAAUGAGCUACAACAACUUACUUGAUGCAAGAUAUCAGGUCUAUAAUCCCCAGGAUUUCUGUUAUUCCUCCGCAAAUAAUUGGAGUGGUCAUCAGAAUUCAACAGCUGGUAAUUCUAUAAGCACGAAACAUGGAAAUCCAAGAAUAUAAAAUCAAUAAUUAGCUUCUUAAAAUUCAUAAAAAGCAUGAAAUAACUUUGUUAAACGCCCAAAAUGAAGGAAAUCCUAAAACUUCAAAGCAGUAAGUGAAAAACAAUACAUUACCUUCCCAACUUUGGCAACUUCCAGAGAAGCUCUUUCAAGGAUGAAGAUAACACCAGCAUUGCUAUCAUUCUUGGGGUCUUUCGGAGCAAUAGGAAUACCUUCAAGUUCAUGAAAGUCCUCCUUGGCUGGUUCUUCAUCAGGUUCGUUCUCCAACAUAACUUUCUUGGACGGAGAGGUGGAUUCUUCGGCAUCUUCGUCUCUGUCGUAUUUCUCCGACUUCUUUCUCUUCUUCCCCUUCGCCGCAAAUGGUCGAACCAUGGUUCGUCCGAGCAGGAACUUCCUUGACGGUAGUCGAAGCUUAGUGCUAAAACCCUUGGAAUAGAUUGAUUGUAGAGUAGUUGAAACCUUUUGCAUUAGCAGAUUUAUGGGCUGGGCUCUAUCGUCUUUUCUUAUCCGGCCUGUGAAUUAGAGUGCAUGGCCCAUAAUCAGCACCCAAACUGAAAAAAUAAUAAUAAUAAAUGGUUAAUUUAUAAAACAAAAUUGAAAAAUAUUUUUGACUCGUAUAAAAAAAAAACAUAAAUUUCAUAUUUGUCCCUCAUAAUUUCCUUUUUUUUUUUUUUUUAAUCUUUGCUGUCAUCUUUUUCAUAAAAAAAAUAUAUUUUCUUAUUCUUUUUACACUAAUAAGUUUAUGUCCUUCAUUUUUGCAAUUCUGUUUUCAUUAUCAAAUAAUGUACCAUCAUUUAUAUUUAUAUCAUGGAUUAAUUAUAGGUAUUUAUGUUAUUUCACUGAGCUAUUUUUUUUCUUUUUCAAAAUUGUUUUAUAAAAUAUAAAUAUUUUUGUGUUUUGUUUUAUUUAAAAAAAGAAAUCCAAAACAUAAAAACGUCUUAUUACCAUUAUUGUUUUGAAAAUAAAUUAAUACUAUAAUAUUAAGAUUUUUACGGCAUUAAGUUUUAUACAUAAAUAUUUUUAUUGAUUUUUGAAUUAACAAGACAAACCACCUUCGUUCUUACUCAUUCUCAAUUUCUCUAAAAAACAUAGGUGGUUGUUCUCCUACUACAUCCCAUAAAGGAAUGUUUGCAAAAUCCACGAAAAAAAAAAGUUAUAAUAGAGUUCAUGUUACUACAUUUUCUAAAUUGCAAAAGUAAUAAAUUUAAGAGUGAAUAGCAGUUUGAUAUAUCUAAUUAUUUGUUAACACCCAAAAAAAAUAUUUUUUUUUAAUAAAAUUUUUGUCAUGCAAUUUCCCUCCCAUAAAUGAAAAGUAAUUAUAAGAGAAUCUUAUUGGUUUUUGUGUUUGGUAAAAUAAAUCAGAAUUAAAUGUCUUAAAAUCACUUUCAUAAGCCUACGGUUAUAUACUAAUUUUGAAACCCAAAAAGUAGCUCGUUAUUCAUCUAUUUAAACACUUUAUUAAUUAUAAAUGUAUUUAAAAAUAAGACUACGUGUAUUUUAAUUAAUCAUAAUAUUCGACUAUGAAGAUAGUGGUGCAACGUAAUUAGAAUUAUCAAAAGCAGGAUAUAUUCGUCUCCCUAUUAUUUCACAUGCUAUUUUUAAUAAUAUUUGUGCCUUGGCAAUGGGAAAAUAAAUUAUGCAAAUACCAAGUCUAUGUUAAUCUUUGAUGUCCUCAUUUUUAACUAAAAAAAAGAUUAGACACCUUCAAAUAAUGUUAUCAACAAUAAAUUUACUAAACUUCCAUUAAUCUUACAGGGGAAACUGGUACAGCAUGGAAAUGCAAAAGAAAAAGAAAAAGAAAAACUCAUUAAAUAUUAAAUUCUAUUAAGACGUUACCAUGAGUUAAACCUACUCGAUCUGAAUCUUUUGGUAAACCCUUGCACUAUUUUACAACUAAGAUCUGCGAUUGACCAUUUCAGGGAAACAAACAAGAAGAAAAAAGAGUUUGUUCUUAUUUAGUGUGCUUGGUAGCAAAAACAGUCGAACCAAACUACAAACUACAAACACAGCACACGAUACAUAUAUAUUUUACAUAUAUAUACACUCAGCUGUUCUCACUGGUAAAACCCUGUACAUCCCAGAGAGCUUCCAUGGAAAUUCAACUUUAAUGCUUUUACUAAAACUCGUAACUCUCUUUCACACUUUCACUCCAAUUCUUUCUGCAACCUACACACAUCAACAUAACAAAAUACCAGCAUGUCAACCUUGGUUUUAUAAAAACGACAGAGCCAUAGUAGACGAAUCGCUUUGAUACAGAUAAGAGGUAAGAGGUAUACCUCUUUGAAGGAGUGUACAUCACUUCCCCAAAGCCAUGCAUCACAACCUGCAUCUCUAGCACCCCAUACAUCGUUCCUACGAUCAUCCCCAACAUGUAAGGCAUCCUCAGGUCUCACUCCCAAUAAUUCACAGGCUUUUAGAAAUAUUGUCGGAUUGGGCUUCUCAGCUUCAACCUGUUGGAGAUCAGGUUAGGAAGAACAACUGAAGUAAGUUCAAAUGUACAUGUCAAACAGUCGAAGUAAAGCAGUUGGUAACCAAAUCAAGUCCUAGCGCAUGAAAUACACAAAAAAAAAAAAAAAGAGAAGAGGUAGCAGCAAAAACAUAUACAAGAACAUCAGAAGCAGUGAAAAGAGAUUAAUGAACUCACUUCAGCUGACACUGCUACAGCGUCAAACCAGUGAUCACAAUUCAAAUCCCGCAAAAGAGGUCGUAAUCGAGUGUCGAAGUUUGACACAAUAGCUAUCUUUACACCUGCUUGUCUUAAAGCUUUGAAGACUUUCUCAGCAUCAGGAUCACAAAGGUGCCAAGCCUGCAAGAGAUUUAUCAUUAUCGGCAAAAAUGAUUGUUACAAUAAUAAUAAAAGACAUAAACAAACAGUGGAAUUCCUAGAGGAAAAAGCGGCUGCCAGAAAUUAACCUUGUUAGUCGUAUAGUAGUUGUAGAGUUCUUCAAAAUACUGAGAAUCAGAACAGCCUGUGGAAGAACUGACGAUAUAUUGCCAAAAGGGUUUCCCGUCAUUCACAUAUCUACAGAGUUCCAUAAAAGCAAUUACUUUCAUUACGCCAUUAAUUAAAAAGGAACAGGAGAAGAAUUAAAACAAAAAAACUUUUCGCUCUCUGGAUUAAUCAGACAAAACAAUCCUCAAAAGAUCAAUUAAUGAAUAAAGGAAUCUAGUUAGGAUUAAUGUUAAAUCCUGAAAGUAAAUUUAGUAUGAUAUCAUCUAAAACAGAGUGAAAACCCAUAUUAAUUGGUGAGGACAUAAUCUACCAUUCAAAUUGGAGAUACUACUGCCAUUUGAACUGAUACAAAGAUCCUGGGAAAGGUUUAUUAACCAUUUCCCCUCGGACAAAACAAAAUCCUCAAUGUUAUGCAGCUAGCAAUCAGGAUCUCAAUAGAUCAUUAACGAGUAAGCAAUUUCUCCAAUAAAAAAGAAUUGAAGAAAAAGGAAGGUAUUUCUAAGCCUGGUUUGCCACUAUUAAAGAUAUUUAGACCAAUUUAAUCUUCGGACUGACCAAGAAAACACAAACCAUGACAAUCAAUUUUGAUUAAUAUUUAUUAAAGGUUUUAAGUCCACUUAAUUCUGACAAAAUAAAUUUACAAAAUAAACUAGGAAACUGGAUGGCCACAACCACAAACAUAAAGCUAGAAUUAUAAUGGUCAAUGACCUAACAGUGUGAAAAAAAAUUCGUUAAAUACACAAUAAUUUCCUUGAAACUAUGCCAAUUAAGCCCAAAUAAUUUUACACUAAACUACAAAACCCAAAUAGCACAUGCACUUUGAUGAACAGCUAAUCACCUAAAAGACAUCUAAUUUCUUCUUAAUUAUACGUUCGAUUUGAUCUAGUCAACAACGGUCUUUUGUCAAUGAGGGUAAUGCAUGGGACUCUUCAUUCACAGAAAACAAGGUCUCCAGAUCGAGACCACAACAUUAAGAGUAAUAAAACCAAAAUUAAUCAUAAUAAACUGAAAUUCGAAGAAAGUCGACCUGAGGCGAGAUCUACCCCAAGGCUUCUCAUACGCUCUUCUAUAUCUAUUGAGAAUCUCCCCUUCCGAGUAGUUCACUCCAUACUUCUCACCUAUUUCCCUAUAUAUCUGCGACAAAACACAUCGUAAGUUCGUAACCAUUUAACACAGAAAAAACAGAAAUAAACGAAUUAAGACUUUGAAGAGAGAGAAAGAGAGGGAGACCUGAGCCAUAGGCUGAGAAGGAACAACAAGAGUCCCAACCGCAUCAACGAGCAAAGCCUUAUGAGUGAUAUCGCCAUAGAGAGACCUCCGGUAAUCCUCAUAAUCCUUAACGCCCAAGAUUUCAAACCCGAUACCACUAGAACCUAGGGUUUCGGGUUCCACGGAAGCAACAGCAGAGGAAGCAAAUGAAGACCCGAAUCCUCCAAACGGAAGGAGGCGAGCAGCCGCCUGGACGCCAUUAGAAGGAAAUGGAGGUCGUGAAAGCAAAGUAUUAGGAGAGAAAGUGGAGAGAAUCCUUGAGAUUUUGGUUCUAGUAGAAAUUAGCGCCAUUGUCGAACUUCAUUUGAGUGCAAGCUUUUUCACAGAGAGCUUCUUCUUCUUCUUCGCAAUUCCCUUUGGCAAUAAAAUGGAAAGUGCUUUUGGAGUGUCUUCAAAUAGAGGCUCUGCCAGUGCCAUAGAAGGAAAACUUUGAUCCUUUUUAUUCGGUGUUUCCAAAUUUGCCCUUUAACUUUAGUUUUACUGACGAUAAUACCCCCUUUGAUUCUUAUUCUUAAGCCGUUAUGGACACUUGAUAAGUGGGGGAUAUUAUAUGUCAUAUGUGACAUCUUAGCAUCAAAUUGAAUCAUUCAAUUUAAUCCCACUUUAUUGUAUAAUAAUACAUUCACAAAUUUAUCAUUCAUAAACACUAGAACUCUAUCUAUAUUUAUAAUAAUUCAUGCAUUAAAAUAUGUAUGCUUUUUAAUUAUACACCGUGGUUAUAAAGUAAUAGCAAGGACUUAAUAAACUAUAGAAAAGUGGGGUAGUCAUAGACAUAUAAAAAAUAUCUUUGUAAUUACUUUAAUAUGCUUAUUUAAUAAUUGGUUUUGGUUAUAAAAAAAUAAUUGACUUUGUCUACUUAAAGGACAUUUUUGGGUAAUGUUAUUAGGUAAAGAAUUGAUUUAAAGGUGACAAAAAUUGAAAAUAAAAAGAAAAUUAAGAAACGAAGGUUGGCCACAAGAUAUUAAAAUGGGUCCAUGAUGUACUUUGGCACAUCUCAAGAUUCUUCCAUGUCUCACACAAUGUUACGCUUACCUCCACACAAAAUUAUUAAAUAGUUCAAACGUAUAAUUAUAUUUAUACCCUCCAACUUUUGAACUUCUAUUUUCAUUCUUUAAAUAAUGACCACAUUUUUUAAAUUCUUCAAAGUUAUGUUUCAUACAUUUAUCUUGCCAUUUUUUUCCAGAAAAAUAAAUUGGAACUCAAAUAAUGUACUAUUUAUAUUCUUAAAAAGCUUGUGGGAAACUAUAUGAUUUUUUUUCGAAAAUUAAAUCAUUAUAAAACAAAAUCAAGUUAAAAUUCCUAAUUUUGAUUUUGAAGACUGUUCCAUAUCUAUUUACUUUCAAUUUUUUAAAAUUAAAUUUGUAUUCUUAAUUUUUUUAACCAUGACUUGCAUGAGACCUAUAAAACAAAUUAGAUUUAGAAAUAAGCAAAUAAUAACAAUAAUAAUAAUAAUUUAAACGAUACCAAAAUAUGAAAAAUUAAAUGUGUUUCACUACUGAUAUAUAUUUAGAAUCAUAAAACAAGUUAAAGUUUAGAUAAAUAUUUUAUACUUACAAAGAAAAAGAAUAAAAAUGAAAUUUGGAUUAAAAACUUUGUUAGGUUAGAUUCAUUUGGACUAAUGUAAAUGCUUUUACUUGAGUGGAGUAAUAAUUAAAAACUUUUAUUUAUAUAUAUUUGAACGUGUGUAUUUUGUAUAGAUCUAACAACUCGAAGUUACCAAAAACAACCUCAUUCUUUAUGCUUUAUGCAUGCAGAUAAAACUAAAUAAAUAGUAAUACUAAUAGCAACUGCCUUCUAAAAUCGUAUUUUAAAAAUUGAUAGAGUAAGUUGGAUGUGUUUAAUAUUUGGAGUCAAAUUGAAGAUGACUUUGGAGAAGGAAAAUUGAAAAUUUAAAGAUAGAGAAAAGGUAAAGAUUCUAUUGAAGCUUGAAAGAGACAAAAGGAUAGAAGAUGGAGGCUUUUCAUUCUCCCAUUCCUAUUGAGUAUUGAUUGUAUGAAAGUCUCAUUCAAUGAAGAAAUGGGGAGGGUAGCUUUGUAAUUAUUGCAAAAAUCUUAUCCUUUAAGUUAAUUUUUCUGCCAGCUGUUGAACGCGACACAUCAAACUCAUUGACGUGGCACCCCAUGUAGGUUGUUGUAUCCCACGUCAUCAUUAUUUCCCCCUAUUUACUACCCAUACUUUUUAGCAUUAUUAUAUAUUCUCGUUCUACACUACUAAUUAUAUUAUGAGUUUCCUUCUUCUUUAAAAAAAUAAUAAUAAUAAUUGUUACAAAAUUUGAUAUAUAAAGUAUUAAUCGAAAACACUAUAUUUUAAUCAAAUUUACAAAGUUCUACAAUUUACAAUAUUAAUAAAAAGAUUCCUUACUGUCUCUCCAUCCAUGUGAGUUCGUCAAAAUUUUUGAAUUAAGAAUUUGGGGAGUAUGCAUAAAAUAAGUACACAUGCAUAUGUAUAUGAAAAUUGUUGAAAACAUCGUUAUCUUUAAAGAUAUUUCUCACUACAAUAUUAUAAUUUUUCGUGUCAUAUAUAUAUUGACUUUCUAUCUUAGAAAGGAUUUAAAUAAUAAAUACUGAUUUUUUUAAUAUAAUAAUCUAUUAUUUGAUUUCUAACGAUAUUGUGACUAGCAAAUAUUAUCUAAUUUAGAUUUGAAUAUGAGUAAUAGAGUUUAUUAAAAGUAGAUUUUGAUUGUGAAUUGUAAUUCUUUUUAAAAUGUUGUUAUACAAUACUUAAUUAUAAGUUGCUAUAAUUUAAAAUUAAUGGUGAUUAUGAUUUAGUUGUUCAAUUUUACUAGACAAAUGAUUAUAUAUUUUGGAGAAAUAUUUUUGGUGUGAGAAAUUAAAAUAUUAGGUUUUAUAGUAUGAUGGGGUGAGCGGAUGGGUAUAGAAAGAUUAAAAAAAAAAGUGGUUGCCGUCUGUGUGGCCGUUACCUCGUAAAAAGUAGACUCAUAUGUUUGGGUCUUUCCUAACGCAUUUAAGAUGGAAAAUGACAACCAUAACUUAUAUCCUCAAUCCCUCUUUACUAAAACUUUUUUUUCUUUUUGUUUUCCUUUUGAAAAUAAAUAAAUAUAGACUUUAGUAACUACUUGUUUUUAUUUUAUGAUUUAUAAUAAUUUACGCAUUCAACUACAUUCAUUCAAUUCUUAGUUAAAUUUUAAAAUAAUAAUAAUUUUUUAAAAACUAAUCGUUUUAGUUUUUUUGAUCUAUUGAUUGAAAGUUAGAGAUAGAAAUAAUGUUUAUAAAUUUAAUUUUUCGAAAGAAAACUAAAAUCAAAAUAAUUACGGAACAUGUCUAAUUUUUAUGGGUACUUUACUUAUACUUUUUUUUGUUUAAUUUAUUAGUGACAAUGUUAUUACUUUGGUUUUUAUGACCAACAAAAUUGCCAAAAUUAUAUAGUUAUUUUGCUUUCAACUUUAAUUUAAAAUUAAUGUCCUUGAUGCAUUUAAAAAAAUUAAUGCCAUGCUUGAGUUUAAAGAGAGCUACAAAAAUUAAUGGAGAUUGUGUGAUUCAUAUAUGUAAUGAAAGAAAUCUAAGGCUAUAAAUGCAUGGUUGAGAAAGUUUUUUUUACAAAAUUAUGAUUAUCAUCUAUACCAAUCAAAUUAACGUUCAUUUCUAUAGAAAUUAAAUUUAGUGUAAAUUAUUUAACUUGGAGCAAAAUCCUAUUUCAAAUUGACUAGAAAAACAUGCAUAAUAGAUAUUUAUGAUGUCUAUCAUAAAUAAAUUAAAGUAGUCUAUCAAUGUCUAUAACUAUAUAGACAGUAACAUUUUGUUAUAUUUAUUAAUAAGCUGGUUUAUAGAAUCGUUACUCUCUCAACUGUACUCAAAAUAAAAUAAAACGAUAAAUUAUAGCGAAAUGAUAUAUAUAUAACUUCAUCUUAUUUUUCCUUUUCGUAGAAAAAGGGGAAAGUAUUUAAUAUAUAGACAAACUUUUACGGGUGAAUCUUUUGUCAUUGUCAAUGUAUUAAAAGGGUGUGGUUUCAAUUCUAUAAAAAUAUUUAUUUCUAUCUAUUUAAUAAUAAAAUUAUAACGAAACAAAUUUUUAAAAUAAAAAAUCUACUCAAAAUACUUACAAAAAGUUUCAUAUUCUAUCGAUGAUAGACAUUUAAGUAUUGUUACUGUCUAGUAUUGAUAAAAUCUAAAAAAAGUGUUAUAUUUGAUAAAUAUUUUAGUUUAUUUGUCUGUAUUUCAGUUAUGAAAUGAACAUUAAAGUUUUGAUUCAAAAUUCAAAUUUGAUACCUAAUAACUCCAACUUUCCUUUACGACCUAACCAUGCUAUCUUCUUCUUUAUGAAGUGGUUCUAAAAAUAAAUACAUCUCCACGAACCACCACGAUUUAAUGAAAUUCUAGGAGGGAUUAUUUCUCACAUACAAACCUCCAAGCUAAGCACACUUUACUUUUAAAUUUUAUAGUUUCUUUUAUUAUCUAGCUGUGAUCUCUGUUCAUUUAACGUAUUAUUUUUUAUAAACUUGAGUGUUACAAUAAAUGUUAUCGUUGAUGCUUCUAUUUAUAGGGUUAUUUUUUAACAAAUUAUAUGAAAAUUAUAUAUUUCUUCUAUAUAUGUAUACUUCAUAAAUCUACCCAAUAUAUUAAAAAUUAUAUUAAUUGAUAUUAAUAUCAGUGUGGAAGAAGUCUUCAAAAUACCAUCAUUGCUAUAGAUCAUAUUUAUUAUUCAUUUGGGUGUUUAGGGAUAAACCAUAGCCACCACAAUUAGCCAUGAUCUCUUCUUUUUGUUUAAACUCCUUUCCCAUUUAGUUUUCUAUGUAAUCACUUACAUAAAUUUGGGAUUAUUUAUGUGUGUAAGAAACAAUUAAUUGAAUGUAACGUAUUUAUUUAUCAACUCAAAGUAUGGUCUUUGUGAUUCUUUAAAGAAAAAUAUUCUUAUCAUCCUCCACAUCCACAUUUCAUAUUAAUAAUCUUAAAUUUCUAUUGGACAAACUACAAAUCUCUUCAUGGAAAAAGAAAAUUUUGUAGAUAUCGUUAAGAAAAGUUUAGUCCAAUUCUAUUAAUUAAUUUUAACGUAUACUUCGAAUAAAGUGUUACAAAUAGUUUUUAAGAUGAAUUUUAAAUAAUUUAAAUUUAAGAAAAAAAAACAUUUUUCUUCAUGAAUCAAUAUAAAUGGAGCCUAAAUUAAUUUAGCACGUUAAAGUUUAUUGUUUAAAAAGUUAAGAUCAAUAUAAUUUAACUAAGUCAAGGCUCUAAUUCCUAUCUUAAAUGAUAUUUUAAAAAAAUAAUUAAUCAUUUAAAUUAUUAAAAAUGUGUUUAGCAUGCAUAUAACCUAAUACUAAGAAGGGAAGAUUUUGUAGUUUUUGUUAGAAAAAAUGAAUAAUUAAUUAAAAAAUAUAUGGAACCAUUAAAUAUAAGAAAAUUAUUUUAAAAAUAAUUAUAAAUAUAAUAAGGUAUUACAAUCUAUUUGUGAUAGAUCGUGAUAGACUCAACAAUCUACUAUCGUUGAUAUUUCAGAUUUGUUUUUCUUUUUGUCUUUCUUCUGCCAUUUUUUUUCUUCUUCUUCCAUUUUUCUUUUAUAUUCUUUUAAACGGUUAUUUGAUUCAAGAUCGUGUACCAAAUAUAAAAGAUCUAUUUGUUUGGUUCAAGAUCGUUGAUCAAAUAUAAAGAAUCUUGAAAAAAAAUUCGUAUAGAUUUUGGUAGUCAAAUUUAAACGAUCAAAUAUCUAAACGAACCAAAUAUGAACAAUCUGAUCAAACCUAAACGAUCGUGUACCAAAAAAUCUUUCAAAUUUGUCUAUCCAAUUUAAACAAUUUCCAAAGUUAAACGAUAAAAAAAUAGCCAAAUCUAAAUGACCAUGUACCGAAAAAUAACUAAAUUUAAAUAAUCGUGUAGCAAAGAACGUUGAAAAAAAUCGUUUAGAUUUGGCUGCCCAAAUCUAAAGGAUCUCACGUAGAAAAGAACAGUCAAAUCUAAACAUUGUUUUCCAAAUAUAUUACGCGUGUUGGAUGACUAUUAAUUACGGACAAUUUUUUUGUAUUUUUGAUUAUGUGUGUAUGUAGUUUUUUAAAUUGUUGAAUAAUGUAAGACACUUUAGUUAAUCUUAAAUUUAGUCCCAUGAGAAUUUUUACCUUUUGGAUAAAAAGACAUUUCAAGAAGACAAAUUUAGCCUUAGUAUGAGCACUUAUGAUGAUUCUCAUUUUAUGAUUAAAGAUGAAUAGACAGUGAAGUGUGAGCAAUUUGAAAAUGGAAAACACCGGCAAAUAAAAUGUGGCCAUGGGAUUCAAAAUUGAAAGAUUAGAAGGACGAAAUAGGAAAUGACAGAGCAAAAUAUGUGGCUAAGGGAAGAAGGAAGAAGCAAUUAAGCAUUCACUAUUCUCUUCAUUCAAAAACACUUUGAUAAAUGUGACCAAGAAGCAACACAAAAUUGACCCUUCAACAAAUUAAAUGGGCCUCAAAUGUUUUAUGUGCACAAAUUCAAACGACCCCACUUUUUCCUUUCAAAUAAACUCAACAAAGGAAGUGAGGUGAGGUUUUUGAGAUAAAGAUACUCAUACAUUUGUGACCACAUAUAUCUAUCUAUAACUUUUCCUUUCGUUUACAUAAAUCCCUUUUCCACUCUCAUUUUAAUAUACUACGUUUUGUCGGAAUUGGUUGAAGAAUAGGUUUGUAAGUGAUUUUGAAAUUGUUAUUUAUGUUCAAAUUGCUCAUAUGAUAUGUUUACAAUCACUUGAAAAAUCAACGUGAUGUUUGUUUAUACGCUUUGAAGCAUGAUUAUGUGACAAAACUCAUUAGUGUAUGAGCAAGAUAAAAAUUAAAGGCAUGUUUGUUAAAUUUAAAAUCCCUUCAAAAUACGUCUUUAGUAAUUAAAAUUAACGGUAUACUUCUUAUAUCAUCAAAUUGAUUUUGAAUGUAUGUUAUAAAUAACUUAAUUAAUUUAAAAUCACUUCCCAAACUCACUUAGUCAUGAUUAAUAUGAAUCGAAAUAGUUUUAACCUAUUCUACAUGUAAAAGUUAUAAAACUUGGAUUGAAAGCAAAAGACAGUUGGAGAGUAAAGUCAUGAUAGAGAUAAAUGAAAGUAGAAAGCAGCUAAACUUUAGAUGAAUCGGUCAAAAGGAUCACUAAUAUUCAAUAAGGAUUUUAUUGAAAUAUGUUUUAUUAAUAAUCAUGGUGAAAUUAUGAUUACCAAAAGAUCAAGAUAACCUUUAUAUAGGUAGCUACUUUUGUAACGAUCUAUAACCUUUUUCUGCAACCUUGUAAUCUAACUACGUCAUAUGUCCGUGUCUUGAAUCAAACUAAUAUAAGUUCUUUUAGGAUGCAUGUGAAAGUUGCUCCAAUAAACCAACUUGGUUAUUUCAACAUGUUUUGUUCUUACUCACAUGCAUCCAGGGCAAAUUUCCAAGAGGUCACCAAACUAAGAUCGCUCUACACUAAGCACACUUAACCUUGAAGUUCCUAUGAUGAGUCGAAUGUACACCUUGUUAGUAUAGAUAGUAACUUUUAUGUCUUCAUAAUCCCUUUCAUUCAGAUGCGAUAUUAGUCCAUUCAUGUCAUCCUCCUAAAUUCAAGGUAAUACAAUUUUUUUAAUUGUACAAUUGAGAUAGAGGGGUUUGAAACACACUCGUGAUGAUGUUACUAACAAACUCGUAGGUCAAUAUAGAUUUGGUAUUUAGGAGACUACUUUAUUGAUUAUACUUUGUUGUUAUUUUCAUGUUGAUGAAUUUGGUGGGAUGAGAACCACAAGCAACAACCCAAAAACACAGCUACAAUACUAUUUUUUCCUUAAGCCAAAUGCUUUGACAUUGUCGAUGUUUGUUUAGGGACCAUGGGAAUUAUUUUCUAUACUCGUUAAUUUUGACUCUCACAGGUAUAUUCAUAUUGAGUUGUGAUCUUGUGAUACUUUUAACUUAUGGUGGAGAAGCUAGUCAAUAUAAAUUCUCAACCAUAUACAACAUGUGAUUGAGAUUCAUUCAAACAAGCAAGUAAUCAACAUGUUAUUAAUUGAAUCUAUCGAUAUGCUAUAGUGUGAAUUUAAAUAGUACAGACUAUAGUAAUAGUAUGGUCUCUAAAGGAUGUCUCAUUUUUAUGAUUUUUAGUAAAAACAAAUACAUACAAUUUUGUUAACAAAUCAACCUUUCAUUACAUCUCUCACGCCAUUUUCACUUUAAGGAAUGAGAAUCAAAAUUUUCCUUCUUAUUGAUUAUGUUUAUUAAAAUGCAGAAAUUGAAUCAAUUGGUGAGAUCUGACACUAAUUUUAGAAUUUCUACCAAUGAAAAGGAUAUGUUAUCUUACUCAAAUUUUAUCAAUUCUAAUACUCAUUUCUUGUUUCUUGAGUUCUACCAUAUUGCUAUUGAUUACUUCACGUUCUUACCCUUUCUUUCUUAUCCAUAAAUAAGACUACGCUUUUUAGUUCUUUUCUAACAGGGCUUCCAUUUUUGUUUGAAGAAACCACUGAUAUAUUGUCAUAAGCUGUUUAAGUGGUUAAGAGGAUGGUGUUUGAUAGCUCAUAAUUGGGUAAGCUGUUUAAGUGGUUUGGUACCUUGAGAGGGUGUUUGAUGCCUCAUAAUUAAUUGAAUGUGUUUGCAAUGUAAUUCAAAAUCCAUGUUUGAUACAAAAUUUAUUCAAUUUCAACAGUUCAUACAUCCCCUGAUGCAAAAAGAUAGGCAGUGAUUCUCAUUGUGAACAUAACAAUGUGCAAGAUAACUAUCAAGACACUAGUGAUUCUCAUGAUUAAUCGAGUUUACAUAAUGUUUUCUUUUUUCAUUAGUUUUUUUUAUGAUAUAACAAAAUUGUUUGGUUCACACCUUAUGACAGAGACAUCAACAGAUCAACCAAAAUUUAAUACCAUAGUAGUUGUAGUACAACAAAUGCUCAUACGCAUCUCUACAACCAGAAGCAGGGAGAAGCACUUUUUUCAUCUUUAGGGGAUACAUUAACUUGACGUAAAAAGAAAAGCAAAUAAUUGUAGAAAGGAGGGGCAACAAAAAGAAACAGAUCCUAAAGCCAAAAGAAAUUUACAUGAUACCAAGGCCUCCUAAUAUUUUCUUUUAAUUUAAUCUUCUCUUGGGGAAAGUUGGUUGGUGGUGGAGGGGAAAAACCUCUUCAAGAAUUUUGUUUUUUUCUUUUGUCCAUCAUUGUAAGUCCCACAAUCACAUCCUUGGCGCUGCAUUCACAAUAAAUUUAAAAAUUAAAACAGAUGUCCAAUAUUAUUAACUCAAAAUAAUUUUCAUGGGAAUUCUUCCUUUUGCAAAUUUCAAAAGAAUUUACUUAAUAGUUGAAAUGUCAAAAUUAAUGAACACUUGUGUAAUGUGACCAAUUAUUUGAUCUAAGUUUUGUUCAGAAUGGAGCAAACUACAAGCCCACAAAAACGGAGCUAACUAGAGAAACUAGAAAAGAGGCUCUCUCCAAUAAUUUCAUCACACAGAAUGCAACGAAAGACUAAACAUCUUCCAGACCCUAUCAACAAGUUUUAUUAUUCCUCUCCAAAUUCCCCACAAAACUCACUAGGUGGGAAGUUUUGGCAAUAGGAACCCAAAGAGAAACUGUAACUUAUCCCAUGCCAACAACUUAUUCUAGAAACUAUAAUCUUGUUUCUCCCUAUCCAAGUGCCAAUGUGCCAUUAGUUGAAUAAACCUAUUGCCAAGAAAUUCCAGCUUUCUUCACUAAGCUUGGAGAUACCGAGGCCACAAUAUCCCACUAAAAUGGAAGAUGGACAAAAGUAAGGUGCUUUCUAUAACAAGGUCAAAAGGCCAAAUGAUUCCCUAGAAGUAUAUCUCAUGAAAAGCAUAAUGAAUAAAAAGAUGGUGGUAACAUUCUUUUGCUCUCUCAGAGAGUGUCCAUUCAUCUUCACCACCACAUUAGAAAAAAGAUAAAUCAAAGGACACCUUUUAUGAAUUCAAUCCUUGGGUUGAAUGACCUAACAAGAAGUUAAAUAAAAUUGUUUGUUAUAUGGAUUAGACAUGUUGUAGCCUACCUCCUCCAAUUGUUGCCUCAGGCAACCGCUCAAUCGAAUACUGAUGCCGAGUUAUAUACAUGAUGGGUACGCCAGGAACCUGCAAGAAAAUAGGCGAGUUACUACAUCUAAAUCCAACAUUGUGUGUUCCCAACUAUUAUGAUCCGAUUAUACCUUGCGAAUUCUACGCUUCAAAUCUCUAUCACAAGUAGCAACGAUAUAACACUUAUGCUGCACAAAAAGAAAGCUUCUGUUAAAAAUAAUAAAAUAAUAAAAAACAGGGUGAAAAGGCAGGAUAUAGAUCACCAUCUCUACUUCAACUUUACAACUCAUUCAUCCUUUUUUUUUCUUAUAAUCUUUAUCUGAUAGAACGUGAGAGCCUGGUUCCCCAUUCCUCCAAUAACUUAAUACAUUGUUUUUUUUAUCCUAGUUCAAUAUAUACAAAUAUAAUAAACCAUACCAUUGUUGAGAAAUGUGGAAUUAUUUUGGUUUGAGCUGUGUUAGUGGAUCACAAGAGGUUUGACGGAUGCUUCUAUUAUUUUAACCCUUUAAAGUUCUUCCCAAAUAUUCUGGUUCCAGUCACUCACUCAAAGAUUUAAGGACUACUUAGGAGACAUAUUUUUUCAACAACAAGCUGCUUGGCAAUUUGCUCUCUCUUGGUGUUCUCCUCCAAUCCAUUUUGAAGUUUUUAGUUUGCAACCUUCAGCUGUUUUUGGGCUUCUUGUGGAAAAACUUUUAAGUUUUUUUUUGUUCUUAUUGUUCUUCUGUUUUGCUCAGGGUUUCGCUUGUGUUGUUUUUGUUUGUUCAAUUCGUCUGUACUUUUAUUUGUGAUCACUCUUUUCGCUCUUAGUAUAAUUCUCAUGUACUUUGACGAUUAGUCUCUUUUAUUAGUACAUUUAAUAAAGAGGCUCAUAUCCGUUUCAAGAAAAAGUGAUCCAUUAUCCAGAUUUGAGCAUAUAUUGAAGAAAAAUUAACUAAACAAAGCUCAAAAUAGAACGCUCCAAAAUUACAAGUUGCCCCCAACUUUACCUUACAUAUAAGGAAUAAGGAAUAUAUUUCUUUUAAGUAUUAAGAAUGUCAACCAUCUAAAACAUAGUUAUCUAGAUAAAUGUAUUAGAGUUAUCUAGAUAAAUCAUAAAUGUAUUGGAAAUUAAAUAUGAAGUUGGAACAACUGUGAUCAGGUCAACGAACAUCAUAAUAAGUAAGAAGCCUUCAGUUCUCACCUGAGUCACCCUUUCAACAAGGCAAUCAUCAGCAUAGGUUCCUUUAUGAGUACAGGGUAGUCUCUCAAAACGUGGGUCCUUAGCUAUUCUGCUCAAGCCCAAAAAAUAGUAAAUAAUACCAACUUGAGAGAUGCAAAAGAAUGAAACAAGCAGUAAUCUUUAAAAAAUAUACAGAUCUAAAGAACAAGGAAAAACCAAGAAUAUGGUAUUGUGGAGUCAUAUCCCCAUGAAAUUAAAUUAAAAGCUUCUAUUAUUUCUUUCCAAUCCUAAUAUUCAACUUUUCAUAACCUUUACUCGACUAUUUGAAUAAUGCUUUGCUGGCAUUCCAAAUUAUUUUGAGUGGUUGAAUUUCCCCUUCACAACAAAAUUGAAGAUGGACAAGAAAAGAAAAAUACAAAAUCGUGCAUAGAUAAUUCAUCUUCUGAAAGACAAAUGAAACAUAAAUUUACCUCAGAGCAACGCGAUACUUCUGACCUAAUCGCUCAAGCUCAGCCAUCACGCAGUCUGUUAUACAAGGAGUGCCUAAAACAUGAUCACAAAUAAGUAUCCAUGUCCACAAAGAAUACCACUUCUCGAAUACUGAAUUCUAAUACAUUUUCUGUCAAUGUACGACUUACAUUUAGCAUAUAGACAGUCCAUCAUUCCCUUCUCCAAGUCCAACUGCAAUUAGAAAGGAGAGAAAAAACCACUUCAAUCAUCAAGUAGAAAGAAAUUAUAUCCUUAAUUUUACCUGCAUGAUGUAGUGCUCUCAUCAUAUGAAAUUUGACGAGAGAAAAUCCACUAGUUUACAAAAAAAAAAAUACAUAUAUUUUUCAAAUUAUCCACAAACAUAUUCAUAACAAAAUGGACUUUACAUUUCCAGAGGAAUCACACAGUGAUAAUAUACUAUAUUCUCAUUAAAAAUGUAAAGCACUCACCUUGUUUUGAAUGGAGAAAUUGAUGAAAUUUGUAUCCACCAAAACCCGAUAAGGUGGCCCCAAUGCAGUGUUGUACUUGAAGAAAAGUGCCGAAGGAACAUUUGGACUGAAUUAACAGAAAUAUAAGUAUUCAUUUGUCACAGACAACACCAACAGUAGAAAACAAUUCUUAUGCCCAGACAACAAAGUUAGAAAAUGUUGAUUUGUUAUGGAAAGAUAAAGUAGAAAAUAGUCAGCUCAAGAAGUUCCUUACACAUUUCUUGGGAGGUUUUCUUUUGUUAGAUCUUUUCUCUUUGGAUUCAAGACCUCUUCCUUGUAGCUAAGAUAAGUAACAAAACAAAAUAAACAUAAGCAAAUAAGAUUUUAAAGAAAAGUUAGAUAAAGCUGACAAUUGAAAAGAAACAACAGAAGGUAUACUUUUUAAUCGCUUUGGAGGUGACCAUCUUCUUCAUGACUGCAAAUUUGGGUCCUUUCUUGGCCCUCCCCAUCUCGUUGAUUGAAGGGUAAAAAAUUGAAGUUGUGCUUUCUCAGAUGCAAUUUCAAUGCUUUAAAUCUUAAAAGAGAACUUGCUCACUAUCUGCAACAUUGGUAACGAGGAAACAACUUACAAUCAUUUAUAUGAAUCCCAAAAUCUCAACAGCACAAUCAAAAAGUAAUAUAUUUGCACCAUUUUCCACAUAACUCGUGCAUAUCAUACAUGUUAACACAUAUGACAUAUUGAGUUCAAAUAUAAAAAUAUUGACGAUAAAGUAACGUGAAAAAGACUAAAUUUCUUUCAAGCACUCAACAGAUGCGUCCCUUGUUUCAAAAGAGGAUACCGAAGCUAAACAGUGGUAACUCUAAGGAUUCCCAAGAGGGGGAAACAGUGAUGGCUCCUACAUUACCCAUGUACUCAAUUUCUCCAUAAAAAUCUUUUUUGUUCCUCCACAAUAUUUCCAUGAAACUUAAAUUAAAUCCUUCCAAUUUUUAACAUAUGCCCAUUUUACCAUAAUAUUUUCUACAAUUUCAACAACAACAAAAAAUCCCUUCACUCCAAUUAUAACCUUCAGAUAAUACAAGUAUAAACAAGGGUGAAGUUGUUUGGUAAAUCAAAAUUGCUCCUACAAGUUAAGGAUUAAAAGAGGAUUUCAUAACAGGAUAGACUAUUCAGACUAGUCCUCUGAUAAAUAAAGAAGGGAGAUGCUAGAAAAUUCAUGGUCGGAGAAACAAGGCAAUUUCCAGCAGAAAAAAACGAGACGUUCAGACUAUCAAAGCCUUAAUAGAAAGACAUAGGCAACAAAUCAAUAGACGAAAGAUUAGGAAAUCAGGGAAAACCUGCUGGAGAGAGGCUGGGACGACACGAGCAGAGGAAAGACGGCGACGGAAACGGCGGCAGUAGCACUGAACGGGAGAGAGGGGGCGGCGACAAUGAGCUGCUGAAAGAGAGGAAGAGACGGAGUGAAGAAGAAGAAGAAGGAGGUGUGGUGGAGCACGUGAGAGUAAAGGACGAUGAUGGAGGUUAGGGUUUUGCCACUUUCUAUUGUUAUAUUUAUUAUCUUAUUACUUUUUAAAUUAUUUUAAGUAUCAAAUCUUCUCUAAUAUUUACAAAAUAAUAAAAUAUCACAAUUUAGAUUAAUCGGUCAUUAUUAGUAAUAUGAUAAUUUGUUUUAUUUUAUAAUUUUCUUUUAUUUCAAAAUAGUCCUUAUUUUUAUUUAUUCAAACCUAUUACAAUUCAUUUGAUGGAUAUAAUUUGUGUUUAAGUUUUAAAAUAUUAAGUAUUACUCCUAUUUACAUUUUUACUAUUGAUUCUUUUUAUUGCAUAUCUUUGAUGUUGAUUAAUUUAAAAGAAUUAUACUUAAUUAACUUCUCAUUAUCCUUAAUUUUGUCAUUCAUAAUCAAUUCAAAGGGGAUAGUUUUUUUUUUUUUUUUUUUUUUAUCUAUUUCAUUUGUGAAGCUUGCUUUCUUUCAUGUUGAGAAUCCAAUUGAUCUUAAUUAUAAUAAUAAAAUAUAUAUACAUACACCAUUUGGAUAAUCAUUAUUCUUUUAUAAUUAUUGUUAUUCAAAUUUGAAAGUUAAUGAUUUGAUUUAAUCUCAUUAUAGUUGAACUAUAAAAUUACUACCAAUCUCAAAUAACGUAUUUAUAAAAAGAAUACAUAUAAAACCACUUGAAUUUCGUUUGUAAAACAAAUGAUUGCUUGGAUGCAUCUUCAGGUGUUGCAUUUGCUCAUUAAAAUUGCUCUUCUUCCGUCGAUCAAGAGUCCCUCGUUUUUCUAGACUUUUUUUUUCUUUGUAAUAUUUGUGUCAAAUGUUAAAUGAUAACUUUGACUUAGAUGAUUGAUAUUAUUUGAUAGUCUUUCAACUCUUCUUAAUUAUUACUGCAGAUAAAUGAUAACUAAAACUAAAAUCAAAGUAUAUAAGUAAAAGGUAUGUUUAUAUAAUAAUUCAUUCAAUACAAAUGUCCGUUAUGACAAUACACUUUAUUCAAAUGGUGAUAGACAAUAUCAUUGUUUCAUAAUUUAAAUUUGUUUCUUCUAAAAUCUAAUUAUGUUUAUAUAUGUAUAGGCACAUAAUUAUUUUAUAAAAUUAUGAAUGUUAUUACUGAUAUAAAAAAAAUCUAUUAUAUACUUCAUUUAUAAUUAAAAGUUUGUAUAAUAAACGGUGUUGUGAAUUUCUAAGAAUUAGUCCGAAUAUUUUAAGUCCAAAUCUACCUCUUUACAACAACAAUAAUAGAAAAUCAUCAUGUUAUGACUUAUGACUCCCCAAAAUGGAAAGUUGGAAACUUUCUUUUAUUCAAAUGGUUGGUUAAUGUCAAAAAAUAAAAUUAAUUUUUAAAAGGAUGGAAACAAUCGAACAUCCUCAAAUUUUUAUUUUUAUAAGUGUAUGAUACGUCAAUUACCUUUGAUCAGCUACAACCUCUACAUUAUUUAUUGAAACAGAAAAAUAGAGAAAAGGAAGAAAAUUUUGGCAAUGUAAAACUUUCUUUUUAAAAAAAGUUCAACAAACUGAAGUGUUGGAAACUCUUAUAUACCUUAGUUAAUUAACUUGUAAUUGUUGAACUAUACCCAAAUUGACGGUUAAAUUUAAAAGAUGGAAUGAAUCGUUAUUGUUUAAUUAUUUUUUUGUUCACAUCUUAAUCUUAGCAGCAAAAGGAGUAUUAAUAGAGCCAAUCCAAACAACACCAUCCUCUCUUUCUUCCACUUCAGAAAAAGACUUCCAUUUCAAAUCUCCUUUGCCUUCAAUAAUCUCCAUUACUUCACCUUCUUCACUAACUCUCAUUCCAAUCCCACCAUUCUUUAUCCAUUUUCCUAAAAAUGAAUGCACUUUAUCUAUAUCCAAAGGUAGCUUCAAUAGCACCUUCCCUAUCCAAGGUUGAGAUAAUAUCAACCUCAACGAUCCCCGUUUUCUCGAGUGAAUUCCAACCCAAAACCCACCUCGACGACUCGCUUUUAUGUUGUCUGGGAAGCCAGGGAGCUCAGCGAUUACGUCGUAGCUCCCGGCUUUUACAGUCUUUAGCCAGUACUUGAGAAUCCUGCACUUGGUCGUCUCGGCGAGUAGAAGGAAGUCGCCGUUUUUGCUCAGUGAAACUCCAUUUGGAAAUGAAAGGUUUGCUAAGAGAAGAGAUAGUUGUUUGGUUUUUGGAUCAUAUUUCAUUAGCCUUCCUGUAUUGUCUCCACUUAAUACCGAAGAUGCAAAGUUCCUGCCAAAAAAACAAAUCUUUGAUGGCUUGGUCAGUGUAUUUGAAUUUUCUAGCCUUUUUUUAUAAAAAAAAAAUGUAUUAAAUUAUUUGUCUGUUUGUUUGUUUUUUUCCAUAAACAAAUAAGGAUGAAAAAACCAUGUAUUUAUAUAAGCUUCAUUUUCACAAACUAAAUGGCUAUUAAACAUAGAACAGGUCUUUGAGCUAAAAGUGCAUGUGUGUGUGAUAUAUAUUACUUAAUUUAAAUCUUGCAUCUACUUGUAAGUCUUUCAAUUUAUUCUAACAUUUUAUAAAAUCACUGUGUAAUAGAUUCGUUAGCUUUUUUAAAAAACAUAUCGUGUAUUUAUCGAGCACAAAAUUAUUCAUAAACACCAAAAUUGGACAUUUAAGGUACAAAAACUAAACUACUUAUACUUCAACAACGACCACUGCAGCCUUCAAAGAAGAUAGGUCGAAUGUUUUGUUUCGAGGACUAGUUUAGAGACUAUGAGACUUGACGUACGAAAGUGAGAGAGAAAGAACUACCUUCUUUGAUAGUGAGAAGAGCUAUCAGUGAAAUAGACAACUCCAGAGAAUUGAUCAAUGUCCAAGCCAUUUGCAAAGGUUAAUGAAUCAAACCCACGAAGUUGAUCCUCUCGCGUCUGAAAAUCAAGCCUUUCGGCCAAACCCCCAUUAGAGCCAACUCGAAGCAAUCCCAUGUAUGCAUCAGCAAUGUACAAUUGAUCGCCAUCGCCACUGUCUUUGAAUUUGAGGCCUAAUGGCCUCCCACAUCUCUCUUCUCUUUCCUCCCUUCUCUCUCUUUCUUCACAACCUGUUCUGUUAUUUUUCAUUUUUAUCAUUUAGUUUUUAAUCAGCCAUUAAAUUACGAAUUCGUAUUCAAAUUACAUUCAAUAAAACCUUCAAAUGAACGACAUAUAAUGAUUGAAAUUAAAUAGAGAAUCCAAACUAAGCAAAAUCAAACAAAUUAUAUAUUCUUGUGCCAAUUAAUAUAUCUAACAAAUAUGUAUUUGCAAUAGUUUAAUUAAUAUAUAAAGGAAAAAGAAUAAUUUUGACGAUUAAAUAUUUUCAUUUCAACCUAAAACUUUCCAUUUUGAUUAAAUUUUGGAAAAUUACACAUAUUAAUAACAAAUUAAGUAAAUGAAAUGUAUAAAUUUAAGAAAUUUCAUAUAAUUAGAACCCAACAAUGUAGCUGGAAAUAUAUCACCACAUAAAAAUGUGUGACGAACCAAGAAAAGUGACAAAACGUAACUUACACGUGGAGAUCAUGCAAAACGAGAGGCCAAAAUCGUAAUAGAAUUUAAUAUUUGUUAUUAAUUUAAUGUAAUUUUGAAUAAGAUGAAGAAAAACAAGUCCUGAAAUAAUCCAACCCUAUUUGUUAAUUUAAUAUUUUUUGUCCAACUAAUCAAAAUCAAAUCAAACAUUAUAUAACAUUAAUAAUGUGAGAUUCCUUUGCUAUUCUUUGAAAAGCUGUUUCUACUUUGACAUCUCAGCCUAAUAAAAAAAUUAAAUUAAACCCAUCCUCUUAAUUCCUAUGAAAUAGUAAUAACAUUUCUAUUUCCAACUCUUUUUCUCCCUUUGGGACAAAAAUUAUCAAUCAUAGAUCUACCAGCAAAGAGCCAACAGCCACAUUUUUUUUCAAAGGUACUAUCACACAUAAUUAUUAGUAUGGAACCAAUAAUAAUUCACUUCAUAAUCUUAUCCUUACAUUAUAGAUUUUAGAAAAAUAGCCUUUCUACCCUAAAGGUUGUAUCAGUGACCAAAUGUUGUAUUAAUUAAAACUUUAAACUAAUACUUUAUAAAUGUUGAUGGAUAAAAAUUGAUGGAAAAUAAUAAUUUAUAUUAGUGAUUAAUUUUAAUUUUGUAUCGUUAAAUUAAUCCAUAUAGAUUGAUGGAUAAAGAUGGAGUAAAAAUAAUAAUUCAUGUCAAUUAAAUAAUUCUCUUAUACGCGUGUAAACUUAUUCAUUUUAUACCACUAGAGUUCGAUCAUGGGUGAAUCUCAAAAGAAAUUCUACCCAAAUGUUUUAAUUGAUUUAAAAACAAAAGUUUAAUUUAUAUAAUUAUAAAUCUCAUACUAAAUAUAUUUCAAUCGAACAUGUAUGGUGUGAAUUGGAAGUUAAAAUGGAAGAAUUCAAACCUAAGCUCAAAUGUGAUAGGUCUAAGUUUUAAUUUUGUUAAUCUAUUGUAUUAGGCUUUUAAAAUUGUUUUGGAACACUCAAAAGUCAAUAAAUAAAAUAAAUUCAAUUAUGACAUUGAUUCAUGUGAGCUAAUAUAGUAUCAAUACUUUUAGUUUUAGAGAAGAACAUAUGAGAGAAAAUUAGAGAUUUUAAAAAGAAAAACAAUGAAAAAAAGGACCAAUGUGUGUUGCCUAAGCAAAAAUAAUAAGAGAAAACUUUUAACAAAAAGAAAAAAAAAACAAAUAUUAAAAAUACUGAUUACAAUUCUAAACAUAAUAAUUUAAAUUUGGACAAGAACAUCAACAAAAUAUAUAUAUACACAAAUAAAAUAAACUCAAACGUGCAUUUGAUUAAAUAAUUAGAAGAAAGAAGAAAAAAAAGCAAAAAAACAGAGAGUUGAAAUUACCUGUUUGAAGAAGUAACGGCGAAAUCAAUCCAGGUUUGUUGUUGGGGCAGCCAUUUGAUAAUUCGGCCGUCGGAGAUGCCGGUGUAAGGUCCGCCGCCAGAACUGUCGAAGGCGAAGCUCUCCGGCCCAACGGCACCGUGAAUCGGCACGUAUUCCGUUUUCCAAUGAUCGAAAGUGGUCUCCGGUGGCAGGGAAAAUCUGGUGAUGUUGAUGGCGAGUAGGGCGAAGAGGGCGGAGAGGGCGGUUGCGUUGAGGCAGAAAUUGAAGUUCAUUGCUCUUGUAAUGAGAGAAAGAGAGAGAGAGAAAAGAAUUUGAGGAGGAGGAGAAGUGUGAGGAUGUGUUUAUUCUGUUUUGAAGGCGGAGCAGUGGCAGUUUUGUAGUUUAGAAAAAACGUUGGGAUUGUGUUUAGCAGUUGGCACGUUUUGUAAUGGGGGUUAUUUUCGUCUUUCGCUUUAACUCUAUCUAUUGUUUUUACAUUCUUUCAUUUCGGGGAUUGGGAAACCCUAUAAACUAUUUGGGGCAUUGAGUUAAAAUAAACUCUCUCAACUUCUAUCUAAAAUUUGCCAACUUCUUUGUACUUAAUUUAUAUGUUUGUAUUUGAGAAUUUUCAUUAGCUAAUAACAAUAAAUAAAUCGAUACAAAAAAAACAGCUUGUAACUUUUUUUAUACAUUGUAAAUUUGAUUUGAUAAUUUAUUAUUUUUGUAAUUUAAAAAAUGUAAGUGACUAAUUUCUUUUACUAUUUUUUGUAAACUUCCUUUUGUAUCUUGAAUACACACUUAAAUUUUAUAUAUUUUGUGUAUAAACAUUUUUUAAAAUAGCAAAAUAAAUUAAAAUAUUUAUAAGUUAUAGCAAAAUGUUAGAUUCUAUCUAUGAUAGUCAUCGAUAGACUUCUAUCACUGUAGCAUAUAUUUUGUUAUAUGUUGUAAAUAUUUUGUAAAAUUUACUACUUUUGUGUUAAAUAAAAUAUAACUUUUCUAAUUUUUCUUUUGGAAUUUCACCAUUUUCAUUUUUCUUCUUUUUCUUUCUAUCGUUGAUUUAUAUUUUUUUAUCUCGUGUAAUUUUUCUUUUAAUUUAAUCUCUCUCAUCAUCUUAGUAGUCAAUCGAAUGCGACCACAUUUUUGCAAUAAUUUCGCAUUCAAUUAUAUUCCUCCAAAUUUGGGGAAUCAUCAUAGUUAAUAUUAGUGUUUGUUUGGUGCGGUAGGAAUUUAAAAUCUAGAGUUUGAUUAACCUACUAAACUAAGUACCACACGGGUAAAAAGAGAACCUCUCUUUGUUAAAGGGAAGGAAUUCAUUUCUAUCGCUAUUUUUAUCAUGCAAAAGAGUGUGGCUCAUCUACCCCUAUGUAUAAGGUAAAAAGAAAAAAACAAGUAACAAACCAUUCAUGACUCUACCUAUCUUUUUAUAAUUCAUGUAGUCCACUAGUCAAACUAUGCAUAACUGACCAAAAAAACUGAAAGUAAUUUUUAAAAAUAAAGAAACAAUAAUUUUUCAUUUGUCAUGUAGUAGUAAGUGACAAUUACAAAUUUAACGAUUAGAUUCAAAUGAUUAGUAUUUAACAAAUAAAAUUACAAAAAUAACAAAAUUUAUUAAAAUGUAUCACUGAUAGAUCAUAUUGUAAAUAUUGAUCCGUCAUUAAUAGACCAUAAGAAACUACCAACUAUAGAAAUUUAUCAUUAAUACAAGUUGCUAUAUUUAUAUAAUUUUAAAAAUGAUCUUGCACAUACACUCAAAUAUUAUCCCUAAAAAAUAUCUAAUGGAAUAAAAGAGUUACAUGGAAAAUUGUGAAUUUUCAAAAGUAAUAUGAAGUGCUUCAUUUCUAGUAGGUUGGAAAUUAUAUUUAUUCUCUCCCACCAAAUUAAAACCCUUUAAAAUUUUCUAAUUAAACAUUUAAAUUUGUAGUCCAAAUUCAAAAACAAUCUUUUUUAAAAAAGAAUUAAAUCUUAUGUUGGAUUUUAAAAAUAUUCCGAUGAAUUAUUAGAUAACAAUAAAACAUAAAUAUUCAUAUAUGAAAGUAUAAUACUUAAUUAAUUCUGAUAAAGAAAAAAUGAAACUAUUCUAUUUAUAACCAUUUCAUUUUUGAAAAUUAAAGUUAUCAAUAUUUUAAUUUUAUUAUCUACUUUCUAUCUAUUUAAAAAUUGAGGCAAAGCUUUAAUUAUAAAAAGUAAAUAGUUUUUGAAAACCUUGAACUUGUAAAGCUUGCCAAAAAUGGAGGUUGAUAGUAUAGGCUCUUUGCUACUUUCAUCUACCAUUGAUUACAAAAAUCACUUUACCUCACUUUCAAAACACCUCAUCUUAAAUUUAAUUAAAUUUUUGUAUAUAGAUUUAAAAUUAAUUUAUAAAAUUUUCAGGAGUCAUACAUACAUAAUAAAAUGGUUGUCAAAGUUAACACUCAACGUAACUAAAAUAAACUUUCUAUCUUUAGAGGUUAAAUGUCGGAUCUUCUACUCUUUAGUUGUUUUACUUAGAAAAACAAAAUCAAGUGUAAAACAUAAUUACCUGGAAUUAAUUACAUUUGAAAUAAAAAGAAAAUAAGUACGGAGAAAAACUAUACUUUAGUUAAGAUAUAGAUGUUUCUAAUCAAUUGCAUCUCUUACCAACAAACACUCAAAUUUAUCGAGUAUUAAUAUGAUUUUACAAGUAUAUAUUUGUAUGUAUACAUCAUGAAAUUCAUCCCUAUAGUAAGUUUUGACUCUUUGAAUUUUUCGAAAUAGGUGUAAAGUAGAAUUAGCAUCUCGGGUCAUUAAUUAAUUUAUCUACACCAUGUUAGUUUGCUACAUGUCUUCACAUUAACACACCAUCAAUGCCCGAUAGGAUUGUUGUAUGUAAUUAUCAUAAACACAAACAUUUAUUGACAUUAUUAGUGUGUCAUUUUAUUUGUCUAUGAGUUUGUAGAUAUGCAACUUUAGAAAUUCUUCAACUGUGUAUUUAUUCUAUUAAUACAUUACCAACAGAUAGACUACUAUUAUCAAACAAUGGUUUGGUAAAGUUCAUCUACAGUGAUAUUAUACUACUAUGUUUCAAAAUAAUCCUAUACAUGUAUUUUUGCAACAAAAUAUUGUUGUAUGCACUAUUGUGUUUAGUUAGUUAUUUGCUAGCUAGAUGUGCCAUACCUACAAACAAUAGGGAACAAAUAUUAAUUAGAAUGAAUGCUCUUUAAUUUUUGUACUAAAUUAAUUUGGAAGACAAUUAGGAAGAUUCAUCUUGUGUUCAAUUUGUAAUGCUAUUUAUGCAGCUUCAUUUAUAAGAUAGACUUUAAAAUAAUCAAAAUGAAAAAGUAAUAUUCCGCUUUUAAUUUUGUAUUAAUAAGGCUCUAAAUUUUUUUAAAUUAAAACCAUUUUCGAUUUUAGUAGACACAAUUUUAAUUUUAAUCCAGAAUAAAAAAAAAGAAUGAAAAAGAAAAUUAUUUUAGUGUAUGAUUAAAAUGAGACAGCACAAAAUAUUUCGUUCUUAUAAAUAAAAUUACAUUGUUUAUGAACAAACCCAACAGUACAAUAAUGUUAACAAAAGUUUUUAAGGGUUUUUUCAUAAAAUAAAAUAAAAGUUUUUGAAGGUUAGCAACUUGAUAGAUUUUAAUUUAAAUGUUCAGUAACUAUAUGUACCUAAUAAAUAUAUGUGUGUGUAUAUAUAUACACUCCACAACGAUGCUUAAAAGUUAUGAACAAUAUUUUGAAAUUUAAACCACAAUCUCUUAAACACAAGACCAAAAUGAAGAAAGUUUCAAAAUCCAUUAAUAUAUUAACCAGAAGUUAGAUCACCAAGAGAGCUCCAGCUUUCUUCCAAAGCCAUUUUUAUGAUCUUCUACGUGAAAGUUUAUCUAUUUCAAAAAGGGAAAAAACUAAAAUUACAAGAGGAAGAAGAAGCGAGAGUGAAAAUUACUAUCUACUCGAAUCGUGUUUCGAGAAAUAGCUUAGGAAAACAAGCCUAUUUUUAUUCAUAAACACCAAUGAACGGCAUUAAAACCGAUCCGAACCACAGUUUUCCAUCCUUCUCUUCAACUUCACUAAUGAACUUCAAAGUGUUUCCUUCACAAUCUUCUAAAACCUCCAAAACCUCUCCUUCCUCACUCAACCUAAUAGCAGUUGCAUGGGCCUUCCCUCCCACCAACAACCCAUGCAAUCGCUUGAAAUCAAUUGGAAGCUUCAACAGAAGUUUCCCAAACCAAGAUGUUGAAGUAACCAAGUUCCCAAUAAUUCCCUUUUUCGAAUGCAAAGCAACCCAAUAUUCACCUUUCGGAUUCCUUCUAAUGUUGUCAGGAAAGCCUGGAAGCCGAGCAAGAACAUCAAAAUUUCCUGCUUCAGUACCUUGAAGCCAAAAUCUGAGAAUCCUGCCAGAGGUAGACUCAACCACAAGCACGUAGGAAUGGUCUUUGCUUAAUGCAAUACCAUUGGCAAAUGCAAGGCCUUGUAAUAAAACCGUAACUUGCUUACUAGCUCGAUGAUACUUAAAUAACCUUCCCGUACUAUCUCCGCUCAAUAUCGACGCCAUGAACUGUCUUCAAAUGUAAACAUUCAUCAAAACCAAAGUUUAACAAGAACACCACAGCCAGUUAAUGGACUAUGAAUUUCAGAUUGCGGUAACUGUAAUACUAUAAGCAGUUCCAGUUUCAAAUUUAGUGAAGUGUUAUGCUAAAGAGAGGUGACCAGUGACAUUUAGAAACAUAUAAGUUUAGUUGAACUAACAAAUAAAUUAAAAUUUAAAAGUCAGAAAUUUCAGAUUCAUUAAUCAGAUUUUUCUACUUUAAAGAUCAGUUGCUAAAAUGAGGUAUGUUUGAGUCUGAGUUACCUUCUUUGGAAAACUGUACUACUGUCAGUAAAGUAUAUGAUAUCGUUGUCCUCAUCAAUAUCAAGAUCAUUUGUGAAACGAAGUGGCUUGCCUUCAAAUUCACUUACAAGUUUUGUUGCCAAACCUCCACUAGGUCCCACAACAUGAAGACCGAGAUAGGCAUCAGCGAUGUAGAGAUCUCCAGUUGUCUUAUCAAAACGCAGUCCUAAUGGCCUCCCACAAACAUGCUCCAAUUCAGGUGCAAAUGGGCGAACACACUCACUCCUUCGAGGACAUAAAACAAAAUGAAUCAACAAGGGAAACGUGAAAAAUGAACAAUAUUUGCUAAACAAUAAAUAUGCACAACCCUGUUUCCAGCAAGCAAAACACAAACAUGCACAUCUAAAGACAAAACAGACAUUUUCAUAGUACAAAGAAAUGUAUGAGGCAGAAAGUGAAGUACUUCAAAGUUCAAAUCCAACGUCAUUGGCUCAAAUUCUAUAGGAGCAUAAAGAUGUUUUCUUAGGCUGAGGAGAUAGUUUGAUUUUAAAAGCUCCAAGGCGGGGAAUUGAACCUUCAACCUUUAGGGACAGAGGUCAUGUCAUUACCACUUAACCAAACUUUUUUUGGCAGGCCUAAGAGACGGUUUUGAUUUGCCCUUUCCUAGUGUCAAUCCCGUUUCAAUCUCCAACAGAUCUUAUUUGAUUCCAAAAACCUGAGUUUUUGGCUUUGGUAGGUGGGAUAGUCAUGCCCAGCCCUUUCAUGAUACUAAGCCAGGCAAAUACUAUGAAGGGAUAAAAUCUAUUCACUGAGAAAAAUGAGCUGAGCGAUUUAAACCUGUGAUAGUUCUUUUUUAUUUAUAAAAAAGUUUUGAGACCAGAGCAACUCACCCAGAGUCCCAGACACAUGAAAAACAAGGCCUUGAAAUGAUUCCUCAACAACUUGAUAUCCAAUUAUAAGGGCACUAGAGGUAGUUGACUCUGCCCCCAAAUCCUCCUGAAAUGGGCUUUAUGGCAAAGAGCAAGAAGAAAACAAAGACCAGGUCCAGGCAGGAGAAUUUGAAAAUCAAUUCUCCAAACCAAGCUUAUCUUACAACAUUACAUUAAAAAGUCCAACCAGAACAUAUUCCAUCUAUAUUUAUAUCUAUAUCUCAAAAUCACUCCCAAACAUAAAAUAACUCCAAAAGUCCAACCAAAACAUCUAGCAUGUGUGUGUUCACCAUUUUUAUUAAAGGAAAAACAAGUGAUUAAUCAGCCAUCUCCAAAUAUUUUAUAUAAAAACAAGAAUUCAACAAUGAUCCUGCUUAAAAUAAUAAUAAUAAUAACAACAACAAAGGUCCAGCCAAGCAACACCAUUCCAUGAUCAUAUUACAGAAUAUUUAGCUUAAAAAAACCUCCCCUUAAACAAUUUUUGUAAAAAAUCAAAACCCAAAAUUAAUUAACCAAUAUACAAUUGGACAACAAGAUAAUGAUAAAAUUGUACCUCUGAGAGCUAGUAACAGCGAAAUCAGUCCAGCCACGGCCAUCACCUUGCCACUUGAGAAUCCGGCCAUCAGCAACCCCAGUGUAGGGACCUUCACCAUUCUGGUCAAAAAUCAAACUCUCCGGUCCGAUUGCUCCAGUGAGAGGAAUAACGUUGGCGGAACGAAGAUAAUCGUGGGUUCCAGGAAUGUGCGGCGGCGCAAAGACCUGUUCGAGCUUGAGAAAAGGGGUUUGGAGGGAGAAGAUGAUAGCAACAAGGGCAGCAACAGUGGCCGCCACAAAGAAUGUAAGCAUGGAAUACAUUGAAUUUGAUUUGGUGUGAUUGUGUGAAUGGAGGAAUGAAAAUGGUGGGGGGAAAGUGGAUCCGGUAGAAAAGGGAAUGGGUGGUGAGAGUGGAAAGACGGACUUUACAAUAAGUCUCUCACAAAGAUCAAAGGUGAAAAUAUUGAUUUUUUUUCCUUCCAAAACCUUAUUUUAGUAUUCUACUUUCUAACAACCUUUAUUCUAUUUUCAACCUUACUUUCUAUUAUUUAGUGCAACCAUUUUCGGGUUGGGAGAUUGAACUAUUGAUCUUUUGAAACAGUAGUAGCUAAUUUUCUUUUAAGUGUAAUAAAUAUGGAACUUCAAAUUUUGAACAUCUUUGAAUUUAUUAACUUUUUAACUUUAAUAUUAGUUCGGUUAGUUUUUGCGUUUGUACUUGGUUUUGUAUUUUCAAAAUGUUGGACUAGAACCAAGACAAAUCAUGAUGGGCCAAAGAAGGAGACUAGCACGAACUAGAAUCACACAAGUGUGAAGGGUUUUUUUAUAGGUCACACUCUUCCUUCCUUGAAACAAAUGGACUUUGGUUUCAGGUAAGGACGCCUGCGUUUUGAUUCUUAGGCUUCUUUAAAUGAUAGUUUUGGUUCCUUAAGAAAUAAAAAUAGAAAGAGAGAGAGUUUCUUUUUAAAAGUAUCAAGAACACAACAAAAAGUUAAAAAGAUAUGGUUCAAAAUAAUCAUUUUCAAAGGAUAUGAACACAUACCCAUUUUAGUCAAAAGUAUAGAGAUUAAAAUAGUAUUAUCGAUUUUUUUUAAUUUUAUAUUUUAAUCUCUCCAACUUUUGAAUCCCUCAUUUUUAAUUUUGGGCUUGAAAAAGGAUUGAAUGUUAUUAAAAUUAAAAAUGGUGUUAUUUUAAGUAAAUCUCUUUACUAUGAAUGUUUUAAAUGUGUUGGAUUUAGUUUUGGAAUGUAUUGAAAGUUCUAUCUUUUAGUCUUUUCAAGGAAAAAAUAGUUAAAAAGAUGAUAUGUCAUUGGAUCAGAUCUUGUCGAUGGCCAAAUUAGAAAAGUUUUGAAACCUUUUAAGAUUUUUGAAUAUAUCACUUUAUUUUGAUUUUAUGAGUAGAAAAAAGAAUUUGAUGCCAAUGCUUUUGCAUUAUUUCAUCUACUAAAGUUUGCUUUUAUAAAAUUAAGAAAAGUAUCUUUACAAAAAAAUAAAAAAAAAAUACAUAUUUGUUACAACCAAGUAAAUUUAUAAUGCUUUGGUUUCCCCAUCUAAUUUUUUCUAUAAAUUCUAUGCUAUGUUAUUAUGUAAUAAAUAUAUAUAAAAAAGGUAAUAAAACAAAUUAUAAAUCAAUUUCAUCUAAAUAAUUUGGAGAACAUUAAAACGUGUGAGACUCGACGAUUGUUGGCUCAUUGUCAAACAUAACCUUGAUUAUUUACUUGUUAUAGUUAAGAAACUUUAUAGUAUAGCAGCAUAAUCAAAUUUGAUGGAGUUGAUGAAGAUUUUAAAUAAUGUGCUGAAUCAAAUUCAGCUUAAUUUAAUUGAUUCCUCGACUACACCAUAUUUACUACACAAGAGACGUUAUUAUACGGAGAAAUAAGAAAUUUUUAAUAAAAAAAAAGCUAUCUAAUGUAAUAGCAACUAAACUUCAAUAUGGGCUUCCAAAUAAAAUGAAAAGUUAGUAUAUGGGCCACCAUUCAAAGCCCAAGCCCAAAAGGUGCACUAAAGUGAAUUCGAUAAAAGUUACAACUUUAGUCCCUCAAUUUUAUAUAAAUAUCUAUUCUAAAGUAUGUCCAUAAAUCUCAAAUCUAAACCUCUAACAUUUUUCGUGACACUCACAUCAAACUUAUUCAAAAUUUUCAAAACUUAGAAACAAAAUAAAUCUAAGAGCCUAUAAAAUAGAAUAUAUUUUAGUCAAUGAAUAUUUUUAAAAAACAUAGUAAUUAUAAAUACUAAAGUCAACAUAUGUUUUAUGGUCUUUUUUAAGUAAUACAUUUUUCAAAUAUAAAAAAGCCAGUUCGUAUAAUUCGAUUAUAUAAUAUAUAGUUUCAACUCCAUUCCCUAAUAAAGCCUUAAUUAAUGAUUCAGGUUUUGUUGUCAUAAUUUUAGAAGCUUCAAAAUUAUUAUUUAUAUAUAUAUAUAUAUAUACAAAUUUUGGAAAAAUGUACACAUGAGUAACACUAAAUUCUAAAAUAAUCCAAUUUUUGAAAUCAACCCACGUUUUUAAUAACAUAAUAUACUAAAAUGGACUAUUCAACGCCAUAAUUUUUUGAAGCUUUAUAGUUGACUGUACCAUCAUAUGAUCUCAAACUAUAAUGUUGAAUAUCUAAAAAUUAAUUAAUUUGAAAACAUUAUGAAGAUAUGUAAUAAAUAUCCCCUACUAAAUCUGUACAUUAUAAAGUCAUAAAAUUAAAUCUUAUUUUGGAAUAUAAAUGCAAGCAAAUAUUGGGUCAUAUAUUCUCUUGUUAAAAUGAUACUUAAUUGAUUAGCAUGUGAUGAGAAAGCUAAAUUAAGUUGGAAUUUUGAGAUUGAUUUGGUGACUCCAAGGGGUUUCCAAAAGGUAUUUGAGGAAUAUUGUAUUAUACUGUUUGCCCUUUAGAGUUGUUCUCUAACCCAUAAUUCCAUUUUCUUUAUUAUUAUUUUGGCAACAAAUUAAUGAUGAAAAUAUUUGGUUUCUGAGUUUCAUGAUCUCAAUCUUAAAAGAUAACUCUAUCACAUGAAUACUUUAUAUAUAUAUAUAUAUAUGAAUUCAGAAGUUUAAAUCCUAAACUUUAAUAUCAUGAUAGUUUCUAUAUAAUUUUUGUAUUAAAAUACUAUGCUAACGGUAGUUUAAAGAAAAAACUAUAACCAAAACGAGGAAUAGAGCAUUAGUUUUACUUUCAAUAUUUUCCUUUCUAAAAUAAAAAUCAAUUUUGUAAGAAAAAUAAAGUCGUUAAUAUAAUGUUUCAUUUUUAAAAAAAAUCUAGAAUAAAAAAACAAAUAAAUUAUGUUAAAAUAUAUAACUAGAAGCUACUAAAAUAUUAAUACACAUAUAUAUAUAUAUAUAUAACAGUGGUGGGUUCUUUUCAUACAUACAAUAAUAUCAUAAGUUUAUUCGAUUUUGUCAAUUUGUUAUUUUUAUUAUAUUUGAAAAUAUUUAAACAAUUUUAUCAUUUAAAAUAUUUGAUUAAUUAAAAAAACUAUCUUACUUUUUUAAAAAAAUUAUAAUAAAAGGAUAACAAAAUCACAAUAAAAUUUAUAGGUAGCUAAAAGGUUUAAAAGUUUAAAUUUUGAAAAUAAAAACUAAAACAAAAAACUACUUUUUUUUUUCUCCAAAUGAAAAGUAGCUUUGGAUUUGAAAUGACUAUUUAUGAGUCGAAGAUUAUAAGUAGCUUCGGAUUUGAAAUGACUAUUUAAAACACAAUCAUUAUUCUAAGGAAGAAGAAGAACAAUUAUACUUUAGCACAAUUCAAGAUUUAAUUCAAGAUUUAGGUUCAAUUUGCUAUAAUAAAUCGUAAAAAAAUGUAAAAUUACAAAAAAAAAAGGUUACAAAAUAGUUUUAGUAAACAAACUAUUAAUUUUUUGUAGGUUUUAAAUAUGUUUUUUAGAUUUCUGAAAACAUUUGAGGAAAGAGAAUAGAUAAAAAAAAUGGUUAAUUUAACAUUGAAUGAUUCAUAAUUUAAACAAAUGAUCGAGGAAGAUUUGUGUUCAAACAUUUAUUAAAAGAUUUGCAGUUUGUGUGUUAUAAUUUUAUAUUUAUAGGAACGAAAGUGAAGGUAUAUACAACAUAACAAAAGCUCGAUUGUAAAUUGACUCAAUAGAUAAAACAUCAAUUAUUAUAAAUAGUUGCAAAUAUAACAAUUAAGUUUAAAAUAUUAAUAUGCAAUAAUAACAUUUUUAAAAAAUUACAAAUAUAAUAAAAUCGAUAAAAGUUUAUCGCUAAUAGAUUAUAAGAGUCUAUCAACAAUAGAAGUCAAUUAUUGAUAAAUUUUAGUCGUGUAUUUGUAUACCAUUAUUAUUUGGAAAAGGGUUGAUUCAUAGUUAGCUUAAGGAAUAGAAGAAAUGACAUCAUCCAUCACAUGGGGAAUUUUUAUUUAAUUCAUCUUCAUCACAUUCCUCCAUUCAAGAAAUUCGAUGAAGUACACAAAAUCUUGAUUCAUGGAUUGAGGUUUCCUAAACCAAUCCAAAUUCUCUCUUAUUUUACUUUCAAUUUUUUUAAAAUAUCAAAACUAAUAUAUAUAUAUAUAUAUAUAUACACACUUUCUUAUUUA